AUCCUGCUGAAGCCUGCAUCAGGGAACACCAUUACCAUGGGGUGUUUGUGGUCAGUAAAAAUCUCUAGGUAGAUGAUAUGUCUCAAAGUAACAUCCACAUGAAUGCCAGGACCAUAGGUUUCCUGUCAAAACAUAAAACUACCUCUGACGGCCUGCCUUCUUCCCAUUGUGCAUCCUGCUCUUACAUAGAAACAUAGAAACAUAGAAUGUGACGGCAGAUAAGAACCAUUCGGCCCAUCUAGUCUGCCCAAUUUUCUAAAUACUUUCACUAGUCCCUAGCCUUAUCUUAUAGUUAGGAUAGCCUUAUGCCUAUCCCACGCAUGCUUAAACUCCUUUACUGUGUUAACCUCUACCACUUCAGCUGGAAGGCUAUUCCAUGCAUCCACUACCCUCUCAGUAAAGUAAUACUUCCUGAUAUUAUUUUUAAACCUUUGUCCCUCUAAUUUAAGACUAUGUCCUCUUGUUGUGGUAGUUUUUCUUCUUUUAAAUAUAGUCUCCUCCUUUACUGUGUUGAUUCCCUUUAUGUAUUUAAAUGUUUCUAUCAUAUCCCCCCUGUCUCGUCUUUCCUCCAAGCUAUACAUGUUAUGAUCCUUUAACCUUUCCUGGUAAGUUUUAUCCCGCAAUCCAUGAACCAGUUUAGUAGCCCUUCUCUGAACCCUCUCUAAGGUAUCAAUAUCCUUCUGAAGAUACGGUCUCCAGUACUGUGUACAAUACUCCAAGUGAGGUCUCACCAGUGUUCUGUACAAUGGCAUGAGCACUUCCCCUCUUUCUACUGCUAAUACCUCUCCCUAUACAACCAAGCAGCUGCCUGUUUUUAUUAUUGUUCCUCUUAAAUCAAUAAUGUUGUAGAAAUAAUCACCCCUAAAUCCCUUUCCUCAGAUGUUGAGGUUAGGACUCGAUCAAAUAUUCUGCACUCUGCCCUUGGGUUUUUCGUCCAAGAUGCAUUAUCUUGCACUUAUCCACCUUAAAUGUCAGUUGCCACAAUUCUGACCAUUUUUCUAGUUUACCUAGAUCAUUUGGCUUAUCCCUCCUGGAACAUCAACACUGUUACAUAUCUUAGUAUCAUCAGCAAAAAGACAUACCUUACGAUCAAGACAUUCUGCAAUAUCACUAAUAAAAAUAUUAAAGAGAAUGGGUCCAAGUACAGAUACCUGAGGUACCCCACUGGUGACAAGUCCAAACUUCGAAUAUAUUGCAUUCACUACAACCCUCUGUUGCCUGUCACUCAGCCAGUGUCUUACCCAUUCAACAAUAUUGGAAUCCAAACUUAAAGAUUGCAGUUUAUUGAUAAGCCUUCUAUGUGCAACAGUGUCAAAAGCCUUACUGAAAUCUAGGUAAGCAAUGUCUACUGCACCACCCUGAUCUAUAAUUUAGUUACCCAAUCAAAAAAAUGAUUAGAAGAUUAGUUUGGCAUUAUCUCCCUAAAGUAAACCCAUGUUGUCUCUGAUCUUGAAAUGCAUCUGUUUUUAGAUGUUCAACAAUCCUACCCUUUAACAUGGUUUCCAUCACUUUCCCCACUACCGAAGUAAGGCUUAUUGGCCUAUAGUUGCCCGACUCCUCCCUACUACCUUUCUUGUGAAUGGGUACAACAUUCGCUAACUUCCAAUCUUCUGGGACUACCCCUGUUAACAAUGAUUGGUUAAAUAAAUCUGUUAAUGGUUUUGCUAAUACACCACUAAGCUCUUUUAAUAGCUUUGGGUGUAUUCCAUCAGGUACCCUGUUAUCUCUUCCCUGUGGAAACAAUGCACACACACCUGGCCAUACAUCUGAUCUAAAAGAAAACAUGAUUCAUCAGACCAGGCAGCCUUCUUCUAUUGCUCCAUCGUCACGUUCUGAAGCUCAUGUCCUCAUUGAAGGAGCUUUCAGUGGUCAUAUAUAUGUAGUAUACCUUUAAGAGUUUAUUUUUAAUUUUUUUAAAUAAUGCUUGAAAAUCUAGAUUUUAGACUUGGAAAUCUAUGUCAGCAAAAAUAGUCAUUUCAUACUAGCACAUGUUCCAUAGUUGGAAGAAAUGCAAUGCAUUGGUAAUAAAUAUGCUGUAUGCUACAGGUAUACCACAGGCUAAAGUUGCCCAUUAAAAGACUCAUACUUUUUCAAUCCAUCACACGUGUAAUAUGAUUCAUGGCUGAGGAUAUGGAACAGUUAAGUUAUACUUGAUGAAAAAAGAUAUUAAAUUCUAUAAACUAAUUAAAACUUUGUCUGGGCUUUUAGAAGAUUUUCAAAAAGUAUGGACAUAAUGAUAAACAUCGCUUCGCUGCCAAAAACAGCAUAACAUUUAUAUGAAAACAGAAUACAUUGCUAGCAGAAAAACAUGGGAUAAAAGAGUAUGUGAAGGAACAGACUGCUGUUUAUUGAUACCUAAAUGCUACGUGAAUUUUUAUAAUUUAAUUUAAUUAUUUGCUCAUCAUUAAAAAAUUAUAUUGAGAUGAUAAAAAUGAUGAUACAUACUACAGAUUAUUUUUCAAUGUUUAACUCUGAGUCUGCAGUAUAGUAGCAAUCCAAAAAAAAGAGGUAAUGGUCUAGUACUCCACUUAAGGUGUAAAUCACUCUAAUUUGCUGUGGAACCUCAAUAAAGAUAGAGUGCUUUCCACUUAAGGUGUGUUCUGGAACAUUCUUCCUUUUUGGAUUGCUACUAUUGACUGGACGAUGGAAACAGUUACAUCGUACCCACUAAGUGUACGUACUAUAAUUUAGGUGUUUGCUAGCAAAUUAAAUGUUUUUUAAUUUAUUUAACCAAUCAUUGUUUACAUGAGUAGUCCCAGAAGAUUGGAAGUUAGCAAAUGUUGUGCCCAUUCACAAGGUUAGUAGGGAGGAGUCGGGGAACUAUAGGCCAGUAAGCCUUACUUCAGUAGUCGGGAAAGUAAUGGAAACCAUGUUAAAGGAUUGGAUUGUUGAACAUCUAAAAUCACAUGGAUUUCAAGAUCAGAGACAACAUGGUUUUACUUCAGGGAGAUAUGCCAAACUAAUCUUAUUGAUUUUUUUGAUUGUGUAACUAAAAUAAUAGAUCAGGGUGGUGCAGUAGACAUUGCUUACCAAGAUUUCAGUAAGACUUUUGCACAUAAAAGGCUUAUCAAUAAACUGCAAUCUUUAAGUAUGGAUUCCAAUAUUGUUAAAUGGGUAAGGCAGUGGCUGAGUGACAGGCAACAGAGGGUUGUAGUGAAUGGAAUAUAUUCGAAGCUUGGACUUGUCACCAGUGAGGUACCUCAGGGAUCUGUACUUGGACCCAUUCUAUUUAAUAUUUUAUUAGUGAUAUUGCAGAAGGUCUUGAUGGUAAGGUAUGUCUUUUUGCUGAUAAUACUAAAAUAUGUAACAGGGUUGAUGUUCCAGGAGGGAUAAGCCAAAUUGCAAAUGAUUUAGGUAAACUAGAAAAAUGGUCAGAGCUGUGGCAACUGACAUUUAAUGUGGAUAAGUGCAAGAUAAUGCAUCUUGGACAUAAAAACCCAAGGGCAGAAUACAGAAUAUUUGAUAGAGUCCUAACUUCAACAUCUGAGGAAAGGGAUUUAGGGGUGAUUAUUUCUGAUGACUUAAAGGUAGGCAGACAAUGUAAUAGAGCAGCAGGAAAUGCUAGCAGAAUGCUUGGUUAUAUAGGGAUAGGUAUUAGCAGUAGAAAGAGGGAAGUGCUCAUGUCAUUGUACAGAACACUGGUGGGACCUCACUUGGAGUAUUGUAUGCAGUAGUGGAGACCGUAUCUCCAGAAUUGAUAUUGAUACUUUAGAGGGAGUUCAGAGAAGAGCUAUUAAACUGGUUCAUGGAUUGCAGUAUAAAACUUACAAGGAAAUGUUAAAGGAACUUAGCAUGUAUAGCUUGGAGGAAAGCCGACACAGGGGGGAUAUCAUAGAAACAUUUAAAUACAUAAAGGUAAUCAAUACAGUAAAGGAGGAGACUAUAUUUAAAAGAAGAAAAACUACCACAACAAGAGGGCAUGGUCUUAAAUUAGAGGGGCAAAGGGUUAAUAAUAAUAUCAGGAAGUAUUACUUUACUGAGAGGGUAGUGGAUGCAUGGAAUAGAAGGAGUUUAAGCAUACGUGGGAUAGGCAUAAGGCUAUCCUAACUAUAAGAUAAAGCCAGGGACUAAUAAAAGUGUUUAGAAAAUUGGGCAGACUAGAUGGGCAGAAUGGUUCAUAUCUGCCGUCACAUUCUAUGUUUCUAUGUUUCUAUGUUUUACAUUCAGAAAUAUAAGCAUAGAAGCAAAAUGUCAUAGUUUGUCACACACAGUAGAUAUGGCUUCUUAAUCAAAAGGUUAAUAUGCUGCCUGUAGAUAGAUGUAAGAAACAAUAUCCUAAACAUCCCAGAAAGAAAUGUUCCAAAAAUCAAAACAUAUUUCUACAUGUAGCCAAAAUGCCCACACUCAUUAAAUACAGUUACACAAAUAUAUAUACAUUAAAAGGCAUUACAGGCUAACAUUGCAGUCUGCAAAUAAUCCCUGUAGUGUGCACAGUAGACUGUGGGAUUUUCAAAAAGUGAGAAAUAUACUGCUAUACAGUAUGGAACAAGGGGGUCACCAUUUGUAUUGCCUCUGAUGCUGAUAGGGAGAAUGUAGCCUUGGCACACAAAUGUGUUUCUCUGCAAGGAGAGUACCAGCGCCGGAGCAAAUGGGUAUGUAUGUGAGGCUUAGUGAGCUAAACUUUGUUUUGCCUUACUAUGCAAUGCAAGAAUUAAGUUAGAUGUAAAUAUUGAUUGUUGCAAGAGAAAGGAUUUGACAAAUAUAACGUGCAAAUUGAAAAUCUAAUGAAAAGAAAUUAAGAUUUACUGAUUAUCCACAUGGGAUAUUAAAUACAUGUAAAAUAAAUAAAUAAUAUAUAUAUAAAAACAGGGUUAUUCAACAAACUGAACAUUGCCAGGAAUUCAAAGUGAAUUUUGAUUUAAGGCCAAAGUAGCCAAACUGUAAGCAGAGCGNNNNNNNNNNNNNNNNNNNNNNNNNNNNNNNNNNNNNNNNNNNNNNNNNNNNNNNNNNNNNNNNNNNNNNNNNNNNNNNNNNNNNNNNNNNNNNNNNNNNAUUUGUGGUCUGUUUCCUCUGUGUCUUUAUUCCCAUGUUUUAUUCCGUCAUAUUUACCAAAAACCCAAGCACCCAUGAAUACCACCUUUAAUUUGGCACUCUAUAUGGGUAACACAAACACAAGUAAUGUUUGUCAAGUUGAAGCCAAUAUAUAACAGCAGAACAAAGCCUCUUUUUCUAAAUGUGGGCAGCAAUAUCUUAUGUGCAGCGGAAUGCUAUAACCUGUAAGCUGAUCUUCUGUCAUGCUGGCCCCUAUGUUUCAAAUGUGGGACCCUUUAAACUCCCAUACUGAUAACUAGACUUCUCUACGGCAAAAAAGGUUUGGUUAGGCUGAACUGAUUUUAAUCCACCCUACUCAGAUACCAUAAUGUGUUGAUCCAGAUAAGGCUGUUUGGGUAUGACGGGGUAUGCAUCAUUACUUCCUCUCUCAUAGAUUGAUGGAAACAAUGGCCUAUCCCUAAACGGAAAAGGCACAAUUAGUGCCUACUUUCAGACCUGCAGUUAAGAACCCUAAUUCCCCCAUCAGUGGGAAUGCAUGCUGCCACCAAGUAUCAACUUAUGCAUUUUUCUUUUAUAAACCAAGCAGUCGGAUAUUAUAAUUGUUGGUAUUAACAUAGUGCCAACGUAUUCCGCAGCGCUUUACAAUAUUAUGAAAGGGGGACAUUUAACAAUAAAUGAAACAAUUACAAGAUGUAUAUUCCCAACAUUCUGUUGGAACCAAGCAGUCAUAUUGGUGGAAGGAGAACUUAUCCUCAUCAGCUUUCUAUGUCAAGAAUCCACGUUGGACCUUCUUCAAUAACUCGUGAUUUCAGUGAUCACAAACAUAUUUAUGUGAUACUCAACAACAACGUGUGACUUUCUGAACUUUUUGUAUAUUUGGGAACACAAUCCCAAAACCUGCCAUUCGGUAUAUCUGAUCUGGAUACCUGGUUUCUUAGAAUGCAAUCUUCUUAAAACAAUAAAUACAUAUCAGAUAAGGUAUAGAAGUUUAAAUCCAUUAUAUUGAAGUUCCUACCUGGGGACAACGAAGACAAAUUGGGUCGUACGGUGUGCCUGUGUUCACCUGACACUUGCAUAAGUUUAUGGCGAUAUUUAAAUAAGUCAUUACUGACCCUUAAAAGCCAAACACACUGAAAGUCAAAAUAUAUUCAAUAAUCUUGUGUUAUUCAUGAAAAAAUGCCAUUGCAAAAACGGAAUGUUUCCAUAAACCUAAGCAUCUGUUCGCAUCUCAUGAAUUGCUUUAAAUAUAUUGUCAUAUUAUAUUAUGCUUCUCUCUCAUGCUAAAAAAUGAAGAAUAAAAUAAUCAAAACAAGUGCAUGACCUUUCUAUAAAAAUAGAUUGUAUUAACGUGAAUUCUACGUUGUUUUAAUGAUAAACGUCGCAUAGACACCUGCUCUUAGCCACACACCAUCUGUUUUAAUUGUUUUUAUGAAUGAGCCAAGGAUAUAUUCUUCUUGAAACUCAUUAUACUAUAUUAAGAAGAUACAGACUAUUGUGCAUAUACAGUUUGAACAUUCUGAAAGGAAUGCUAAUUUAUAGAAUAAUUGGUAGAUGUUUUUUCUUUAGGAAACAUGACCCAGAAUGCCGGUUAAGAGUUUUUUGCUUUAUAAACUGAGCACAGCUUUGUAAACAACAUGUGGGGCAUCCUCAAUGUCUCCAUUCUUGUGUACUAUAUAAGAUCCUAAUAUUUGGCACUUGGCACCAAAGGCUUGUGUUUCUGAAAGAAGGACACUUAGUUUAGUGUGAUGGAUGGCCUGAUCCCUCUCAUUUGUUUUGCGCCAUUUUGGUGCCACUUUGUUGUGUUUUGUCACGGUAAGAGAAUGGAUGCUUUGAGAUACUGUUUGCAAUGUACAUAGCUAUCUCUGUAUUGUGUGCACCUGUAUUAUACACAGAGCUGUGUGUUUAUCUGUGUAUACAUCUCUGGUUCAAGAGAGAAGGAGGGACAGCAGCUCUCUAUGCUGCACUAGAGUGAAAUGUAUUUUGUAGGUUGAUUAUGUCAAAUUCAGUACUGUGACCACCUGGUGUUGGGGCCAGCAAGUCUACACUUGUAAUUGCAGAUCCAGCUAUCUACCUGGCCAAUCAAGAACACCUUUUGUUGUCAAGGUAGACUUGCACCGGGGGGAAAGAACUAGUGUAAUUAAUUAUUUUGGAACCAGUGUUUCCUUUGUGUUUUGUUUACCCAGCCCAGUUCUGUAUUGCCAUUGGUGUAAAUGUUUUUUGCUUGUUUGUCUCUUCCUUGAGGUCUCACAGGUAUAUGGCUAUUCAUUGUCCUCUAAAGAGUAAUUGCAAAUAAGAGUAUUGCCACAGGACUAGAUUGAUUGCAUAUCCUAAAGUAUCAAGUUCUAGCAUUUAGUGGAGCAGUUAGUGGUGCCUCACAAUUUAUUUACAUCGUAUCACAUGAAAACCGGAGGAAUAUUGCAUGCGUUCCACCGGUGGAACGCAAAAGCCGAAACCGGAAGUGACUCGAUUGAUGCGUUCCACCGGUGGAACGCGGAAGUGAAAAUGCCGCGAACAGGGAGAGGAGAGCAAAAAAAGGGCGCAAAAGACUGGAUAUAAAUACAGAUUAUGAACUACAAUCAACCAGAGCAACUGAGGAAGCCUCCAGACGAGGCGAAACGCGUAUUGCAGCUAGAGACUACUCUAACAAGAUUACCUUAAACUGUAAGGUCUUGUUUUUUUAUUUCUAUUUGUGCACUUUACUAUUAAAGCACUUUUACCACUUUAUACCGAUAUGUGAGAGGACAUUGGAUUUUUUCCAUCCCCUGGCAAGCUAAAGAAGGAAGUGGUGAUCCUUAAUCCCACAGCGCUGGAAAAUUGAGCCUUGUAUUACAGGCUCUAAUUUUGUGAGUGUGUUACUAUAUAUUUUAUCCUCACUAUAUUUACUAUUCAGACAAUACUGCACUAUCAAGUGUUAUUAUCUGUUCUACUUUUAGGAUCUACCUGAUAUUAUCUGUAACCAGAAGACACUCCACCUUUUAUUGUAUGAGUGGUGCAAGUUAGGUAAAAGAAACCCACGGACAUUAGCGUGCCUGAACUGGUACACCUUCUCUGCCAGAGAGGCCAGGGCAGUCACACUUAAUAUCCCAGUUGGAGUAUUGACUCUGAAAUAAGAACUCCAGCAUGGAGAGUAAAAGAAACACGGAAUUUAAGCCUUUUUCAACAUGGUUAUCUGUAAAUAUUAUCCGUAUUUACUAAAUUGAACUCAAAGUGAAUAUCAAACUUAAAGCUAAAGUAGCUGAACUGGUAAAUUAUCUAAGUGAGCUCUGCUUCCAGCCUGCCUACUUUGUCCUUAAAUUUGAAAUUAAUUUUGAAUUCCCUUUGAAUUUCCAACAUUUCUAAUUUUAGUGAAUAAAUAUGUAAGUGUUUAAGAUUUACAUUGAAAUUUUGAGCAAACCACAAACUCUCUUUCUGUCACCAAGACUCUGGCUAUUUUUCUAGUCUGGCACCAAAAACCUCUCUUGCCACAUCCUGUAAUUAUAAACAUAUGUGUUUGACACCAGAAUGGUAUAGACUACUUCAUCAGAUAACCCAUGGCAAUUAUUUUAUCAUGUCCAUUCCGUCGGGUCAUUUUUAAUUCCCUGUCAAUAUUUCCAACCCAGUCAAGAGCAAACCUUUCAUAGUAUCAUUCUUUGUAUGUAUCAUUCAUGUAUAUUUUAGACAGCCUUUCAUUUUUAUUAUCAUUUUUGAUCUGAUCAGGUAGUUUAUUCAUUGGUGAAGUUGUUUAUAUUCACCUCCUUUUUUGUCUACCCACCUACUGCUGGUUAAAGUUCAGCCCAGUCCAGUUAAACACCAGUUUGGACCAUUGGUAAUGUUCUACAGCCCAAAUAAUCUCUCUCUUAAAUUAAUCUAUCUCAGAAUUUAAAGCAUAAAUAAGUUGAAUGAUACAUUUAUGUAGGCAGUCCUAAUAAUAGAACACUACAACCUAAACUAAACCUAGAACAAAUUAUGUUUCUGUUUUUUUAUUUCAAGCUAAAAUGCUAAUAAAAGUUUUAUAAGAACACGCCAAACCCCUAGAACACUUCGGAAUGUCUGCUUUGUUUUAUUUAUAAGAGAGAUAACCAAGCAAAAUACCCCUUGGUAACAUUUCCUGACUGACAAGUAGACAGUCAAGAGGGUUGCCUUCCUCACUCUCUUUGAGACUUUAUUCAAUGCGAAAGUGAGGUUUUCUCAUAGAUAAUCUUUGAAUGCUUUGAAUAUUCAACUCACAUUUAAAAGAGCUAUAGCCAGCUCGGGUAUGAUCCCCACUUAUAGGAUAUAUGGUGGUUGUCUUCUGGAGGGAAUAAUGUCCAACUCUCAGGAAAGGGAUAUAUAAAAACAACUGAUAGUGCUCUCAGUGUAUACAGUGCUCUCAGUGUAUGCAGGGUAUAAAAUAAACGUAAAAAAUAAAAAUGUACUUACAAGUAUAGUGCAGGCCAACUGCACUAUGAUAACAGCGUUGGUGGUAUGAUCCCCACCUCGGAUAAACUUGUAAACACACAAUAGAAUCAGUAAAAAGCCAGGGAAAAAACAAAGAAUGUGUAUAAAAAGAUAGUUGGCACAAAAUAGUAACCAAAAAACCUUUUAAUUAGAUUAUUUUCUUAUUAUUUUUAUUGGGGGCUGAAUGAAACUAGAACAUUCAAACAUUACAAAUAAAUGAGUUGAGUUUCGUCUCAGUAAUUCAAAUUAAGUCUCAUCCUAUGGAACCAGCAGUGAUGGGAAUGACAAGGGGAUUAUAAAUGCUUGAUUAAAUAUCACAUUUAAAAGAGGUAAACAGAAUUCAGAUAAGGUUAGCCAAGCGAUAAUAAAAUGCUCAGAUUCUUUGGUUGCUGUAGUUAAAGUACAUUCUAGUCAAUUCAGAUUCAUAUACCGUGAAUGAUCAUCAUCAUUUCUUCCAUAUUUCUCUUGUGAUACAGAACCAGGUGGAAACGGCUUAAGAACAGCAGACUUAACCCUCGAUUAUCCAUAGUUAACAAUUAUAACUUGCAAAUACAAUACAGUUAAACUUCUUUUCCAUGAAUAGAAUUUCUUGAAAGUUUCAAGAUUCAAUAUAAUUUUUGAAAAGGCUUUCUCUCAUCCUCUCUGACCUUUUAGCACUAGAACCCAUGAGACUCAUAGACCUAUACUCUAUUAAAUAUAUAUGGUGAAAAUGAUAUCAAAACAUCGGCAAGUAGCAUUACUGGACACAAUUUCAAUAUUCCAUCAAUAAGAGGUCAUGGCAACAGUGCACAGAUACAAUAAUGUUAUAGAAUAUACUCAUGAUGGUUCUCCCAAACCGGAUUACAUGUUCAGACCUGAUUUGUCUUACCAUAUCAUUUUUCUCCCAUAUCAUGGCCAAAUAUUUCUUACAUGGUUUAAUCAACAUAAUUAAAAGCCCCAUAUGAGUGUUCAACAUUGCUAUUUCUUUCUUCUUUUUUACUUUUUUAUGUAUAAUGCUCAAUAGGUUUUAACAGUACAUCUAUUAUAAGCACAGUAGAUCUCACAGGUAUCCAAACAACGUAAGUUCUAGCCAUUUAAAAAAAACAAUCUGCUUGUAGAUUGUAGCGGAGAGGUAGUAUAAUUCACAAUAUCUCCGCUGGGUUACAGGAACAGCAUAAAAUAAUCCAAGGAAAUAAAUACAGCAUACAAUAAUCCCGGUAGCGUUGUAAGAAUCCUUCCCUCCCAAGAACUAGACGACACAUAGUCUGGGAGUCAACUGAGGUUUUAUUCACAAGUCACAGUAUUUAUUCAAGUCCCCAUGCAAGGGGUUUCCUUACUGACAUUCCAGGGGUUGUACCCCAUGCAAGGGGUUUCCUUACUGACAUUCCAGGGGUUGUACAGUAGGGGACUACAUGGGGGACUUAGCAACCUGGACAUUUCUCCCAUCAUGCACUGCUGGACGAGAGGGAUACCCCCACUAGAAUAUACAGUUAAGUGGAUUAUCCCUCCGUGCAGCAGAACUAAUAUUUCACAUUAAAAUCCAUAACUUUUACAUUAUUCACUAUAUUUAAAUGAAAGGACGUUCGAUAGAUAGCUGGGGUCUGAGCGCACAGUUCGUGAGAAUACCGCUCAGAUCCCAGCAUAACUAUGCCGCACAAAAUACACACUAUUUCCUAGUUACAUUUAAAACACAGAUUGACUGUAAGGGAAUAACCUGCCGAAUGACUGGGGCUCCAGAAUGGCCUGGAAGUCCAGCGGUAUUCGUGCCAUUGAGUAGCCGGUUUUAGUUCCAGGCGCUCGACGACCAAACACCGCUGGGCUAACAAAGGAUCCAAGAUGGCCGACCGCCGCGUGGUUGGUAGCCGAACGACGGCCACCUAGGAACACACUUAACUACCGAUUGCAACAAUGUUGCGCCACACGACCUCCUGUGUGUGGUCGUCCAUUCGGUAAUUUAUUUGUUUCACGAACAGUGUUGAAAUUCACUGUUCGUGAAACUACUGUAUGUAUGCUAAUGUAUGUAAUAGUUGAGAACCGUACUGGUAAUCAGAGCUUGAUUCUGCUAAUUUUCCAGUGUCACAGUGGGAUGUAUUCAAUAGUGAGUGAACUACUCAUGAGAAGGUGAGUAAUUAGCACAUUUUGAUGGAAUUCAUAUGACCCAUUUACACCUCUAACUGAGACCCUUCCUCUAAGGUAGCCUGGAUAUGAUUAAACAGUUUAAAAUUAUUUUCUUUAACUUGGGCACUUUUGUUAAUUUUACACCUAAACAAUUAAUGGAGGAUACUGUUUAUUCAAAGGGGUAGGCAGCCUUAAAAUUGGUUACAGUAGAUUGUGAGAUGUUAAUGAGGAGGUUUUCAUUAUGUUAUUCUUAUAGUAGGACACAGAGCCAUAAAACACAACAAAUGGUAAGGAUAGGUGAGAUUGUAAUUAUGUAUAAUAGAGUGUGUGUAUAUAUAUAUAUAUAUAUAUAUAUAUAGUCUGAAACAUAUUAGUAAUAUACGUAAAUCGGGUUAAUACAAAGUUGGUUGUGGUGUGCCGUAAUCAAAGUAUGGGUAGGCCUGUAAUAAAAGAGGGCAAAAAGGUAUCAAAGAAGUACACAAUUUAUUGCAUCACAUUUACAAUGCUAAACUUUUAAAAGCUUUCCUUGUUUCUUUUUUGGGAUGAGGUAUGUACCGAUCGUAAACUGAGGAUUUCCAUCUCCCCAAUUUUUUGAUGAUAUGCACUGGAGUGUGAGUGCUGGAGGCAGCUGAAGCUGCCCCUAUUCUAACAAUGAAUAACCCAAAAAAGAGGACGGGUUGAAACCUAAACUUAAGAGAAGUUUUCUGAUGUAGAAUAUGAACUUAGCAGUAGUUAGAGGGAUUCCUUGCAGUGAGAGAAGUGGUAAAUUGUGUGUGACAUGACUGAGUGUGGGUAAGUAGGAAUCGAGUAUUUUAACUGGGCAACACUUGUUCUCGGUGGGAUAAAGUGGUAUAGCAGAUGGAGUUGUUUGUUUGUUUUAGAGGUUUGUAGAGAGAGUAUAUAGUGAUUGUGAUGUUUAGUGAUAUCAGAUAUUUUUAAGAUAGAGAUGAUGUCUGUCUGUCUAACAACUGUAAACUCUUGGGGUCUCAAAAAACUGUAGAAAGCUAUAUAAAUAGCGGUUUUAAUAACUUGAUUUGUGGGACUGUUGAAUGGUCGUGUGUCCAGUAAAUCGUAGUGGGCUUUGAAUAUCGGACCAUCAAUUGUUAACCUGGAUGAAAUAGGGGGUUUAUCUGUUUUAUUUAUACCCCGCAAUAUACUUUUAAUAGGAUAGGACAUGAGGAAAGGUGUAUGAUUGGGAUACGUCGUGAGUACAUGAUGUUGAAGCCCCAUGCAAUAAAGAGAGCAUGGCCCUCUGCAACCUAUCAUUUUGGUAAGUUUACUUGUCAUUGUCCUAUUUAUAGUUAAAUCCCCCCUCUAAUAAUAUUGUAAAGCGCUACAGAAUCUGUUGGCGCUAUACAAAUGGCGAUAAUAAUAAUAAUAAUAAUAAUAAUCAUUUUGUGUGCUAGUUUAAGGUAAAGGUGGCAAAAAGAAGAAAAAACUACCAUGGAUUCUAUGGAGAAAUGCUCCCAGACGUGGAAUUCAAUGGCAAACUUAUGAUAAAUAUUAAGAGCCCUAUCAUAAGCCAUUUUGUUUUAUCAGAGAGUGCAGAACAUGAAAGUGACUGGGCGUCAGACCGGAGGCUGGCUAGUCCAUCACAAGCUUGUGGAAUAGCGGAAUUCUGGACGGGAGCCUUUCUGCUGUGGGGUGAAGCUGAAAAAACACCUGUAAUUGAGAGCAUGAAAGUGCUUUUUUCAUGAUAAUUGGUGAUGAGUGAGAAAGAGGUGGAAUAAACAUAGAAAAUACCAUUCCAAGAAACGAGAAAAUGUUGCCACAUUCGUAAAUCAGCUAUGGCAGGGGGGUCAAGGAGAAUGGUUGCAUAAUCAAACAAGCUGAGAAGUAGACAAAUCAGCCUGGAAAUGAACGCCCUUCCCUGCCUACAAGUACAUGAACCAUUCUUCAGGAAAUGGUCCAUCUCUUCCCUAAUGCGUACCAGCUUCUGCUCUGGAAGGCUUGCCUGAAAAGCGACUGUGUCCAAGGUGAUGCCCUGCAACACCAACCUAGUGGAGGGACCAAGAGUCUUAUCAGGUGUCUGUGUACUGGUUUCUACCAGGAGAAAGUCGUCAAGGUAGUGAAUCACCAUGGGACAUCGAACGACAUUGAGAAGCAGCCAGCAGAGUGUUUCUGCAAAGAUAUCGAACAGUUUCAGUCUGCCCCUGGAACCAAAAGUAUGUCUAGUGUAAACAGAACAAUUAUCCCUCCACUUAACACUGUGAAUAUGGCAUAGGGACAGGUGAAUUGAAUGCGUUAGAGAUCUCAGUUUUGCUAAGCUAAGAGUGCUUACUCAUGUGUAAAAUAGCCUGUAUGUCGUUGUUGACGGUGGAGUAAUGAAGGAAAAAUUAUUCAGCAGGAAUGAGAGAGUUAAUGCUUGGUGUGUGUGUGUGAAGAAUAAGGAGCUGAAAAAUCAAUGAUAAGUCUUUUUUAUUUGAAAAUUUGUGAGUCACAACACCGAUGGGAUUUGUGUGCCAAGUCUGAAAAGGCAAAUGAGAAAAUAGGCAUAAGGCAAAACCUAGAUGGACUUCUUUGCCCACUAGAGCAUAUACAGUUAAGGGAUCACAAUAGGCUGAUACGAAUUGGGGCAUUCCAGUGUGCCUGAGUGAAGUGCCACAAGACUUGUAUGAAAACCAAUGAAAAACCCAGAAACCAAGAAUUCCACCAAGUGGGAUGAGGGGUGGAAGCGUAAGUGAUAGCUUAGAUUGUCCAGAUUAACCUCUAUAAGUCAUUUUUGGGAAAAAGCUUGGAGGGGCACAUUGAUUUUGAAUGUGCCCUGAAACAAAUAGAGCAGAUGUGCAACAAUCUACAGGCACUAUAAUUGCAAGUACCAGCAUUAAAAUUGUUGCACACAACAAUCCACAAGAAAACUAUGGGUCUGCCCAACUGACCCCGUUAUUGACCCAUGGAGGGAAACGAGAGUGGUACAUGCAAGGGUUGUGGAUGUGGAUGGGUCAGCUUUGCAGGGGCACAAGUUGGAGGAAUGGGAGGAGGAUGAAAAAACAAGCUCGGGGCUUCAAGACGGCAAAAUGCCUGCAAAACAGCUUCGUAUCCAAACGACUGUAGUCGGUUUGAAUCUUAAACUGGGCCAGAGCUGCCGUGACUUAAGUUGACACCGACUUGUAAUAGUCAUGAAAAGAAAAGCCCCAGUACUUGUGCCUUAAAUCCACCAACUUGUGUAAGUAGAGAUCCAGUUCCUUUCGCCUCUGGGGAUAAACGGAACAUAAGACGUCUCUGUGGAGACCAAAGGCGAGUACAAAUUCAGGGAUUGAGAGGUUUUUUUUAGUCUGGGGUCUCUGGCUUUUAAGACCACUGACAAAUCCCCAUAGUUAUAGGUCCUGUUCUCUAUAAUGUCCUGAGAAGCAAUUAGUAGAGAGACUAAAUUAACAUCCUUACCCUCAAUGAUGUCUUACCUGAUGGAGGUGGGGAUCAAAUGUGCGGGUGUGACAAUGUGAGAUGUGGAGGGAAGGGGAGAACUGUAAUGUGGGGUUGUGUGGGCAAAGCUCUGGCUUGAGGCAGGACGUCUGGCCUUGCUAGUGAGAGACUAAUAUGAGUAUGAAAAAAAAAAGGUUAGCACCUGAAACCUAUAAGCCAGUUCCCUUACCUAGAUGGGCUUGACUCUUAUGAAGCGUAAUGUAUGAGGAUAAGGCACGUACUUUGAAAUAAACAAAGUAGCCUAACGACAGGAAAAGGGUAAAUACAGGGAGUAUACACCUAUAAAAAGAAUUUACAAAAUUAUCGAGGUGUAAGUAAAAUAGAAAGUAAAAAAGGGGGCGAUAAGACAAUCCACCUACCAAAAAAGGUGUCAGAAGAAUGCUUCUUCUAGGAAGCAGAAACAUUUUUGAAUAGAGAUCUAUGAGGAAAAGUAAAACGUAUACAUAUGAGUAUAAUAUUAAUAAUAUGGGGAAUAAUAAUAAAAUAUAUUAAGGGAGCUGAAAAUACCUGUGGAAAGCUGAAAUACACUGUAUCCUCUAAUAUCAGGAAAGUAUAGAAAGGAGUCUAAACAGGAGUGAGACAGGAAAAAAUAUAAUUUAACCGAUUAUUGAAAUGACAUGAAAGAAAGGAAUGUAUAGAACGGAAACCAUAAUUUUAUUGUUGAUGUAUGUAUAUGUAUGUAUGUAUAUCGUGGACCAUACGAGGGUCAAUGCUAAAAGGCAAGUCCUACGCCAUCCCCCAAGGACUAAUAGGCGCACAAGUAGUUUAGACUGCUAGCAAAAGAAAACACAGGCAAUGUGGUGUUUUCCAGAAUGUAAUGUAUAAUGACUAAACUGUAAUAAAAGUACCUUAACAUAGACAGAGCAUAAUUGACUAAACAGAUAUGUAACAAUGUCAGGAGGGCCAGGGAAGGCCAGACCUAAAUAGCCUACGAGAAAGUUUAAAUAAAAGAAGCAUAAAUAUAUUUUAUAAUUCUAAACCACCAGACCUGACAAGCACGUAAAAGUGAAAACAUAACAUAUGCCCAGUGUUCGUAAUAUGUGGAUAAUAAUGAAACACAGCGAAUAGUUAUAAGAAAAGGGACGUUGUGGGGACAUGUAAAUGGCCAGCUAGAGUUAGCUCAUACAUGAAUAAAUGAAUAUUGAGCCAUGAUAAUGAGUUUAGAUAAGUUUAAUGAAGUAUUUAAUUACCACCAGUCCAAAACUCAUAUUAGUAGAUAUACCCCUAAAAGUAGAGAAAGGGGGUAAUUGGAAAAUCCUGGAUUUAAGCGAACAACAGAUGUGACUUUAUGUGAAAUGAAUAUCAUGAUAACAGAACUAUAGAUAAGGAAGUACUUAGAUGACAUGAAAGUACCGAAUUGGUAAAUAUUUCAGCGAACAGUCUCUGAUUUACAUUGAUCAGAGCUCAAACACUCGAAAAUCAAGGAGAAAAUACCAGCCAACCAAACAAAAACAUGAUUAACUGAAAUUCAUGCAAAUGCAGAGUGGUUUGAGAAACAUACGAAAUGUAAUGGCGAAGUGUUAAACAACACAUACUCAUGCGAACGGAAAUGUUUAUGCGAACGUUCGGUUAUUAGAAUGCAUGCGAAACAUAAGAAAUAAUCCGAACCCGACAAUAGACCCAACACUGAGAAUUUGGCAUAAACUCAGAAAUAGCUCGGGAAUCUCACCGCACCCGUCACCUCUGUACCCAAUCACUCACAACCCCCUCUUUCAGCAAGGGGAUUCGGGACAGGCAUUCCACACAUAUCAUGUGGGCUCUACACUGCAUUUAAGGGAUAUGGUACACGAGGGCAGGAUUAAAUCCCUAUCCCAUAUUCUGCCGAACCUAACCCACACGGUAGUCCAACAAAUGCGCAACCACCAACUGACGAAUUUCAUCAGAACUCAUAACCUGUUGCCCAGCGGGGAUAGACCACUGACCAAAUUUGAGCAACUCUGUACAUCACAUUCGGUCACUAGAAAACUACUCUCCACUUUCUAUUCCCUGAUCGCCGACGCACGUUCACGAACUCUUCCAGGGUACACGACAAAAUGGACGGAAGAACUCAAACUUACACUCUCACCGCAACAAUGGCUAUCCAUUCUAAAAAAGGUUCAUACCUCUUCUAUAUCACUCUCUACCCAGGAGAGUAACUUUAAAAGAGUCGCCAGAUGGCACUACACACCUGCAAAACUACACCUGAUACACACCACCCCCACAGACCAAUGUUGGAGAUGCAACCAAGCGGGGGCUCACCACGCACACAUUUGGUGGCAGUGUCCACUAAUCGCUAAGUACUGGUCCAGAAUCCACACGCUCAUUCAAAUCAUAUUCCACACCACGUUCACGUUAGCUCCAGCUAACUAUCUAUUCCAUAUUCCCCCACGUGGCUUCUUGAAAAAAGAUGCAACUCUCUUCGUCCACCUGACUACAGCAGCAUCCCAAUUAAUACCCAAAAACUGGAAACAACCCAAACCUCCAUCAGUCAGGGAAUGGAUACAGAGGGUGGAAGAUACGAGACUAAUGGAAGCUUUAGCACAGUCUAAACUAGGAAAUCACUCGAAACACAUUGAGGUUUGGAACCUCUGGACCACAUUUAUCAAAAACAAGACAUCCUCGACGGACAGGACUGACCAUCACAGGGGGGGGGGGAAGGGUGGAGGUACUGGAGGGGGGUUGACUCGAACUGGCCAACAGGGCACCCGGAAUCAGGCACCAACGAAGUAGUAGCUACACGGUGGCCCUAACAAAGUCAACGAAACCCUACUGACCAAGAUUCAUACCGGAGUGACGAUUAUAGUUAAUGCGCAAUUAAACCUAAUGACUGUGACCCAAAAAAUACAAAAGAUGGCUAACACAGACCGAACGAGGUACAGGCACACAUAUGACUAUCAACACUACUAUUACUCAUACUACAACGCAGCUUUCGAGCUAUCUCUGUAGACGAGGUUACUAAUACGCGACUAAAUACCACACGAACCUAGCUAACUGUCGACACUAAGCGCCCAACUCGCACGCGUAAGACUCUAGUUGACCGUACAGUAGGGACAACCACAUUCUGUAUAUGCAAAAGUCUUAACUUUGUCAUUCAUUAUAUCCCUGAGAUCCAUGUUCUGUACGUUUGCUCGCACCAUCCUAAUUGUAUGUCUCACAAUCGUUGUUAUACUCAAAUUGUAUUGAAAUGCGUUUUAUUUGACAAAAAUAAAAAACAUAAAAAAAAAAAAAAAAUACUUGCGACAAUUGUGACCUAAUGAAUGAACAUGUCCCCAUGUUUUCACACUUACAUUCAGUUUUUAUAAACUAUAAAAUAAAUGAACUCUAAUUUAGAAAUAAAAAAAAAAAAUAAAAAAAAAAAAGAAAUAAUCCGAAACCUGAUUCCAACGAAACAUGGUGAAAGGCACGAAAGCUCCUAUGAUGCACCGAACACCGUACGUAUGGGUAUGAAAUAGCAUCAACACCAGCCGCGGGCAUUCGGGAGAAAGCCUCUCGUUACCUGCGAAGACUGCAAGACAGGAACCCGGAAGUGGACCAACAAUGAGGCUCUGAUGCGGAUUGAAGUAAGCUGGUAGCCUGGACCUGUUUGAUUUCGUGGCUGAAGGCAAGUACAGGGAACAUUUUUGGCGGGAAGUCCACGUGGUAACCAAGGUAAUGUAUCACCUGAACGAGAACAGCCCAGGUAAGAGGGUAGUGUAAGUUUCAUAGCAUAAGAUAGAUUCAAACAACUACCACAAAUAUAUAUAUAUAUAUACACAUUAAAACCAAUGACAGAUUAAUUGAAAAAUCCUUUUAAAAGGUAUACAUAUAUAUAGGUGAAGUGAAUAGCACUGAUUAUAUUGUUACAGUGGCACCUGUCAAGAGGUGGAGUAUAUUAGACAGCAAGUGAACAGUCAGUUCUUGAAUUUCAUAAGUUGGAAGCAUAAGAAAUGGGCAAGUGUGUGACUCUGAAAAAGACCAAAUAGUGAUGGCCAGUCUUGUGGGAUGUUCCAUGUAUGCAGUGGUUAGAACCUACCAAAAGUGGUGCAAGGAAGGACAACCCGUGAACCGGGGUCAGGGUCAUGGGCACCCAAAGCUCAUUGAUGCAUGUAGGGAGAGCAGGCUAGCCCAUCAGGUCUGUUCACACAGAAGAGCUACCGUAGCUCAAAUUGCUGAAAAACUUGAUGCUGGACAUGAUAGAAAGGUGUUAGAACACACAGUGCAUCGCAGUUUGUUGUGUAUCAAAAUCACCUUCAAUGGGGAUGUGAGCGUCAGAACUGGACCAUGGAGCAAUGGAAGAAGGCUGCCUGGUCUGAUGAAUCAUGUUUUCUUUUAGUUGAGGUGAAUAGCCAGGUGCAUGUGUUGCUCUGAUUUGUGAAGAAGGCAGGCUGGUGGAGAACGUUUUGUGCUCUGAGUAAUGUUCUACUGGGAAACCUUGGGUCCUGGCCUUCAUAUGGAUCUUAAUUUUACACGUACCACCUACCUAGAAGUUAUUGAAGGUGAAGGUGUACCCGUACACCUCUCCAAGACAAUGUUGUUUCCUGAUGGCAGUGGCCUCUUUCAGCAGGAUAAUGCACCUUGCCACACUGUAAAAAUUAUUUAGGGAUGGUUUAAAGGACAUGACAAUGAGCUCAAGGUGUUACUUUGGCCUCCAAAUUCCCCAGAUCUCAAACUGAUUGAGCAUCUGUGAUUUGUACUGGAGCAUUGAAUCAGAUCCAUUUAGGCCCCACCUCGUAACUUGCAGGACUUUAAGAAUCUGCUGUUAAUGUCUUGGUGCAAGAUAAAACAGGACAUGUUCAUAGGUCUUGUGGAGUCCAUGUCUUGACACAUCAGAGCUGUUUUGGCAGUACGAGGGGAACCUACACAAUAUUAGGCUGGUGGUUUUGUGACUGAUCAAUGUAUAUCAUAGCUAAGGGUACCUGCAGAAAUGCAGUUUGAAGUCUUAAACAUGAUGCUCAUUUGCAUGUGAAGCAAAGAACUCUGGGAUAGUUGUGAAAACAUGAUUUCUCACGAAAAAAAAAAACCCUCAGAGUCCAACAUGGAAUUUGCAGGUGAUGCAAAAAAGUAAUUUUUUUGUAUGUAUGUAUGCAUAUAUUGAGAAAUGUCAUUAUGGACUGAAGCGUCGAUAGUUUGUUUAAGUCACUAUAUUUGUAUGUAGCAAAUAAAGGCUACAUUAUAUAUAUGCUCAGAAUUCCAGUGAAGGCUCUCUUUUUUGUGACAUUGUGUGUGGGCUGUUGAAGCACAGAGGCAGAGAAAUUGAGAAAGGUGAGUGCUGGAUAAACAUAACCACAAAAAAAAAAAAAUACUGUGGCACAAAGGACCUUCUAUGAGACCCAUGAGUUAAAAGUUAGUGAGAGGGAAGAAAAGAGAGAGAAGCCGAAAGAGAACAGGGGACAAUCAAGCAAACUAAAAAAAAAAGAAAAAAAAAAAAGAAAAGGCAAAACCGGGGAGAGAGAAAAAAAAAGCAUAAACAAAAAGAAAAUGACGUUCAAGAAGGAAAAAAGAGCUGAUGAGCAAAAUAGCAAAUACAUGAAAAGUAGCCAGGAGAAAUAUUGCAAGAGAUUGCAUGUGACUCUGUUGUUUAAUUGGUUAAAGUUUACUCUAAGUGAGGUACUGGUCAGCAUUUAUUUUCGAGAUGUGUAAUUGGUUAAGUCUGUGAAGAAAUAGGACAUUGAAUAAACAGUUUAAGCAAAAAUGAGGGCAGAUAAGCAAAAACAGGAAACCCCAUAAUUUAAUUUACUCGAAAAGCACAUUCUGUCGCAUUUCAUGAAAGUUAAUUAGCAGUUAAUUAAAAUGAAGCAGUACAGAUUCUGUACAAUUGCUUAUUGGAUUGUAAAACAGCUAUUGGAAAAUGAAAUACAUCUGCUUUCUAAUUUGCCAUUUGUUUUUGUUAACUGAAUUUGAAAUAAAAUUUAAACCUCUCUGCUUACUCUACCGAAAACAGGCUAGGAAGUUAUAUCAAGCUGCCGUGAACUUCAACUCACAGCAUUCUGUCUGAAUUAUGCUCGGUUACCAAUGCAUUUUGCAAGCUUUUUUUUUUUUUUUUUAACUACCCUUAUUUUAUAAAUUUUAAUUAACAUAACAUUAAAGAGUUGCUUGGAUUUAUAUACUAACAAAUGGGUUUAUUCACUGAAUGUUAUUUUGUAGUAAAUUAAAUUGUCUGGUUUAGAGAAUAUUUUAAGACCAGCAAUUAAAAUUCACUUUGAAUUCUCACCUUAGGGAAUAACCCUGUUAGUUUAAGCACAAAAUUGGAAAUGGUUGAGAAUUCCCAAGGGAAUUACAGAUUAUAAGCCAAAUUAACGGAAUAUGAAAAAAUAUAUCCAAUUCUUUCUAGGCUCUCUGUUUUGGCCUACAAUUUAAAAUUCCCUUCUCAAUUCUCCAUAGUUUUUCUUUUAGUGAAUAAAAGCCUUAAAUAUUUUUGUAGUUAUGUCUUACACUCUUUUUUCCUUACAGUAAAACACUUUAGUUCAGUAUUAUGGUGACAGCAAAAGCUAUUAAUCGUUUUAAUGUACAGUAAACACUUACAAAUGCAAUGGCGCAUACCUACAAAAAAUGGAACAAAUGGGCAAACACAUUAUGCGUAGCGCCUUGUUGGCCCGUUGCACAAUGUAUACACUGGCGCACGUAAAGAGCAGUCUUCAACACUUAAAUCAGAAAAAAUAUACAUAGAGAGGUGCAAAAAGAAAAGUAAUCUGUGCUUUCAGUUCACUGGACUGAAAUAAUGAAUUUCAUGGAAAUACAUUAAAACCAGCAGCUGUCAUUAAAAUGUUAAUGAUUGCUUUGAAAGAAUCGGGGUUUAGUCUCUAAAUAGCAAAUUGAAAACUAUGUCGCACAAUUUAGGCCAACGUAGCAUACUUCAAUGCGGCUCUUGGGUUGACCCCAGAGAUUCUACAAUAUUACAACAUAUACAACAAAUUUAAAUUAACCCCUUAAGGCAGUGGCGUACACAUGACCCAUGGGGCCCCGGUGCGAAAAUUGAUCCGUGGGCCCCCCCCCCCCGCGCGGGCCGGGCCGCAACACAUGGCGGUGGGCACCUGGUCGCAGGGGUUACAGGGCUGCGACCCCUGCGAAAGCGGUAUGUACGCCAGUGCAUGCAGAUGCACACACACUUAAAGGACCACUCUAGGCACCCAGACCACUUCAGCUUAAUGAAGUGGUCUGGGUGCCAGGUCGAGCUAGGGUUAACACAUUUUUUCAUAAACAUAGCAGUUUCAGAGAAACUGCUGUGUUUAUGAAUGGGUUAAGCCUUUCCCUAUUUCCUCUAGUGGCUGUCCCAUUGACAGCCGCUAGAGGCGCUUGCGUGCUUCUCACUGUGAUUUUCACAGUGAGAGCACGCCAGCAUCCAUAGGAAAGCAUUAUGAAUGCUUUCCUAUGUGACCGGCUGAAUGCGUGCACAGCUCUUGCCGCGCGUGCGCAUACAGCCGACGGGAGGAGAAGAGGAGGAUCGGAGGAGGAGAGCUCUCCACCCAGCGGUGGAAAAAGGUAAGUUUUACCCCUUUCCAGAGCCGGGCGGGAGGGGGUCCCUGAGGGUGGGAGCACCCUCAGGGCACUAUAGUGCCAGGAAAACGAGUAUGUUUUCCUGGCACUAUAGUGGUCCUUUAAAGGACCACUACAGACACCCAGAUCACAUCAGCUCAAUGAAGUUGUCUGGGUGUCAGGUCCCUCUAGUUUUAACCCUGCAGCUGAAAACAUAGCAGUUUCAGAGAAACUGCUAUGUUUCACUGAGGGUUAAUCCACUUACACUCACUUACAAAACAUACUUACAAAACAUACACUCUCAUUGACAAACACACACUCACUAACAGACAUCAAACAGACUCACUAACACACACACACACACACUCAGUAAGACACACAGUAACACACUCACUGACACUCACUAGCAGACACACACACUAACACACUAACACUCACUAGCAGACACACACUAACACUCACUCUAACACUCACUCACUCUAACACUCACUCACACUAACACUCACACACACUAACACUCACACACACUAACACUCACACUAACACUCACUCUAACACUCACUCUAACACUCACACACACUAACACUCACACACACUAACACACACACUAACACUCACACUCACUCUAACACUCACACACACUAACACUCACUCUAACACUCACACUAACACUCACACUAACACUCACACACACACUAACACUCACACAUGAUUUUUUUUUUUUUUUAAUAUAAUCCCCCCAGCCUCCUUACCUCUUGGAGUGCUGGGGGGGAUUAUUCCCUGGGGUCCAGUGGGGCUCCUGGGUGGGCGGCCGGUCGGGCAGGCAGGCGGGCGCGCGAGGGAGCACUCAGUGCUUCCUCUUCAGCUCCCUCGCGCGCCGCGUAGGGAUGCCGGCGCUGGAAGAUGACGUCAUCUUCCGGCUCCGGUAUCAUUGCGGUGCGCGAGGGAGCUGAAGAGGAAGCACUGAGUGCUCCCUCGCGCGCCCGCCUGCCUGCCCGACCGGCCACCCUGGGUCAGCAGGGCCAGCCUCAGGGGGGCCCUGGGGUGGUCGGCUCCUGGGCCCCCCAGGGGAAGAGGCUGGCCCUGGGCGUACAUACCGGGUCGCAGGGGCGGCCGGGCCCCCUGGUGGGCCGGGCCCGGUCGCAGUCGCGACCCCUGCGACCCUGGUAUGUACGCCAGUGCCUUAAGGACACAUGACAUGUGUGACAUGUCGUGAUUCCCUUUUAUUCCAGAAGUUUGGUCCUUAAGGGGUUAAAAAAAUUUUUUGGGUGAAAUAUUCAACAAUAAUACAACAUAUAUAACAAAUAAAAAUUAAAUGUUUAGUUAAAAAUAAAAACCUUUAAAAGUUUAAAAAAAUGUUUUUGUGAAAUAUAGAAAAAUAUAGACAGAAUGACAAAAAAAUAAAAAAAAUAAAAAUUUGCAGACAUUGUGUGUGUGUGUGAUGAGCGCAUUUUGUGCUUUUAUAUCCAGAACCACACAACAAAGGCAUUACUAAUACUGAAAUAUAAGAAAUUAUCAUCGAGGAAGGUAUUCUUAGUUCAAACCUGUCUGCUUUAGUUCUUAAAAGCACAUACUUGAUGCUCUGACAUUCUUGUCUGCCCUGACCAUUGAUUAAGAGAUUGUCAUUGUCAUAAUGUCAGAUGUAAUAUCUGCCAGAUAUUCUCCUAGCAAUCACUUCAUAGCUGACCUUUACUCUAGCCAUUGUCAUUGUCAAAGCCUAGGCCCUUAAUAAAGUUAUUGUCUUUUGGUGAUGCAUCAGAUCAGUUUUUUUGGUAAAACCACUCUCACGGUCGGAAUAUCAGAACAUGAUCAAUAUGUAUUACUCACAAUGAAGUAUACGGCUGAGCUGAAAGAUUGGAAUAAAAGAUAUAUGUUGGUACAGAAAACCAGCGAUUGUUUUGUUUUUUUCUCUUCAAAUGGAUAAAGGUAUCGUAAUUUACAUCUGAAAUAUAUGUACAUUAAAUUGUACUUUACUGGCCAAGUGGAGAUGACCUAAAUACAUGAUAUUAAAGUGUUAGACCUGGAGGCUUUGGGUUAAAAAAACACUCCAAGUACCAGGGGUUUUGCUAUAAUCAAAAAAAUAUGCAGGGUUCUUGGCACAUUUCAAUUAACACUUCAAACACCAUAACCACUUCAUAUCAACCCCUGACACACACGUACACAGACAAGCACAACACCUUCCAGUUAUGUGAAAAUAGAUCUAGUGGUAUAGCAUGUGUGUGUCUAGGGGCUGGAGAGAGAGUGUGUGUGUUGUAUAUGUGUGCUAGGGAUGUAGUAUGUAUAUGUAGAGGAUGUACUAUGGGGAGUAUAGGGGUGCUUUAAUUUGUUUAAUAUAUAUAUAUAUAUAUAUAUAAUACACAAGAUCCAGCGCACUCACCUAUCCACUAAACAGCAACUUCAAUGUUGAAAGAUUUUAUUUGUUUUUUUAAAAACACCUAAUCUAGGCAAAAAUAAUGGGGGUUUAGUUACAUUAUAUGAUCAUACAGUGCAUAAGCCUGCCACAACGUCAAUGUACCCCAUCUUUGGCAGGUCCUACACUAACAGCCUAAUAAACACAAAAAGAAUUCAGUGCUAGUAAUCACAAAAUUAGUCAAGGUAGGCAGCAACCCAAAUGAAGGAAAACCCCUCGGGUCCUUCGGUGGAUAGAUACAAAAAGAUAUGGAAGGGCUGCGCCAAAUAAGGGUAGAUAGUCCAGUAAAGUAUUGCUAGGGUGCCAAUAGAUGGUCUAGGAUACUUGAUAGAGUUCCUCUGUGGAUGCGUCUGGUGUAGACCGUUCCGUAUAUGUAAAUACAAGAGAGGUAGAGGCGACUAAUGGUAUAGUAUGAAAGUUCAGGGUGUGAUAGGUAACAAAAAGUAAAGAACUCACAUUCAGGAGAGCUAUGGCCAGCUCUGGUGUGGAUUGCGUACAGCGGUAUAAUCCCCGCUUAUGGGAUAUGUAGGGAGGGGUCUCCGUCAGCACCGUCUGGUAGUCCAGAGCUCGAAAAAGAAAGACAGAAAGCAACAAUAGUGCUCUCAAUUUUGAUGUGGUUCAAUGUGCAGAUAAGAAGAGGUAAAAAACUCACAUUUGAGGGAGCUAUGGCCAGCUCUGGUGUGGAUAGCGUACAGCGGUAUAAUCCCCGCUUAUAGGAUAUGUAGCGGCGAUACGUCCGUCAGCACCGUCUGGUGAUCCAAGGCUCCAAUAUAGAAGAAUAAAAAGCAGCAAUAGUGCUCUCAAUUGUGAUAGGUUAAGAGAGUAGUAGAGAAAAUAAAAUAAUACUCACAAAGAUAGAGCAGAGGUACUGCUCUAUGGAUAGGCGCCGGUGGUAUGAUCCCCACCUAGGAUUUCUUGGAGUACUGGAACUUUAAAAUUGCCAAUGGAAGUAAAAGUAACCAGGAAAGGUUAAAAUGCCAGGAAUAGGUAAAAACAAAAGUUGUUUAAAGUGCAUAAAGAGUGCAAUAAAAAGAGGAUUGGUACAAUAAAGUAGCCAAAAAACUUUUAUUGAUCUAAAAUACACAGUAAAAUACAGAAUUAAUAACCAUAAACGCGUUUCACCAUAAGUGGCUUCUUCAGAAUGGGAUCAUACACAAGAUCCAGCGCACUCACCUAUCCACUAAACAGCAACUUCAAUGUUGAAAGAUUUUAUUUGUUUUUUUAAAAACACCUAAUCUAGGCAAAAAUAAUGGGGGUUUAGUUACAUUAUAUGAUCAUACAGUGCAUAAGCCUGAAGGGGAAUGGAUAUACAAAGAAAAAUAGCGUAAUAUAGUUUAAAUAGAUGUAUCCCUUGGAAAGAAAUCCCAUAAAUGGGUUCUCACAAACAUGGAGUCUGUAUGACUCUCUUUUCGAACUUUAUGCAGACUAGGGGCUGCACUCCCAUGAGGAAUAAUAAAGGUGUCGAACCAGGUGAAUGCAGAAUAAAAAAAAUUAAAUAAUUUAUUAAAUCUAUAAAACAAAAUAAGGAACAAUGUCCCAAUAAAAACCGUUUUUUAUUGGGACAUUGUUCCUUAUUUUGUUGCCCAACAAGCCCAUGUGUUAAGACAGUCCUUAUCCCCUGCUGUGACAAACUAAUUUGACAUAAUAUAACACAAUGUUAGUAGGCUAACAAUAGCUAGUUGUACGUACAAUUUCUAGAUGGCAGGAGUCAGACCAAUAUUUUUUUUCAUUUUACUUCAGCAAAAUAUUAUACAUAUACAGCAGUUUAAACCCCAAAGAGGAAUUUGAGAUAAAAAGGGAAACAUUUUGAAGGUGUAUCAAUUAUUUAUUAUUUAUUUUAGAAAAAGAAUCCAGGAUGUCACAUAUUUGAGCCGCGUGUUUGAAACUCUGAAAAAAUAUUCCAGAAGCAUGUAUCUAUAAGUACAGAAGUUUAAAAAGAAUUGCUUCUAUUCAGCAAGAAUUGCAGUGAUUAUUUUAUUGAUAAUCAAAACGGCACAUCUUCAACAGAAAAUAGUUGCCAUUAAAGCAAUUUUACAAUUGUCGGGAAUAUUCAUGAAAUGUAACUGGAUUUCUCUUGGAGAUAUAUUUUUUUUUUGUAAGCAUACCAAAACAUAUGUUGAUAAAUGAAAUAGUUUGAAAAUGUAUUUAUUACUUUUAUUAUCUGCAUUCUCUUCCUUUACAUUCAAACACAAGCCUCCAAUUUAUUUUAUACAAUGUAUUUCUCCAUUUUAAUGAAGAAAAGAGAACUACGGAUACAAAGUUAGAUUUGCUGCUAAGUAAGUAAUAGAGGGAGAGAUUUAUAUAUGCUGUGAUGAGUUUGAGUUAUUUUAAUUUUUUUUGACAAUUUAUAAUUACCCUGUCAUCAAAACGCAGAGCUGAAUUUUUUUUACAGUGUGCUAACAAAAUUGGUAACAGGUGUAUAGACUGAGAAAUAUAUUUGAAACUAUUUUAAAAGUUAAAGCUUUGCAGGUGCCUAUCAUUUUUGUUUCUAAUGAAUGAAUUAUUUUAAAAUGGGGUCAGCUUGAUAAUUUUUAAAAGAAUUUGUAAAAUAGUUGAACACUAUAAUAACAUUAUUUCAAAACAAUUUCUGAAAAUAUAGUGGAUAGACUGAUCGAAGACUAAAGACAUCUGUAUCUUAUUGUAUGCAGCUUAUUGUAUUUGUUCUGGUGAGUAUAAUCACUCCCUUCAGGCUUUUUGUAGUAAACACUGUUUAUUUCAGAAAAAGGGUAGUGUUAACAUUACAGCCUAGGGAUACCUCCACUGGACACUCCUUAGAUGGCUACUAGAGGUGCUUCCUGGGGCAGUGUUGCACACUGUGCAGCACUUCCAUUCAGUGUCUCCAUCCUCUGCAUGGAGCAACUGAACUUUCCUCAUAGAAAUGCAUUGAUUCAAUGCACCUGUAUUAAGAGAUGCUGAUUGGCCAGGGCUGUGUUUGUCUUGUGCUGGCUCUGCCUCUGAUCUGCCGCCUUGACAGUCUCAGCCAAUCCAAUGCUUUCCUGUGGGAAAGCAUUGUGAUUUUCUCAGAUUACCACUUUCGAUGCUUUGAGCCAAGUAGGCAGAUCAGGGGCAGAGCCAGAAGCAGCAGACUGGAACAAAAGUGCGAUUUUGCUAUAUUUUGGGGGAGCAUGGGGAGCUAGAUUGUGUUUUUAACACUAUAGGGUCAGGAAUACAUGUUUGUAUUCCUGAUCCUAUAGUGCUCCUUUAAUACAAGCAUCACUGUCUUAAACAUAGGAAGUUGGAUACAUCAUGUCCAGUUUUUUAUAUCUAGUAACUUUAAAAGAUCAUACUAUUUUACAUUUAAAUUCAUUCUAAAAUAUUCUGACAAUUAAAAUGGUCGGAAACAUGGUCAUUUAAUGUGUAUACUGUAAUGCUAAAGUAGUAAAUAUGCAAUUUAAACAAAAACAGAUAUGGGUAGAUUAUAUUUCUCUAUAUACAUAAGUGUAUGAAGAGUGAAAUGAUAUGUUAUAGGCCAGGUUGUCAGAAUUGUUCAAUGGAAAUAAGAAAUGAUUCCCACUGCAAAUGAUUAGCCAAUUAAACUACACGUGCACGUGUUAAAUGUGUUUACUCUGUCUGGACAGAUACAUUAGUAACAUCACAUGGCAUGUGCAGUAGACAUAUUGUUUAAUGGAACUUGUAACCAACCAUAUGUUUAAUCGUUUGAAAGACUAGAGUCAAUUAAUAAAUGGUUCCUACGACCAGUGAAAUCCUACAUUGUUUUAGUUAUAGAGACUUACAACACAUUAUUCAGUCUAGUAUUUAUGUUGUCAAGUAGAUUCAUCUUAUUUUGUCUGGCAUUGUGUUUUUCAUAUAAUUGUUGAAGAAAGACUCUGAAAGGUAAUACAGUAAAUUUAUACCUUAGAACUUUGAAAUAUUCAACCCUAGGCAAAAAUUUUUUUUUCUUUUUUAAUUUUACUUGUAUAUUGACUUGUAAAACAAAUAUUUUUUAUUGGGUUAUGGAAAAUAUUUAGAUUCAGAGGUUUUAAGGGUUUUAUAUCACACAGAUUGAUAAAGACAGUUGCAACGGUUGAAACAUGAUAGCACUCCAAGGACAUCUUCUUGUGAUGUAUAAAUAAAACCUUUUUUAAUUAGUACAAAAUAAAAAAAAUUAUGUUAACUGAAACGUCGAUUUUUAUUUUGUAUUAAUGAAAUAAAAGCUAUAUUUCGUUUAUAUACCACAAGAAGAAGUUGUUGGAGUGCUAUCAUUUAUAUUCAUUGCAGAGCAGUGCCAGGCAUGUAUAUAUAUAUGUAUCAGAAUCCAAUUCAUACAUUUAUAGCAGCACUCUGGGUCUUUAAAUCCAAAAUACUUUAAAGGGAUACUAUAGUCACCAGAACAACUACAGCUUAUUGUAUUUGUUGUCGUGAGUAUAAUCAUUCCCUUCAGGCUUUUUUGCAGUAAACUUGACAACAAGAAUAUAUAUACAUACACAACGAGGGAACCGGCUGAUUAUCUAAAUAAAAACAUACAAAAAAAUAUAUAGUGUAAUACUGUUAUACAAUUUUCACACUGCACAAUUUGAAAUGCACUCACAGGAUCUUCAAUGAUUCAAGCUUUAAUGGUGCCUCCCCUGAUGAUAUGGGGGCUUGGGAAAUUCCCCUGGAUACUUCCACUCAGAUACAGGACUCCGGGUAAAGGUUGAAAAAUUGUGGCUUUAAUAUGUAUAAAAAUAUAUAAAAUAAACAUAAACAAUGGACCUACGCGUUUCGUCCCUGCGCGGAGAUAUAUCGAUGAUAUUAUUAUUUGGAAGGGGUCUUCAUCUUUGUUUCAAUCAUUUGAAUCAAAAUAGGUAUAAUUUGAAGUUCACUUCCGUAUGGAAACAAAAGAAAAUAAUUUUUUUAGAUUUGGCCUUGAUAUGUGAGAAUAAUCAAAUCAGAACGAAAUGCUUUUUUAAACCAAGUGAUGGUAAUGGAUAUGUCCAUCGGCAGAGUUGCCACUAUCGACCGUGGCUUAGAGGAAUAGCAAAGGGUCAAUUUGCCAGAGUGAGAAGAAAUUGCUCAGAAGUUCAAGAUUUUAUAAUACAAUCCUCCCAGAUCAAGGACAAAUUGGUGGAAAGGGGUUAUAAGAAGAAUACGCUUGAUAGGGAAAUUCGUAUAGCUCUACAGACCGACAGGGGUAAUUAUCUGAUGGACAGACCUUCUGUCAAAUCCUCUCAGGAUAAUAUAACUGCCUUUAGAACUCAGUAUUGUACCGAUCAUGUUAAAAUUAGGAGGAGCUUGCAGAAACACUGGUCGAUUCUUUUGCAGGAUCCUGUACUUAAUUCUAUCUUACCGGAUCAGCCCAAACGUAUUUUUCGAAAGAAUCAGAAUUUUAAGAAUACUCUGGCACCUAGUUAUGCUAUAAAAAAAUCAUAAAGUUAGUUGGAAUACGGCUGAGAAUAAUUCUUUUAGAGGUUGUAAUUCUUGUAAAGCUUGUCAUACUGUUAAUAUAGAAAGAACAGAUACAUUUUCUAGUUUCAUUACAGGUGAAGUUUUCCAGAUUAAGACUGUAAUAAAUUGCAGCACGGACUAUGUAGUUUAUUUAAUGCAAUGCCCGUGCGGUAAACAAUAUGUGGGUAGGACCAAGAGGGUCUUGAAAGUUCGAUUUAUGGAACAUAUUAACAACAUUAAAAAGAACUUAGCCACACAUUCAUUUCCAGUCCAUUGCAAUCAUUGUCCACUUUUUUCUUUUUCUGAUUUAAAGUGUAUUGGUAUUGAAAGGGUAUUGAACGAUUGGAGAGGGGGAGAUAGAUUAAAAAAAACUAUCACAACGUGAAACUUACUGGAUCCACAGACUGCAGACAUUGGAGCCAAAAGGACUGAAUGCAGAUGUGGACCUAGUGUGUUUUCUAUGAAUAUAUAUCAUUAUUGAUACAUUUAUUGUUUAAUGAUUAUGUUUUCUAAUAUUUCAUAAUUUUUUAUUUUUUAUUUUUUUAUUAUUUUACAAGGAUGGGUUUAGGUAAAUAAAUCUUUAUUCAAACACAUAACAAUAUAGGGUGAUUGAUAUUGAUUAAAAAUAAGGAUGUAUAUUGAACACAUAUAUAUUAAGCAUAAAUAAUUAAAUAAGAAAUUUUAAAAUGUUAGAUAUUUCAUAAAUAAUUCACUAGUGGACCUAUUAAUAUUUGAUCUCACAAUGCUAAUAGGAUAUAGAUAUAAUACAUUAAGUUAGAUUAGAUAGUAUUAUAUAAAUGGUGUACAUGCAAAUAUAUAUUUGUAAUAAGAUUGAUUAUUCAUAAAUGCAUAUAAGAAAUGUAUUUCAGACAUUUUAGAGGUGGGAUUUUUUAUAUGUAUUUUUGUAGCUAGGUAAUGCAGAGUUUCAAUGGAACGCGUGAGAAAUGAAGAUGGAACGCAUGCGACUUCCGUUUUGACGUGCAGAGAUGCAACGCAUAGCACUUCCGGUUUUUGGAACGCACGGAAGUGCCGAAAAUUAUCGGAGGAUUAUUGAAGUGGUGGAGAUCAGCUGUGAAUAUUGAGGAGACCUCCAACAGAUGAUAUUCAUUUACACAGGACCAAUGAGGAAGGGAGGAUAAGCCCAUGUGACUGAACUACAUUUAGGGAUUAGCCCUAUUUAAAGGACUUGCGGGUGGGGGGUUGUUAGGCUGCUUCUUUUCGAUUGUACUGUAUUGUCUGAUUGUUUUUUAAAUAUUGUGGUCCCUGAGGAAGUCCUGUGUCUCUGUAGACGGGACGAAACGCAUAGGACCAUUGUUUAUGUUUGUUUUAUAUAUUUUUAUACAUAUUAAUGCUGCAAUUUUUCAACCUUUACCCGGAGUCCUGUAUCUGAGUGUCCAGGGGAAUUUCCCAAGCCCCCCAUAUCAUCAGGGGAGGCACCAUUAAAGCUUGAAUCAUUCAAGAUCCUGUGAGUGCAUUUCAAAUUGUGCAGUGUGAAAAUUGUAUAACAGUAUUACACUAUAUAUUUUUUUGUAUGUUUUUAUUUAGAUAAUCAGCCGGUUCACUCGUUGUGUAUGUAUAUAUAUAUUCUUGUGGUCAAGUAGAUUGCCAGCUGGGAGCGAUCUGAGGGAGGCUGUUUUCACCAAUAUUGAUAAGUAUCCUUGUAUAUAAGUAUUAUUGUAUAAGGUACAUUUCUUUGGUUUCUUUUUUUUGCAGUAAACACUGUUUUGUUUUAGAUACAGUGUUUACAUUACAGCCUAGGCAAAAUCCACUGGCCACUGCUCAGAUGACUACUAUUACUAGAGGUGCUCUGUGGAGAAGUGCUGCACAGUGUGAAUGAUAUUUAGUGUCUCCACCCUCUGCAUGGAGACACUGAACAUUUCUCAUUGAGAUACAUUGAUUCAAUGCAUCUCUAUGAGGAGAUGCUGAUCGACCAGGGCUGUGUUUGGCUUGUGCUGACUCUGCCCCUGAUCUGCCUCCUUGACAGUCUCAGCCAAUCCUAUUAGAAAGCAUUGUGAUUGGAUCAGAGAAUCAAAUAUGAUGAUGUCAGCCAAGCAGAUCAGGGGCAGAGUCAGCAGCUGCAGACUUGAAUAAAAGUAAGGUUUUGCUAUAUUUAAGGGGCAAGGUGGUGGUGGUGGGGGGAGGGGUUGAUGGUGUUUUUGUACUCUAUAAGGUCAGGAAUACAUGUUUGUGUUCCUGACGCUAUCGUGUUCCUUUGAUUGUACUUUUAUUCUAUCCAGACCUUGAAGAUGGAAUAAAAGCACAAUAAAAUUAUUUUGGAAUUAAAGACCCAUAGUGCCAUUAUGAAGGUAUGAAUUGGAUUCUGCUGUACCAGGCAUCUUUGCUACUGGAGAGUUAGAGAGUCUCUCACUCUCUAAGAUUCUCUGAUUUCAAUAAAAGCAGAUUUAAUCCACAAUAUACACAACACAACAAUGAAUAGGCACUCACUAAAAUAACAGAGUGGAAGGCAGGAGUGAUCUUGCACUAUUAUCUUUUCCUAUCUCGUUUUUGGUCAUCAUAUACCCAUACAUCAUUGGACCUCAUAUAGUGUAUGUAUAUGUACUGAUUUGUCAUAUACACCUUUCUUUUUUGGCCCUGUUUACCAAACCUUUUUCUUCCACAUAAUCCACAAUGUUGCUAAUAAGAUACUUAAUCAUAUCAGUCUGAAAUCUCAGUCGACUUUUUAUAAGAAACAAAAUCACUUUAUACAUUGAUAAUAAUACAGUCUAGAUUGUCAGCUCGUUUAAGCAGGUUCCUCAUCAACCUGUUGUUCCUGUAACAUUUUGUAAUUGUUUCAUUUGUUUUUAAAUUCCCCCCUUUCAUAAUAUUGUAAAGAUAAUAAUACCGGAAUAAGCUAUUGCUUUAUAAAUACCAAUAAUAUUAAUAAUAAUGAUGAUAUGAAACCAAGAGGGCUGCACUCACCUGAACUUGCAUACUUAUAAGGGUGCUGCAGGGGCCAAUUCAUACAACAUACAAGAUACAGCACACUCACUAUAUAAAUAUAUUUUCAAGUCUCACCGAAUGUAAUAGUUUUAUUUAAAACACCUCACCUAGGCUAAAAAUAAUGGGGCUUUAGUUAAGGUAUGCCAUAGUAACUGAACACAAAGCAUAGGUGACUUGGAGAUUGUUUACAAUUUGGAUAAUUUUACCAUGGAUUUGAAAUUCGCUUUUAAUUCUCAUUUGGCGAAUAACACUGACAUACACACUCAUGAUAUUGAACAAAACAGAGACUCAAAAUGAUACCAAUGACUAUAAAGCCAAUUGACUUAUAGAAAAUCUAUUUUGCUGUCCUUCCUGGCAAUGAGCACUAUGCUUUGUUUGACAUAGUACAGGGGCCCCUAUGUAAUCUCUUAAUUUUAUAACCCAUCUGUGCAACAGUAAUUUGUAGGAUAAAUGUAUUGGAUAUUUCAACUUUUCUUUUUAAUAAACAUUGAAUGCUUUGCUUUAUUAAAUGCUUGAUUUUAUUUUUAUGUAUUAUUUUAAUAAGCUCCAUGUGAUCUCUAAGUGACAUUACUAUUCUGAGUCCAGGAUAAUUUGUUAAACAUGAAGGUGCUGGUCACGUCCUAUAAAGGUCCUAGAAAUUCUUUUAGAUGCAAUAUCAUUUGUGUCCACCAGAUGGAGUUCAAACACAACUGUGACCUGUGAUGGAACAUAAUCAUGGUAUCAGAUUCUGCUCAAAAAAUGUACUUGAUAAGAGAGGAUUUUGCCCCUAAAGAAUGUCUGGACCUUACAGCCAUAUGCCAUCAGUGAAUUGAAGCCUCUAUAAAACAUCAUAGGCCUAGGAAACAUAAUGAAAUAGACAUGAGUAAAGAAAAAAAAGAAUAAUACUGGUAAUAAUACACAAUUUGUAUCACAGGGAAUAAACAAUAUCUAAAGAUAGCUACCAAGGAAAGAAGACGUGUAGUUUCAUCUUAAUAUUUGAUACAUUGUUAUAUUGUAUUGUGGAAUAUUUUAUUAGACUUCCAAGGCUUUACCGUGUUAACCUUUACAAUUCCCGCUAGUGGGGAUGUAUUCUUCUAAAGUGUCAACGACUAUGUUUAUUUCCUCUGACCUUUACCGCCCCCACCCCACACUUUUUAACCAAGCUUUCCUGUUCUAGUUGUUUUUUAACCUAAUUAUGUAUUUAUUGCAUGCACACAUUUUUAUAGUGUGUCCUCUCUCCAUUGAGGGAGAGUUAACUGGUAACUGUGUUUGUUACUACUUUUUUUUUUUUUUUAAAUUUUUAUUUUGAAUUAUUUUUUCCAUUAUUUAUGUUCUUUUGAAGGUAUUAGCUCCAGACAUAGAAGCACACUGAUCUAAAACCUGAGCAGUGUUUACUGGGCAAAAGUGAACCUUUUCACCAUUUCAUGUACAAAUAUUACGCUAAAUGUAUAUCAACUGCUGUCCUUCAAACAUACUACGUUUACGUUACCACAUCCCCCGUUUGGCCUUCUGGAAUCCAUGCAAUGCUUCUAUUGAUUUUAACAAUCCCAUGCAGCAGCCACACAGGCACAGCGUUCAAUUGAUUUAACAAUCCUAUGCAGCAGCAACACAGGUACAGCGUUCCAUUGAUUUUAAGAACCCCAUGCAGCAGCCACACAGGCACAGUGUUCCAUUGAUUUUAACAAUCCCAUGCAGCAGCAACACAGGCACAGCGUUCCAUUGAUUUUAACAAUCCCAUGCAGUAGCAAUACAGGCACAACGUUCCAUUGAUUUUAACAAUCCCAUGCAGCAGCAACACAGAAAUAAUUAAUAACAAUAUUAUAUAAAAUGUGUUUUUACCAUGCCCUGCAAUAAGCUCCAUGUAACAGCAUUUGUUAAUGUUUGCAUCCUCUUCAAUUUGCGCAUAUUUCAGAAGGGGUUAUAUGAGUGGACGAAAUAGCUGACAGUAAUGAUAGCUUCAGGGGGUGUGGAAGAGUAGACACACACACCGCCACCGCCAUCCCCCUCUAUAAUUGGUCAAUCAAGUUAACCAGGUUGCCAGUGGAACUCCCAGGUGAAUUAUAUGGCUCACUGUGUCUGUGUAUAUAUAAAAGGCCCUAGAGUCCAAAACAUUGAUUCUACAUGCUGUGAAUUACUUUUGAAUAUCUUUUUGCUGCACAAGUCCCCUGAGUGUUCUCUUUUUUUGGUUAUCUUAAAUAUCGCUGGAGUCAGCACUAGGCAGUCUCUGUCGGAGUAUGCUGCAGCUGUGAGUGCAAUAUUAGAGUUUUAUAAUAUAUAUAUUUUUUUGCUCCUGAUUUAAAUGUAAAAUAAAAUGUGCGUUCUUGACCAGAAUAAAAUAAUUAUUUGUCUUUAAGUGGUUUCCAAAGUAACAUACAAUAAAAGUUUCCUUUAAACAACAUUAAAUAUCAGCUUAAGGAAUCCAGGCAAUAUUUAUAGUUAUGUAAUGGCAUACAAAUAACAGUUAUUUGUGACAAAUAUGCAGUCACUUUCAAAAACAGCAUUAUAAACAAAUUCAAAUGGUACAUUUCUACAUUUUCCUGGCAAUGCAGCUAACAGCGACUUAAUAGAUGUUUCAAAUAAUCAGAGAAUGAUUGACACAAUUUGUAACAAGGGCUGAAAAAAAAUUACUAAAAAGACAUGACUAAAUAAUGGUAGCAGGAAUAGUCAUUGGAGUGCUAUUUCAGGUCUAACACAUGUAGAAUAUAACGGUAUAUUAAUUUUUUUUCGAUGUAACUAAUGAUUUCUUCUAGGUAAACAGAUCCCAGAAUUAAGUGUUUAUGCACAUCCAUCAUUAUCAGACCAGGCUAUUUGCAGCCUGUUAAUCUCUAGGUGUUUACUACACUGCAAGAACAUUUUGUUAGUUUUUCACAUGUGGGAACUUUCAUUAGAAAUGUAGCCAGUUAGCUGACAUCAAAGUACAACUGCCAAGGCUUUGACAGCCAAAAGACUGUUCGAAGAACAGGAAGUCAUAAAGAGUUAACUGUCAACCCGUAUAAAUUCAUACACAUCAACUUCAAAGGUGAAUAGCACUUCCUAUGUUUUUUAAUAUUAUGUUUACAAAUUCUCCAUAAUUAAUAAAUAUAUAUUUGUGUGGAAUGAAAAUAAUAUUAAAUGGACACUAUAGUCGCCAGAGCAACUUCAGCUUAAUGUAGUGGUUCUGGUUUCUAUAGCCUCUUCCUGCAGGCUUUUUAAUGUAAACACUGCCUUUUUAGAAAAAACACAGUGUUUAUAUUGCUGCCUAGUAACACCUCUAGUGGCAGUCACUCAGACAGCCACUAGAGGCGCUUCCUAGUCUGGUGCUGCACAGUGUGCAACACUUGAAUUUAGUGUCUCCACGAACUGCAUGGAGUUGUUGAACAUUCUGUUGAGAGAGAGAGCCAUGUUUCAGUUAAUGCAAGAAAAUUUAGGGUACCUGAUAUGAAUAAAUCAUGGAUAGAAGUCAAUUUAGUGAUGUUGCAUACAGAGAGUGGAAAGGGCAGUGCGAAAGGAGGACUUAAAGGGAGAGUUACAUGGGAUGGGUAGAAGAUUGGUGUGGUUUCUGGUGUUAACACAAGGUAGGUUAGUGGAGGAGGGGCCAGAAUUUGGAGAGACAUUACCAGCUACCAGAAGCAGAAGGAUAGAAAGAAGGAUAAUGUGGGAGUAAGAUUUAAAUAUUUUGAAUGAGUGUGUGUAUUUGGAGGCUUUAGAAGGAGUUGGUGGAGAAAGGGUGAUUAUGUGAAACCAUUUGAGAUUUUAAGAUACAAGAUAUAAGGGAUAAGGGAGUGGGAGAGAUCAGAUAGGUGAAAGUCAUAAAUGGUGGACAUAAAUUAAAAAGACUAUAAGUGUGAUAACUUUAACACUAACAAAAAUAAACAAAUAUUGAACAACGCAGGAGUUGAGCAUGGAAGGUACAAUAGUUUUUGAAUAAACAGUAUUAUAGGGGAGGGAGGUAAGAAGAAAAACUAUUUAAAAAUAUGAACUAGAUUAAUAAAAUAAGUAAUACUUGUUCUUGAAUUGAUCUUCCAUAAGUUAUACCUCUACACAUGGCUUUGUUUUCAAGACUUGUUAGCAAACAUAGAAACAUAGAAUGUGACUAGAGAAAAGAACCAUUCGGCCGAUCUAGUCUGCCCAAUUUUCUAAAUACUUUCAUUAGUCCCUGGCCUUAUCUUAUAGCUAGGAUAGCCUUAUGCCUAUCCCACGCAUGCUUAAAUUCCUUUCCUGUGUUAACCUCUACCACUUCAGCUGGAUGGCUAUUCCAUGCAUCCACUACCCUCUCAGUAAAGUAAUACUUCCUGAAAUUAUUUUAAAACCUUUGCCCCUCUAAUUUAAGACUAUGCCCUCUUGUUGUGGUAGUUUUUCUUCUUUUAAAUAUGGUCUCCUCCUUUACUGUGUUGAUUCACUUUAUGUAUUUAAAUGUUUCUAUCAUAUCCCCCUGUCUCGUCUUUCCUCCAAGCUAUACAUGUUAAGUUCCUUCAACCUUUCCUUGUUAGUUUUAGCCCGCAAUCUAUGAACCAGUUUAGUAGCCCUUCCCUGAACUCUCUCUAUAAAGUAUUAAUAUCCUUCUGGAGAUACGGUCUCCAGUACUGCGUACAAUACUCCAAGUGAGGUCUCACCAGUGUUCUGUACAAUGGCAUGAUCACUUCUAGCAUUCUUCUAGCAUUUCCUGUUUUUAUUUUUUUUUAUUAUUCUUUAUUAUAUGGUUUUGCAUAAAUUCGGGUAGAAGGAGGGAAAGGGUACAUAAGAGAAAAGGGAGUUGGGAGAGGGUCGAGGGAAGUAAGUUCAAGAUACAGCAGUGGUGUUGGUACCAUCGCAGGGUACGUUUUCAGGCAUAGUGUUACAUUUAAAUAGGAGAGUGCCGUAUGCAUAGGCGAGGUUGACACCUUCGCUGUGUGCAAUUUCGUGUACCUUGGCAUUUUUCCAGAAUUGGUUGUGGUGUGCAGUAAUGUAAUACAUGCCUCCGUAAGAUGCUGUUUUAAGCAUGAUGUUUGUCUUUAAAUAGGUGGAUGUAUUAUACCUUGGUGUGGUAUAUGUCGUUACAGGUAACGUUGUUGGGCAUUGUUUCAUAUUUGUGUAGUUGGAUGUAGUUACCAUUAUUGAAUUUGGUAGCGUUGCGAGGUGUGUUUUUAUUUUGGUUUUAGAUUUGCUUUUGCAAUUUUUGGUGCUGUAACCUUACGUGUAGGUGGUGUGGGUUGCCUACAGUUUGCGUCUGUGUUGUUGUCAUGCUUCCUAUGGCUUUAUGGGUCUUAGUCUGUAUCCUGCUUUGCGGUCAACCCAAGGUAAGGUGGGGUAGGGCGUGGGUUUUGGGGCUUCGAGCGGGAGGGGUGGGGUCGUGGUCCGCAGGCCAUCUGGUGCGUAAUGUGGCCCCUGUGUGGGUUGUUGGGUAUUCUGUAUGGUGUAAGGGUGAGCGUGUUGUGGAGGUGUGUGUGUGUGGGUGUACUGGUGUCCCGGUUGGUCUUCCGUGGUAGCAAAAUCUUAAUUUGAUGGGGUUACCAUGGUAUGGUUGUGUGUCCCCCUUGCCACGGGUCCCAAAUUUUAUGGUACUGUUUGGGUGAGUCGUGUAUUUGCGCUGUAAGUUUGUCCAUGUGUGAGCUAUCUAUUAUUUUCCUCGUGAUCCUUUCUUGUGUUGGGAUGCGAGUUGUAGACCAUAGCUUUGCUAUGGCUCUUCUUGUUGCUAGGGCGAUGCAGGCUAUUAGCUUGUUCUCCGCUCUGGUGAAUGGUUCUAUUGGUUUAGAUAGUAGUAGAGCCCAGGGGUCCAUGGGGCAGGGUUUGUCCAGUAUUUUGGUGAUUAGUUGUGUGACGCUCUGCCAGAGUGGUCGGAGUUUCGUGCACGUCCACCAACAGUGAAGGAACGUCCCCGUCUCCCCGCAUUGUUUCCAGCAAGUGUUAGAUGGUAUUUGGUGCAUGGUGGCGACGCAUUGUGGUGUUAGGUACCAGCGGAACAGCGUUUUAUACGCUUGUUCCGUGUGUGUGACACAGAUCAAUAUGGAGGCUAUGGCCUCCCAGAUGUCCGACCAGUCGGUAGCCUCCUCCGGGGGGCCAAGGUCCGACUCCCAUGCUGUUAUAUACAGGAGAGUUAUUUGGGUCGAGUGGUUGGCUAUGGUCAUGUACAUGUCAGAGAUUUGUCCCUGUCUGUUGGGGUGAUACGUACAGUCUCGCUCGAAGCUAGUGAACGGGGCUGUGCCGGCUUGUUUUAUAAUCGGGGUUGUUGCAAAGCUACGCAGUUGUAUGUAUUGGAAGUGGUCGAAGGUUGUGGGGGAGCAUGAGUCUUUGAUAUCCGUGAACUGUAUGAUUUCGUCAUUUUGAUAUAGGUGUCUCAGCCGUGAGAUGUCCCUGUGUUUGAUAUGGGCAAAGUGUUUUGGGGUUAGUCCCGGUGGGAAGAGUUUGUUCCUCCAGAUUAGUGUCAUGGGGGAUAGGAACGAGGACAGGUCAAAUUUGUCUCUCAGUUUGUCCCAUAGAUCUAGUGCGUGAGUGAUUGCAAGUGCCGUUGGGGGGGUAGGGGCCUGUGUGGUUUGGGUGUCCACAUGUACAAGGACGGGUGGUCCCAGCCAAAGAUCAGGUGUUCUAGGUCUACCCAUCAUUUUUCCCCGGCUGGGAUGUGCCGCUGCUGUAUUUGCGCCAGGUGUGCUGCUGAAUGGUAGUGUGUAAAGUCCCAAGCUCCCGCAUUUCUUGGGUACGUACAGUGUGCUCCUGCGUCCGUUCCAAAUGAAUGUGUCGAUUGCCGACUGCAGGGUCUUGAAAUCUUGUUUGUGGAUUUAGAAUUGGGAAGGUUUGGAAGAGGUAUAGGAAUCUAAGGAGGAGGUUCAUUUUGAUGGAGGCAAGGCGUCCCAGCCAGGAGAUCCCCAGGGGCCUCCAUUUUAUUAAGUCUUCAUGGGCUUUUUGGAGAAGUGGGGUGUAGAUUUUGGUGUAUAGGUUGUUAGUGUCUGUCGGGAUUUGAAUCCCUAGGUAUGAAAUCUCUGUGUGGAAGAUUCGCAGUGGGAAUGCUUGUUCGAUUCUGGCCAGGCUCAAGGGGUCUAGUUUAAUCGGUAGGAGCUCAGAUUUAGUUAGGUUGAUCUUAUACCCUGAGAGUUCUGAGUAGUCUUGUAUGAUGGCGAGUAGGGAGCUAAGUGAUUGUUCUGGAUUGGUCAGUGUUAGUACGAUAUAGUCUGCGUAUGCUGAUAUCUUGAACGUUUCCCCCCUUAUCGUGAUCCCCUCGACUCUGCGGCUGGAGUGCACCACCUGGAGUAGGGGCUCUAAUGAUAGGGUGAAGAGCAUGGGGGCCAGAGGGCAUCCCUGUCGCGUGCCGUUUCUGAUGGGGAAGCAUGGUGGGGGUAUGUUUGGCAGCAGGAGUUCCCCCUGAGGGGAGUUAUAGACUGCGUGUAAGAAGGAAGUGAACUCAUUUGGUAAUCCUAUGUGUGCCAACAUUCUGUGCAGGAAUGGCCAAGACAGGCAGUCGAAGGCCUUUUCUGUGUCUAGUGAGAUGACUGCUGUUGGGAUGCGUCUAUGGUUCGCCAACCAUAUAAGAUCUAUGGCCCUCCGGGUGUUGUCCGUGGCCUUUCUAUGGGGGAAAAAUCCCACUUGGUCUGGGUGGAUAAGGGAUCCUAGGUAUGGGUUUAGUCUAUUGGCCAUGAUCUUGGUCAUGAUUUUGAGGUCUACGUUGAGUAAUGAGAUUGGCCUAUAGUGGGCGGGUUCCGAGUGGUCUUUUCCUGGCUUGGGUAGGAGGCAAAAAUUUGCGUUGGUCAUUUCUGGUGGGAGAAUCUCUCCCUUAAGUGUGGCGUUAAAGACCGCGCAUAAAUGUGUGAGGAGUAGAGGGCCAAAUUCCUUAUAGUACAAGGCCGUGUAGCCGUCGGGCCCCAGACUCUUAUUGGGUUUGAGGGAUCCCACUGCCUGUGCCAUUUCCUCCACGUCACCUCCUGCCCUAUAGCGGUUUUGGCCUCUUGGGACAUGGUGAGGAGUGUGGUGUUUUGCAAAAAAGAAUCUAUGCAAGCGUUAAUAGACUCCCUAAUGUGAUCAUGGUUAUAGAGAUCUGUGUAAUAGUCUUGGAAGAUUUUGCCUAUGUGGGCCGGGCAUUCACUGAGGGUGCCAUCCUGUGUGUGGAUAGAUGAAAUCCGCUUGGCUUCGGUGCGUUUUUUGAGUCUGCGGGUGAGCAUGGUAUCUGCCUUAUUUCCUUUCUCGUAGAAUUUUUGUUUUAGCCACAUCAAGUCUUUAGCGGUGUCCGCAUGUGUGAGGGCUUUAAGGAGGUCUCUGGUUGCAGUCAGUUCCAUUAGUGUGGUGGGGUUGGGGUGUCGUUUGUGUUCGGAUUCUAGGCGACGUAGUUCCGUCAUUGCUUCAGUGAUUUGUUGUUGUGCUUGUUUUUUCUUGUAAGAGGCUAGGCUAAUGAGAGUGCCCCUGAUGACCGCCUUAUGUGCGGCCCAUAAGGACAUGGGGGUGGUUGCCGUUGGGGAGUUCAGUUCAAAGUAGUCUUUGAUUGCUUCAGCUAUUUUAUCGCUGAUCACUUGGUCAUGUAGCAGGAGUGGAUUCAGCCACCAAGUCCAGUGUUUAUGAAUUGUCGGUAAGGUUAUGGUGAUUGCUAUGGAGAUUGGGCCGAUGUCCGAGUUGGUGAUCUGAGGGACUAGGUUCUAGGAAAUCAGGAAGUGGUCUAUGCGGGAGUAUGAUCCGUGUGGGUGUGAGUAGAAGGUAUAGUCUUUCGUAGAUGGAUGUUGUGCUCUCCAGUUGUCUAUGAGGUUUUGUGCGGUCAUGAAUUGUGCAAAGUGGGCAUCGUUCUGGGACGGGCGUGUACGUGUAGGGUUUAGUGGUAGCAGGUGUGUGGACCGUGUUGCAGUCCCCUCCUACUAUGAGGCGUGUGGUGGAGUAGGUGUUGAGGUGGAUUGCUAGUUGUUGCCAGAAUGAGGCGUCUUGUGUUGAGGGUGCAUAUAUUGAUGAGAAGGCGUAUGCUGUUGUGACGAUUUUUCCAUAUAUCGUGAUGUACCGGCCCUGUGGUUCUUUAGUGCAGAUGAUGUUCGUUAGAGGUCAGCUGGCUUUUAAGACGAUUGCUACGCCCUUGGACUUGGUGUCUGGGGAGGGGGCUAUGAAGCUCUGAGUGUAGUAUCUGUUUGUGAGGGGAUACGUGUGUUGGGGUGUGAAGUGGGUUUCCUGAACAUUGGUGUUUUGUUUGCGUGCCCAUCUGAGGAUGCUGUAUCUCUUCUUGGGGGAGUUUAGCUCUUUGGCGUUGAUGGAGACGCAACGUAUGGAUAUGGGCAUUGUGGUUGCAGUAGGUUUGUGUUCCCGUGGGGUAUUUGGUGUAGGCUAAUGUAGGUAGCGCGCCCGGGCGGCCGUGGACUGUCAGGGUGGGUGGCAGGGGUGUAGCGAGGGUGGUGGUUAUCCCUCAGAGGAGGGUGGGAAGUGGGGAGGUGGGUCUGGGUUUAACUAGGGUGGGGUUGGCUACUGGGGAGGGUGGGGUUGGCUACUGGGCUUAUUCGAGGGCCAGUAGGGUGUGGGGCGAAGCGUCCAACCGCUCCAUGGGUGUUCACUAGGGGUUCGGUUCCAAGUGUGUCUGGGGUUGGUGACUGUCGGGUCAGCGCCGCCAGCAGGCUGUUUCUUUUCUGGGUCUUAUUCCCUUGUAGUCUAUGGUCGGUCUUCGUGUCUAUUCUAUGUCUUUUUGAGUUGGGUGCGUCCCCCCUUAACUUGACAUGAUGUGUGUUUACCUUAUCGUUUCUGUCGGUCCUGCAGGGUGGUCUUUGCGUUGUGGACUGGGCCUGUGCUUGGUCCAUUCGCGGGGUGCCCCUGUGUCCAUUGUUUCGUCAGGUGUCGUCUAGUCCGUCUCCGGUUUAUGCGGUGAUGCAGCAUGUUUGAUGUGGGGUGAGUCAUGAGAAUGUAAGUAACAUAUUAACAUUUCAACAUAAUAACAUCAAAAACAUUCUGUGACCUUUGCGUUACGGGGUCUGAGUUAGCGUUAGUCCCUUUGGGGGUUAGCAUUUUUAGGGUGACUGUGGUUUAGAGGCGGCGGAUCACCUCCUGUGGUCGUGCCUGGGUAGGUUCAUGUGGCUCGUUGACAGGUACCCUUUACAACUGACACAACUUAUUUAGGGGUGGGGUUACAUUGCGAGCGUCCCUGCACAUCCCCAUCUGAGGGGUAUCACCAUAAGAUGGUACCGUGGCCGACACUGCGUGCCAAAGGUGUUGCAACUCUGGGCGGGUACCAGUGGUAUAGCCUUGGGUUAUCGGGGGUGUACAGGCACCGGGUAGAGUGGGAGUGAGCGAAGGGAUGGCUGCGGUGCGGUGAUGAGUAUAUAAGUGCAGUGGGUAGACUGGGAGUGAGCGAAGGGAGGGCUGCGGUGCGGUGAUGACUAUAUAAGUGCAGCGGUCUGGCAAGAGUCCAGCUUGGGACACCCGGAAGGUCUAAUGACUAGGGUGUCCGGGGCGGUGUGCCAGUCUGGGUUGGCGUUCUCGUUCCGGAGGGUUCGUGCGGGUGGUCCUAGGUUGGGCUGGUAUAUUUGGUAGUAUUAGUUAGUGGGCUACUGAGUGAGCCAGUAAUGGCCUUUUUGGGCCUCUGUAGGUCCCUUUUUCCUCAUCCUGCGUUGGGUGGGAGUUCUCUAUUGUCGAGGUGCUAUGAUUUUGUAAGUGGGGCAUCAGGGGUAUGUGCACAUCGUGGUGUUCCCCACUGUCUAAAGGUAAGCAGGGUUCCUGAUUCUCAUGGGGGUCAAGAUAGUUAAGUUAUAUAUAGCUUGCUCAGUUGUUUCCUUCCCCCCCACCCCCUGUCCCCAUCCCUCCCUCCCGCCCCAUGAAGUACCAAUUCCCCUUUGAGUUCCCCUUUAUGCCUUUAUGUUUGGGUCUGCGUGCAGGCAUUUGUUUUAUAUUAAGUUCAGCUAUCUAGUGGCUGUGUGUGUUUAAUCGAUUGUGGCUUCAUUUAUGGGAGUUGUUGGAGAUGUGCUUUCCCCGUUUGGGUGAUCUUAGUGGGGGCUGAAGGGGCGUCCAGCAGGGCGAUGUCGCUCAAUGGCGGGCAAUGUGGCCUCAGAGGACAGGUUAGUGUUGCCAGUGGGUUGAGUGGUGCGUUAUUGGUGUUUGGAACUUAGGGGUUACAUACAUUUGAGUGAGCCGCCACGGUAGGCUUGUGAUCUUAGUAUAUUAGUGUAUCAACCCUGAUGGUUUGAGGGGUUGGGCCGCGUAGGGGUUGCUAUAUGCCAGACCAACCCCCUUUUCCCCCCCUUUAUGAUUGAGGUCCGACCUGUCUGGUGAGAUAUGCUUUCUGCGCCCCUCUGGGGGUUGGGUAUUGGUUGUGGGCAAUUUUAGUUGGGGUGUGCUUAUCCUGUCUUUUGGUCCCCUCAAUUACAAGGUCUAUGGCAUUUAGCAGUUAAACAUGAACAUUAUACUUUAAACAUUUGGUCUAAAAACAGUUUAGCUCUUAUCUGUGGUUUGGUUUCAGUGUUGGCGUCUCUGGAGUCUUUUGUAUUCUCAGGACCCGCGUGCUUCUUUUGUUGGGCAAUGUGUGUUCUAGUUGUUUUUCUGGGUCCCUCUGAUGGGUCUGUGUAAAGCUUUGUUUAGUUCGUUUUUCUCUUGUGCGGUUCGAUUAGUGGUCGGGUGAGGUUAGUUCUCAUGUGGUGAGUGGUGGUCGCUAGGUGCCGGGUUGUUUGCGGUCGAGGUAGUUGAUCUUCUUGCUGCAGGUCUCCUGCCGGGUUCCCCAGAGGUUGUUUCCGUGGCCAGGUCUAUGGCAGGGAUGCCCAGGCAGUCCGUGAAGUCUGCUACGUCAGAAGUGUUGUGUAGGGUAAAUGUGCGGUUGUUUCGUCUCACUUGUAGUUUGAAGGGGUGCCCCCAGGAGUAACGAAUGUGUCGUCUGGUGAGUUCCUGGGUGAGAGGCCUUAGUUCCCAUCUUUUGUGGAGGGUGCUUGGGGCUAGGUCCUGAUAAAAAUGGACUUGGUGCCCAUCGAUUUGAAGUGGUGUGCCUCUAGCUGCAAGCAUGACUGCCUCUUUAAUGUGAAAAUAGUGUAUGCGAAUGAUUAUGUCCCUGGGUUGGGUAGUGUUAGGUGCUGGGGCUCCCAGGGCCCUGUGCGCUCUAUCCAGCAGUAGCUCUGCUGGUGAGGCCCCAGGAAGCAGGCCGCAGAACAGUUCCCGGAGGGUCAGGGGAAAUGCAUCCAUCUCCACUGAUUCCGGCAUGCCACGAAUCCGUAUGUUGUUGCGGCACGAGUGGUUGUUGAGUUCCUCCUGGGCCUCCUCCAGUUGUCUGACUUGGUCCUGUAGGGCCGUGAUAGCUUCCUUGUGUGCUGAGGCCUGCGUGAAGGCCUGGUUCAGCCUCGUCUCCAUGGCUGAUGUCCUGCGUGUUAGGUCGCUGAGACCCUCUUUAAUGGGUGUUAGGUGUUUGGUGAAUUCUUCGAUCAUAUUCAACUUGAUUUCUUUUAGUAGCUGUUUGAGAUCGUCUUUUGUAAGGGGCAUUGUGGAAGCUGUCCGGCUAGUGUCGCUUGCCGCCAAGUCUGAGUCAUACUCGCGGCCAACUUCCCCACGUGUGGGUCCUCCAUCUUUGCGGGAGCUAAAUAUCAGCACCACUUUGGAGCCUUGUUUGUAUUUAUGUCCUCCUCCCAUUCCCACACUAGUGUGCGCCGUGGUUGGAGGUAAAAGUGACCGGUUUGCAGAAAAUUAUUUUGGGUUUAGAUGCUGUUGUUAGCUCUAGUUUUGCCUGCUGGUACGGAGCUCUAACAAAAAAGCCGCCAUCCGCACCCCAGCAUUUCCUGUUUUAUGCUGCAUUUUGCAUGUUUUAUUUAGAGGUUUUCAACUUAACUUAUGAAUGAUGUUGUUUGGAGCACACACAAUCUUCAGUUUUUACUGUUGAAAACCUCUGAAUAAAACAUACGAAACACAGCAUAAAACAUGUGUCCUCUUCACUCAAAAAGCUCAACAGAUAGUUACAGGGACACAUUAAACCACAAUAGCCAUUACAGUAUUAUGGAAACUAUUAUGUGUCCUCAAAUAUCAAAUAUUUAAAGAUGCACAAUUUACAACUUUAUCCUUCUUACAUAGCUUACAGCACAAGGUGGUCCCUCCUUCCUACGAAAAGGUCCUGCAUCUGUAAGCCACCCCUCCAUCAAUACACAUGUACAUAGAUAAACUGUACCCAGGGUUCUACUUCUUUUAACUGACUCUUUAUAAAGGUCUAUGAAGGUCUGGGUACAGUGAAUACAUGUGCUAAUGCAGUAACUUCCAAUGUGAGUAUUUUUUUUAUUUUCAUUUUCUUCAUUUUUUUAUAAUUUAUAAAUUUGGAGGUGGUACAAGGCAAAUAUAAAUAACAAUUGACACAGCAGCCAAGUAAUGCAAAUACAUGAAUGAAAAAGAAAAACGGUGUCAAGUUGAAACACCUAUUUUUAUAUAAAACAACAGCUGGUGUUAAGCGAGAAUGCCAAAGAGUGUGAGUAAAAGCAGCUAAAUUGCUAGUAGGUAAUCCUUUCACACAACAUAAUAAACUUAACAGAACAGUAAAUGCCUACAGAUGGCAAACAUUUAACUCCUAGUGGAGUACAUAGUCCAAUAACCUAUGGAGCAACAGUGGUGGUGGUAGGGGGGAUGGCACAAUGUAUUCAGAUGGACACGUCUGCAUGAAAAAAAACACAAGUCAGGUGUAUUACACUGUAGUAAAUAAGCUGAAGCUGUGCCAUCGGUUACAAUUGGACGUAGUCUCCAGAAGCAGAAUUCAAAAUAAGGAUGCUUGUGGUUUUAACUGGACUUAAAAAUAUGGGUAUAAAAAGCUAAACAAAAUAAAGGAAAUUAAGUGUGAGAUCUGAUUCAAAUUUAGGGUAUUUAGAGUCCCGUUCCCAUCCAGGCAUAAAGGGGUAAUUCUUGUGAUGCCACAUGCAUGGCCUAACUUUUGAAAGGGGUUUAAUCUGUAAGGCCCCAACGCCUGUAGAAAGACCAAACCCUCUGAUGGUCCUAAUACUUUGAAGGAUUUUCCGUUACAGGUUACCGUGAGAGCUCUAGGGUAAGUCCAUCUAUAGGAAACUCCAGCUGUCUGGAGAACCUUGGUUACAGACUGCAUCGUCUGGCACCACAGCAAGGUGACCCUACUUCAGUCCUGGAAGAAGGUUAGGUUGUGGGAUUCAAACUGUAGUGGAAUGUUCCUUUUCAGUGCAUUUAGAAGCCUUUUUUUGUUGGCAAAAGUCUGGUAGCAUAGGAUAAUUUCUCGAGAGGCUAAGUUUGGUGUCUGUGAGGGUUUGGAAAUAUGGUAUAUACCAUCAAAAGUGAAUUGUAUAGCUAGUUUUGAAGGCAGGAUAGAUGAGACGUCUGAUUAAAUGGGAGAGUUCUUCUAUGGGCAUUGAGUCUGCUACUCUAUGGAUCUUAACAUUCUUGUGGCGCUUUUGUCGCUUAGUUGGUCGACCUGGAGGGUGAGGUUUGUGUGUAGGGUGUGUAGCUAUUGCAUUGAUUCACCCAAGGCCUGAAAUCCUGGUAUAAGAGGUGGAUUUCAGAACCUGGUAGAGGGUUGGUCUGGCUUCUGUGACUUGCGGCCCAUUUCAGUACUAGACGGAGCUUUUGAAGGUGCUGAGGGUUUGAGAAGGGAGCUGCCCGUGAGAAGUCCUUCAAGCGUGAGUUGGCCAUACGGGUGUGAGCAUCAGACAGGAGAAGGUCACAGGCAAAGCGGAGAGACCGAGAAGGGGCAUACCUAUGUGUGACGAGACCAAUCUCGCCACAUUGCAUUGGAGAAGCCUGGUUGCUCGCCUGCUACCUUUGGACUAUGGCCCCCUGUUAAAAGACAUAUUUUUUACCUGCAGAAAAGCUUCAUUCGUGCUUUUCUGCCUGGGGUUCGGUAGAUUUGUUUGAAUGUGUUAUACCCCAGAUAGGAAUCCCAUGGAGCCCAUUCGUAUGAAACUGACUGUAAAGACUUUGGCUCCAUGGCGAUUAAACUGUAUUCGUGUGGUCUGAGUGCCAUUCACUUAAUAAUGUGCGCUCAGACCUGAGCUAUCUGGGGAUAUGUUAAAUGUCUGUGUUUUAUGUAACAAAUAUGACUUUAUGUAUUUUAAAGUGUUUUACUGUCUUUGUGUCACCAUGUGCAUAAUGGAGUCUUGUCCCUGUCCUGGGAGAUAAUUGAAUUACUUCUCACUUAUCUCCAGGGCAGAGGAGAGGAAGCCAGGAUGCAUUGUGGUAAAAGGUAUGUGUAUUGGGUUACCUCUCAGGAUAAGGGGGAGGGAAUCUGUGGGUUGUAACUAAUAUGUUACUGGAUAUUUUAUACCUCCCUGUGGGCAGUCCUGUAUUUGCAAGACUGUAAUAAAAACCAGGCUGGGUGUGCCAGCACCUCAGACCACUGCUUGACCCUCAACACGGAGCCUUGUCUCGUUCUUGGGGGGAUUCACUGUAUGCUGUUAGAGACUGAUUGCCAGGAGUGUAAGCUGAUUGUCUGCUUUUCCUGUUCGUCUGCUAGCAGCUAUUUGGGAGGUUCCAGUUCGGGAGUUGGAGUGCUAUUUUGUAUCCAGUUCGGGAGUUUGGUGUUCUGCAGUAGCUGUGCCUGCAUCUCUGGAAAGGGGGCCGAUCGCCUAAACGGUUUUUACCCCUUGUGUGCAAAACGGUCCGUUACACUAUGGAUCUGUGAUUAGAUAUAAGAGGGGCUAGAACUGUUCAAUGCUUUAUAGGUAUGGGUUAGCAGUGAUGUAACUCUCCAGAAUUGAAGUUCAGGGACCAAUGAAUAAGUAAACUAUGUACUUUGUUACAGUAAAUAAAAACACAACAAACUUAGAGAUAAAACUCUAAUCACAAAGCUUUUCGACCGUAAAGGGUCUUCCUAAGGUGCAUAUCUCUACCGGGUUAGAAAUUUCUAUUUUAUACCAAACUUAAUGACAAAAGUAAAAUCAGGUGUAAUAAUUAGCAUACCCAAAUAUGGAAUUUCCAGGGCCUUCUGCCAUUACAAGGAAGUCAGAUGGUCUCUUAUAACCAAUCCCAAACCUCCCUAGAUGGAAAAUGUCCCACCCACAAUAAAACAUUUAUACCCCACUUCCUCCAUCCGGUCUUAGUAUCCGUCCGGAUUCUUCAAGAUGGUGUUCCAUCCAUUUCCUGUUAUACAUGCGUCAGACAUCAUAAUGUCCAUGUGAUGAAGUCACACGUCCAUGUCCGCAAACUGGAACCGGGGCUUUCAGUCCCGUUUUGUCCUCAAGCACCAUACAUGUUAUGGGCGAAGGUAUAGACAAUAGUAAGGGUGGAAUAUGCUAUAAAUUUAAUGGCUCAAAGGAAAGAGAGGAGUAGAGUAAACAGAUGUAAGGAGAUAAAAUCUAAAUAUUAGUAAAACAUGUAUAAUACAUUAGAGAUUACUUAAAAAUGUAUAUAUGAUCCAUAUUAAAAUACAGCCAAUAUCGAAGUCUAUAUUUAGACCUUUUGGGGAAGGAUUCUUCAGUUCAAAAAUCCAUUUCAGUUCUUGUCUGUCCAAACUGCAAGCACUGUUCCCACCUCUCCAAUUGUUGGUCACCCUAUCGAUUCCUAGAAAUUCUAAUCCACUCUGAUCAGACUGGUGAUGAUCUAGGAAGUGUUUAGAUACACUAUGGUUAAUUUAACCCUUUUUAAUGUUCCUGAUAUGUUCAUUUAUGCAUACUAUAAAAGCUCUACAUGUCCUGCCAACAUAUUGGACAUUUCAAUAAAUAUAUGACAUUUUUUGUUUCACAGCUGAUAAGGGAUUUGAUUUUAAAAACAUUUUUGGUAACCAUAGCUAUAAAAUCCUCAUUUUUAUUUUCUAAAACAUUAGUAUUUUUACAUGCAUUGCAGUAGCCGCAAUGGUAAAAACCCUGUUUGUGUUUUGGACCAUUUAUCUAAAAAAUUAUUCCCAUCAUUAUUCUUAUCCACAUAACGAGGUUAGAAUUUGUUUUAAAUUCUUUACUCAUCUAAAAAACAAAUUUGGGUUUAGAUCCUGUAAAUUCAUCCAACUCAUGAUCUUGUUUUAAAAUGUGCCAAUUCAGAUUAACAAUCUUUUUUAGAAAUCCAACAUUCGUACUGUAAUUAAAAAUAAAAAGGAAUAUAUUUAUUUUUACUUUCUUAUUUUCUUUAUAUUUGAGUAGUUGGGACCGCUCUAAUUUACUCAUUUCUUAAAUCUCAUUCUGAAGUGGAUCCCCUUUAAAACCCUUUUGUUCAAAUUGUUUCUUUAAAAUGUUUGAUUGGUCCAUGAAAUCUUAAAUUGGCCUCUAGGUAAAUUUUCCAACCAGGGGCGAUGGUGACAACUCUCCUUAUCAAUAAAACUAUUGAUGUCUACCGGUUUAAAAUACGUCCGGGUUCUGAGGGUGUUUUUAGAAACAUAAAUAUUCAAAUCUAAAAAACCUAUACUGCUGGGGCUGAUAUGUUUGGUAAAUCUUAUGCUCCAAUUAUUGUCAUUUAAAUUUUUUUUAAAAGUGUUAAAAUCUUCUUCCGACCCUUUCCAGACCAUAAAAAUAUCAUCAAUGUACCUCCUAUAGAGGACAAAAUUCCCUCCCAGCCAGCCAUCCUGAUAGUUAGAAGAUUUUUCCCAAUAGGACAUAAGCAAGUUGGCAUAGCUGGGAGCGAAUUUGGUCCCACAGCGCUACCCCUGGUCUGUAAAUAAAAAUCUCCCUCGAACAAAAAUAAUUGUUGGUGAGAAUCAUCUCAAUACCUUUAAUGAUAAAAUUAAUUUGGUCAUCUAAAAAAUUCUUAAACUGUCCAAGAUAAAAUUCUACAGCUUAGCAACCCUUGGCAUGUUCUAUGAUAGUGGAUAAACACAUCACAUCGCAUGUGAUCAGGAAAAAGUGGCCCUCCCAGUUAAAAUCAUUUAAUAAAUUAAGUAGGCUCAUGGAAUCCUAGAGGUGUGACGGACAAGUUUUUACCAAGGAUACUGUGAUAAGAGGGAAAGGAUAGAGUUAAUACCAGAAAUGAUCAGUCUCUCUGGUGGGUUCACCAGAACUUUAUGAAGCUUUGGUAAAAUGUAUAUAACUCGUAUUAUGGGGUUUUCUAAAAAAGAAAAAAAGAAAAUUCCCCCUUAUUCAGUAUCUUAUUAUUAAGAUCAUAAUUGAAAAAAAAUCAUAAUAUUCUCUUUUAAUACCUUCAGCUGGAUUCUUUAAAAGUUUCUUAUAUGUUGUGUUAUCCUGCAAUUGGUGAUCAAUUUCUAAUAAAUAUAGUUCCUUAUCUAAAAUCACUACGCCACCUCCUUUGUCCAUAGGUUUAUUACAAUUGAAUUGUCUUGUUUUAAAUCAUCAAUUAUUUUUCUCUCACUGAAAGUCAUAUUCUGCUCGUAUUUGGACAGUGGUUCGAUUUGAUAUAUUUCUUCCAGACAGGCUUUUUCGAAAACUUUUAUAUUACCUGACUUUAGAAACUGAGGAUAAAAUAUGGAUUUCUUUUUAAAAUUAGUGUGGACCAUCCCUGUGUUGGCUUCACUAAGCGUAAUAGGAUCAUUAAGAUUAAAGUUAUGUCUAUUAAAAUAUUAUUAUAAUUUAGACACAAUUUCCUAAUGUAGCGAUUGAUAUCUACGUAAACCUCGAAUUUGUUAACCGGACAACUAGGAGCAAACUUAAAGCCUUUGGUUAAAACCUUUUCUUGAGUGGAUGUUAAUUUAUUUUUUGAAAGGUUAAAAACUUUUAUAUCAUUCAUCUUUUUCUCCUUUUCCCCCAAUUUAAUUCCCUCUCCUCUAGUUCCUCUUCUAAUCUUCUUCCUUUUUUUUAACAGUGUACCGUACUCCCUUUCUCUUCUUCAUAAAAAUAACACCUUCUUCCCUGUCAUUUCUCAAUCUGUCAAAUCUAUUACUGAGUGGGAUUUCAAAGGUAUGUUUCUCUGUUUCUCUUCCCCUGUAGUUACUCUUCUUUAUAUCCUGGGGUGAAGUAUGGAAAGUUUUAGAUCUAACAACUCCAUCAUGAUACUUGCUCUCUGAUCUUUUAUUGAUUGGAGCUUACUUUUCUUAUUCUUUCCCUAGGGGUGGGAAGUGAUACUUUGUGGUUCACUUUCACCUUAUUAGGUUGGUUAUAAUGCUGCACUUCCCUCUGUUUGGGAUUAUUCUUUUCAUUUUUUCUCCAAUUUUGUCUGUUAAGCUUAUCAUGAUUACGAGUCUUCCUUAAUUUUACUGGUCAUUAGCCCUGUCAUUAGCAUUAUCAUUUAGAUCACAUUAGUAUUUUUUAUUUUUGUUAGUGAUGAUAGAGUUUUCUAAUCUUUCUAGAUUAUGUUGGAUUUUUUCUGACAGUAUCUCAAAAUCACCUUCUCUCACACUGUCACACUCACCUUACCACAUCAACCCCUCCAAUCCUGUCCUUCAACUGUGACACACUUACCCUAAACCCAGUCACACUUUCCCCCACAACCCUGCCACACUCACCAUGUCACAUUAACUCCCCUUAAUGUUGUCACACUCCCUCCCCCAAACAUAGCACAUUCCACCCAAACCUGUGAUACACCCCCAACUAUGCCACACUCACCCUGUCACAUUAACCUCAUCCAAUCCUGUCACACUCCCUCCUCCAGACAUGUAACAACCCCUAUGAUUCUCACCCUCUCUCAUUCUGUCACACUCACCUUCCCAACCCUGUCUCAUUUACCCCCCUCACCAUGUCAAACUCACCCUGUCACACUCACCAACUGAAGACAUUCAUUAUUUGCACACACACAGACAUGAAACGUAGCUGUGCCAUAACACAAUGCACAAUGCACAAAGGCCACAGGCAGGUCCCAGACACAUGCUCACAAAGACAUACAUUCACAUACAAGGAUACUCUCUGUCAGACACACACUUUCAGGCACAUACACUGGUAGACAAUGUCAGACACACUCAGAAAUACACACACCUGCACUUAUGUAUACACGACUGCCAGGCUGUGUAACCAUACCCCGCAAUCAUGUAGAAACGAUUAGCAUAUUUGCUAAUUAAAUUUGUUUAUUACAAAUUAAUUUAGUUUGCAAAUUAUGCCAUAACUUCAGUCAUAGAGCUCACAACGCAGCGGUACAGGGAGCUGUGACACUGCAAGCCUCUGAACAAUGAAUACAGAGAAUAGCUCUUUGUAUCCAGCGCUGUGAGCUCAUCCUUCAAUAUAACUACAGCUCCUUAUACACACACAAUGAACCCCUAUUUAUUUUCACUUUUGGUGCUAGUGGGGCCUCAUGUUUGAGUUUCGCCUAAGGCCUCACAAAGUCUAAAGCCGCCACUUCUAGGUUUGUUAUAGUUCACACUUUUAAUCCAUAACAGCUACCUUGACAACUGAUAUGUAAGUUCAGGUUCUCUCAAAAGACCAUCACACUUUCAGCUCCUGACCCAUUAAGCCACACACCUAAUCAUAUUUCUCUGUCUAGCUAACACAAAGGCAGGGCUCGUUUUGAGACUGUACCCUUUACCUAAUUCACCCAUCAGCAGCACGUCUAAUUAGGAUGUUAUUAAUCUGUCUAUUAGCCAACAUGCCCUUUAGGAAAGAUGCCCCCAAGUCUUAAUUUUUAAUUUAAUUUCAGUAAUUGCAAUUGAUCACUUCAUUAUAAUAUUCAUUCAAGUCUCCGAGCGAGGGAGGAAGCUAAGACAGCAGGUAUGUUUUGUCUAAAUAUCUCAGUGACAUUUUUAAUGACUUAACCAUAAAUUAGUAUGCAUGACCUUUAUUCUAGAUUUAGAUAAUAACGUAAGGUGCCCUUCAGCUGAAAUAAUUUGUUCAAAAUAUCACUGAAUAUAAUACAUACAUUCACGUGGCUAUAUUUAUCUCAUACUAAGAAUACUCGGGUAAAAAUGGUCUUAAAGUGUGAAAUAAACACAUGGAAGUUCUCCAGAACUACCCAUAAGGUGAGCUACUUCUUGGAGGUACUUUCAUUAUUGGAUAUUUGACCUAUCAAACACAUGGGCUCAUGAACACAAUGUAAAAUAAAUAAAUAUUUAUCCUGAAACUUUGAGAUUACGGUUGAGAUAGAGAAGAGAUCGCAAUCAAUUUAUGUUUGCCUAUCACUGCUGCCCAUUGCUGGUAGAGUUGCCAUAGUUCAUGUGGAGCCACGAGGACCCCGGUAACCUGAUUCUGUUUUAAACCAUUCAAAACAUACUGAACUGUGGGAUGGCAUAAGGUGACUCCUAGUACCAAAACAGCUUAAAUCGGAUGAAGUGAUUAUGGUGCCUAGAGUUUUCUUUUAAUAUUCACAAACAUGUUUUUUUAUAGACCUACAGCUGAUGUUAUUGUAUAUUUAUUUAUUUAUAUUUUUAACUUGCUUCUAUGCACCAGAAAGUACAUAAUAUUCAGAGGUGGCUUGAGAUUAAAUAAGGCUUUAGGCAUUAUAUUGCUCUUAUGCCCCAAAUCCUUAAUCACUUAUCACCCUGUCACUUUUAUCCAAAUCACAAAAUCCCUCUACCCCAAUCAUAUUACCUUAAGCCAUAUAAUACUUGCCUCGAUCACAGCCCCACAAUCCCCUCAUCAUCCCUUCUACACAUAACUUUCAAGUUCCACAUUUGGUGGUAUAUAGGCAAAGCUACCAGGUGGGAGCUGCCUAGGUGCAUUAGAGGCCGAACAAUGACGGAGUAGGUAGGGUUACAUAAUUUUACCACCCACUCCUUUACCACAAACAGCACUGUAAGUACCCACUUGUUCAUUAACGUUUGAAAGGAUUCAGGAUUAAACACUUUCUUUAUUGAGAUUUUGAUAUUAGAUUAGGUCCCAAACAUAGUAACUUUUUUUCCAAAGAUCAUAUAUACAAAAUACAUUUUGUUUGUGAAAGAUUCUAAAAAAAAGAUCUUGUUUUGGCAGGAUAUUUGACAUCUGUCAAUGCCCUUUUUGAGCGUUUAGCACAUUUUGUCAGACAAUAAAUUAAAUUUGGAUCAGUUUCAGGUAUAUCACACACCUUAAUAUCAAUGGAAAUUCUGCCCUCAGUAUAUUUCUGAAGACUUUGUCCACGUAGUUUCUAGUCCAGAAUUUGUCAGGACUUCCUAAAAAAAAACAUCAAUGUCUCUAGUUUAAGAAUCCACUUUGAUAACGUUAAAUUCUCCCGCAUCUCUGUCACUAAUCUCACCCCAUCUGACAGACAAAAAUAAUCUAUUUUUUAUAUCAAGAAUUCCUGUCCAUGCUAACCUCCUUGUAGAUUCAGGGUCGAUGGCACAGUUAGUGUCAGCGCAAAUCCCUCUCGUCCAUAUCCAAAUUAGUGUGGAAUAAUUUUUUGUUAAUUAAAUGGUAAGGUUGACUCAUUUGUGAGAGUGCUUAUUAUAUUUAAAUCUUUUCAUUUCAUGAAACACUGUGAUGACAUAUUUUAAGCAGAAUGUUUCAGAGAAUGGAAUGCAGUUUUUUUUCAUCUGUCAGGGUCCGUGUGUUCAGUCGAGAGGCUAUUGGAUCACAGCGUUUAAUGUCAGAGUCAGAGAACCUGCCAUUGCUCCAGACACAGUUGCAGACAUAGGAUCUUAAAUUUGCCUAACAACCUUUUCAGUAUUGUAAUUUACACUACAAGACAAUCAUGUUUUACCAUUGCUGUUUUUAUCUACAGCAAUUUUUCUUUUUGAAAUUACGAGGAGUUUUAUCAUUUCCCAACACUUUUUAGUCAUCAUUUCGAUGAAUUAUUGGUACACUUUAUUAAACCUAUUGUGUUUUUUCAUCUGUUGCCUCUUUUGCACCGAAACUGUAAUUUAUAUAUAGAUUGAGUUAUCAGUCUUUUAGGAACUGUUUUCUGAUAUUUUUUUUUUUAAGUCUUUUUUCUUUUCUGACCCUCUAAAUUUGGAAUUCUUCUGAAAUAGAAAUUUCUGCAAACACUGGCAGAAUAUACUACGAAGAAACCAACACUUUUUAGAUCACUUUCUUUGUGUCUGUUCUGCAGUGACUAAAUAAACACUUAAAUAGUAUUUGUUUAAUUAAACAUAUAAUUUGAUAAAUAAGUUAUUGACUCAUUGAUAAAUAGAAAUAAAUUAACUGAUAUAGUUCAAAUGUUUUGCCUACACUAAAAGCGUCAUUUAUUGGACUUGCAGUUAUUUUGAGGGUCUACAAUAGCCACCAAGAUGUCUGCCUGUGAACAGGAGCCCCCCAUAGAUAUCAAGAUAUUAUUGUCCAUGACAAAAUGGUGUCUGCAGACUUCCCGGUAAAGUUUACUGCCACAACGAGAAUAUUACAACAUUGUCUGAAUAAGAAGAAUUAAAAAAAGUGAAUAUGUUCCGAUGUGUUUCCUGAUUGGACAAGACUUUGUAACUAUGAAGAAAUUCAGAAAGUAAACUGGUGAAUAAGACAAAAUAAAUUAAUAAAAGUAAAAACUGCCUACAGAAAAUAGAAUUAAUGGCGUUUCAGCUGAAAAACAGACGUAUAAAAAUAGACAAUGACUAGAAAGCAACAAUGAUAAAAACAAAAGUCAAAAUAAGACAACAUCGAGAAGGCAAAUGGAGUAAAGUGAUGAAUAAAAUAUAACUGCACAGCUAAAAAAAUAUAAGGCACAAUUAUUCUUAUUCUUAUGUUGGUGCUUAUAUAGUGCAGAGCUUUACAAUAUUAGAAAAAGGGGGAAAUUUAACAAUAAAUUUAACAAUAAAUUAGGUAAUUACAAAAUGUUGCAAGAACUAUAUGUUGAUGAGGACCCUAUUCAAUCCAUAACAACACAGUGGAUACAGUGUACUGAGUGAAAAACUACUGCACAAAAUCAAUACACGAGUUCUCAAAUAACACACACAGCAAACAAUUUAUAAGCAGACAAAGACCGUGCUCUAAAUACAAGUGCUCUUCAAGUCAAUGGUCUCCGUUAAAUACAGGCGCAUUCAGCUUUGACACAUUCAGCUCCAGUCAAAGCAUCAGAGAGAGAGAGAAAUUAUGACAUUAUAAGCAACAUACUUUAUUUCAAGUAAAAACAAUAUAGUAAAGGAGGAAGAAAAUCAUUCCAGAGUGACAGUGACUAUCACCCCAUGCUACGUUGUGAUUGGUUAAAAGAAUGUUUAGAAUGUUUUUAUUUUAGAGUUUAUCUCCUGCUGGGGAAUUGUAAAGUAAGUUAAUACGUAAAAUGAGCCUUUGUGUCUACAUAAUAUGUAAUACUAGGAAAUUGUAGCCACAUAUUUGGGCCACAUGGUUAUGUGUUUGUGAAGGAAGUUGUCCUCUGAACCAUGUGCCAGGCUGCGAUUAAUCAGGAAAGCAUUAUUAUAGUCAUACGGCUCGUUUAGAUCAUUGUUGCUACUUUUUACUGCUUAUUGCUGCUUUUAGUGAGUAUCGACCGGUUACCAACUUCAACAUUUUAAUAUGAGUCACAGGAGUUUGACAGCAGUCACUACUAAAAUAAACAUUGUUUUCUAAGGCAGUCACUAACCUCUAUUUAAAAGUGCCCCCCUUCCUCGCGUCCCCCUCCAGCAGCACAGCACUCCAGCAGCACUGAAGGGGUUAAAACCCCUCGGUACCGGGUCAGGCUCUCCCCAGGUACAUUAGACCCUCCUAUAAGAAAGCAUUGAUUCAAAGGUCCAUUUCAAUUUAGGAAGCCCUCUAGUGGCUGUCUAGCAGACUGCCACUGUAGGCAGACUUAGAGCUGCAAUGUAAACUUUACAGUUCUCUGGGACACAGCAGCCAGACCACUUCAAUGAGCUGCCUACAGUGUCCCUUUAACGUUUGUUUCCCAACUGGUUUACAGCCAGUGGCAUACUAAGGGGGUACCUACCUACUAGCACAUUGCUCUCUUUGAGCUCACUUUUCCCAGCGCUCUCGGAAGGCCAUGUAGUUAUGCUCCAGCCUUUGCGUCAGUACAGAGCUGCAGGGAGAUGAGUGAUCAGUCUGAUCCAUGAUGCUUCCCACUGGACUCCAGGCUGAGGUUUUACUCCAGCUCUCUCUUUGAAAGUAAGAAAAAAUGAGCUGGGUGGAGCACAUAGUUACAAAAAAAAUUAUAAAAUAUGUACAUAAAUGUGAAUUUAUAUAGAGUGUGUGUGUGUGUGUGUGUGUGUGCAUAUGAGUCUGUCUGUAUGUAAAUGAGUCUGCAGAUUUAUCUAUGUACACGAAUGUUUGUUUGUACAGAAUGAAUGCUUAUAAGUCUCUGUGUGUGUAUAUGAAUGUUGGUGUAUGAAUCUAUGUAUGUAUAGAUGUGUGUGUAUGAGCAUGUGUGUAUACAUGUCUGUGUGUGUUUUGUGUAUCAGGCUGUGUGUAUGCAUAUCAAUAUGUGUAUAUAUGAAUGUAAGUACAGAUUAAAAAGAAUAUGAAUGUGUAUGUGUGUAUGAAUGUCAGUAUGCGUGGGUGAUUUCCCUAGCAUAAGGGGAUUGGGAAUGGUGCAGAGGAAAACACAAAAAAAUAAUUUGGUAGGGGUGCCAAAAUACAUUUUCGCUCUGGAUGCCAUGUAACCUAGAUACACUUCUGUUUCCAACCCUGUCGUUACUUAUGACAAGCUCCUGCUAACCUAAAAAAAUCCCAACAUCAGCCUCUGGCCUGGUGUAAAUGUCACAAUACCUGGGUCAUCAGGUCAUCAAUCAGCUGUGCAAGCAGACGCUGUGUGCCACUCAUGAAUCCCUUGUGAUGCAUGGUGUCAAUUCUGCGCCAUUGACAAUACAUGAUGUAAUUCCUGUGCUCAAUACGGUGCACAGUUUCAUUUCUGUGUCCAUGGCGACACAUAGUGUCACUCCUGUUACUAUUGUGAUGUCUUGUGUAAUUCUGGCAUCAAUUGUGACAUGCCGGUGAAAUAGCUCAGUGGGCUAAUGCAUCAUCCAGUAGAAUCUGUUCAACCUUUGGGUUGCAGGAUCAAAUUCCAGCAAGGUGGUAGAUAAAAUGAGUACCAUUAAUUUGGUUAAUAGUAACAACCCCUGGAUGUUGGGCUAAGGAAACAUCCUGUACUUGAAAACCAGAGUACUCUGAAUUUACAUUUUCUGGUAAAAUACUUUGUUAUUAUUAUUGUGAGGCCUGUUACAGUGCCAUGAGCUUGCGUCAGUUUUCAUCACGAAAGACUCUGUGUGAAACGUGUCUUUGGUCACGCAUGAUCUGGAGUCACAAAUAUGACAUAGACCAAUAGAAGUAAAGAUAGGAGUAUGUAUACCUCUGGGUUUUCUAUGGUUCUUUGUCUUGUCAGAUUUCCUAUAUUUCUUUACCAAAGAGUGCGUUCCUCGUGUUCAUUGCUUACAUGGUUACAGACUCUGGUUUGUCUGACUACUCUUGAUUUCUGUAAUCCUGAACUCAACUUGCCUCUUGCUUUUUGACCCUUUCUGUAUUAUUAUUAUUAUUAUUAUUAUUAUUUUAUUAUUAUUUUAUUAUUUAUUUGGCGCCAUCACAUUCCGUAGAGCUGUACUCCUUGACCUUGUUUUCGGUUACUCUCUGUCUGCUUGCAGGCUUUCUGUCUGUCUAUUCUCCGUGCUAGCACAGCCAUUCUAAGAAUCAGUACGCACUUCUGUCCUGUCUUUCCCUGGGUUUGUGUUGUAGGUUUAGACUAGCCUUAAUGAUAAAAAAAAAGAAAAAAAUAGCAGCUACAUGCGUAUGCAUCCAUUGGAAAUAAAUGUCUUUUUCCAAGUUCCAAACUCAUUUUGAGUAAAAUAUAAUUCAGCCAUAACCUAUAACUAAAAAAAUAUUUGUCUUUAAUCAGGGAAUAUUUUCAGGCAGCAUGAUUUCAUGUGGGGUGAAUUCAUAUGUAAAUUAUUACCUACCAAGUAGGAUCAGUAACUACUUAUUUAUUUUGUACUUGACAUACACGUGAAUAAAUCACAUUCUUUAAAAGUAUGAUUUAAAAAAAAAUCUAAUUAGUCUGUCAGAUGAAGAAACAGGACUUAAGGUCAAAGAACAUUUCAACAUUGACUCUAUUACGAUGAAAGUAGUCUCUUCUUUUUAUAGCACUAUUAAACUGUUUAAUACAUUUUCUGUUCCAUUGGAAUACUUUCAAAGUAUUUUCUCAGGUGAGAUGUGUCACCUUUGCAGUGAAAACUUAUUUUACUUCAAAUUAUUCUAUUCAUUUUUAUCUAUUACUGUAAAUCUGUAUUAGUCUUUAUUCUCAAAAAUGUGUUUUUCUUUUCUUAAAAGGACACUAUAGUCACCUGAACAACUUUAUCUUAAUGAAGCAGUUUUGGUGUAUAGAACAUGCCCCUGCAGCCUCACUGCUCAAUCCUCUGCCAUUUAUGAGUUAAAUCCCUUUGUUUAUGAACCCUAGUCACACCUCCCUGCAUGUGACUUGCACAGCCUUCCAUAAACACUUCCUGUAAAGAGAGCCCUAUUUAGGCUUUCUUUAUUGCAAGUUCUGUUUAAUUAAGAUUUUCUUAUCCCCUGCUAUGUUAAUAGCUUGCUAGACCCUGCAAGAGCCUCCUGUAUGUGAUUAAAGUUCAAUUUAGAGAUUGAGAUACAAUUAUUUAAGGUAAAUUACAUCUGUUUGAAAGUGAAACCAGUUUUUUUUUCAUGCAGGCUCUGUCAAUCAUAGCCAGGGGAGGUGUGGCUAGGGCUGCAUAAACAGAAACAAAGUGAUUUAACUCCUAAAUGACAGUGAAUUGAGCAGUGAAAUUGCAGGGGAAUGAUCUAUACACUAAAACUGCUUUAUUUAGCUAAAGUAAUUUAGGUGACUAUAGUGUUCCUUUAAAGCCUGGUAUGAAUUACUUUACGUAACAUUUUAAAUCCAAAAUUGUAGGGUUUCAAAAAAAUUAACUCUUAGUCUAUGUAAGUCCUAAAGGACAAACCACAUGUCUUUUAAGAGUUAAUUUAGACUACUGUAUGUUAUAUGGAAGUUUUUUUUUUUGCUUUAUAUCAAUUUUCUUUUUCUAUGCUCUAUUUUUAGCUUUAUCGUGUCAUCUAAAAAUAGUCACAUACUUUCUAGUUAAGGAAAGUCUUGAUGAGAUGUGGUCUUGUGACACCGCGCAGGACACGUAUUAAUUGUUCGCACAAAUUAAUGUGUCAAGUCAAUGUUCCAUGUUUCCUGAGAAAUCUCACUUUUAGCGAGUUAAGUUCUAAAUAACAGCAUCCAGUACAUAAUGAUUUAAUGCAUUACAAAAUUAAUUUGCAAUGCUGUAUCUUUAUAUUAUGAAGUAUAAUAAAUGAUUCACAGAACUGUAAUUACAUCAUACAAAAGUUUGUUUUUUGUUUUUUUUAAUAAAAAGUAAAUUGUAUAGAAUUUUGCAUAGCAAGAAAUGUUGGUUCAGCCGAACCAUUUUUUCAUAAAAUACUUUUUUUUCAGGAUGGCCAUAUUUUGCCUACAUGUCAGUUUGGUUAGGCAGAAUUUCGGUAACGAAAAACUGAAUCGAGAUCUGAAUCAGACGAAUAAAAAAAUAGUGUGAAAAUGGGCCCAUCAGCGCACUACAAAAUAUAUACAUAAUAUAAGUAUUGUGUAUAUUUUAUUCAGUACAUUUGAGAAAAAGUAACAAACAGAGAAAAAUAGAAGGAGCAGUAAAUAAAAAAAUCUGUUAUUUGUGUAUUUAUAUAUUAUAUAGUUAGUAAAUAUAAUAUAUAGAUAGAAAUUUGUUGGGUUUUUUUUGCUUCUCAUUUUACCCCUUAAUUGGUUAUUUCUUAUUUGAUCGGUGAAUUAAAUCAACAUUUACUGAUUGCCCCUAGCCAUCAAUUAUCCUUUUUUAAAUCAAUCAUCUAUUUUAUUGGUGCCUCAGGUGGAAAUUAGAAUUAUGACUCAAAAUUAACAUGCUUAGCCAUUACAUCUUUUGGCUGGUUUGGAAUUCCGUAAUAUUUUUGCUCGGAGUUCGGGAAUUCCACUGAUCACCCAAUUGGCCAAAAUUCAGAUUAACUGCAGUUCAGAACAAAACAACAAAACGAAUCUCCAAGUCUAUAGAUAAGUAAAAAUAUAGGUAAAAUAGCCAAACUGGAAAUAAAGAUGAAAUGCUGCAUUUUCCCAAUAUGAGCUUUCGCUCCACUAAAAUUCACUGUAUAGUAAAUAAAACUGAGAACAAAAAAUGCAGUUUCCAUACCUAAUGGUCCUUUUAGGUAAAUAACGUGUUUCUUGUUUCUAUAAAAAGAACAUAAAAAGAUGGAGCAGGAAAAAAAUAAAGAUUAGUUGAGGUUACACAAUCCUACAGUAUUUAAAGUAGUUGUAGCACCAUAACUGCUUUAUCUUAUUGCAGUGGUUAUGGUGCAAAUACCCUGUCCUUGCAACCAUUAUUUAAAAAAAAAAAAUAAAAAUAAAAAAUAAAAAAUAUAUAUAUAUAUAUAUAUAUAUAUAUAUAUAUAUAAUGUCUUCUGCCUCCCUGGGUUGCCAUUUGUUUAGUUGGAACACCCUUGUUGGCUAUCAAUAUCAAUUUUGUGCGACAUUGCAAAUGAUUUUGCAAACAUACUAUCUUAUGGCUCCUCAGACAGGGUGCCCACGACUCUGUGAGUUACAUUGAUGAAGGAACAGAAGAAAAUCGGAAAUGGCAGCCUUCUCAGUAAAAUAAAAUAAAAUAUGAGUUCGUAGAGAGAGUAGUGAACUGACAUUACCUUCAAAUAUGUUUUGCUAUACUGUAGUGUUUAAAAAAAGCACCAUGUCAUAUCAUCAGACACAUACAAAAAUUCUAGACAGUCCAGAAAGGGUUUUUCUGUACUAAUUCAAUGUUUUUUCUUUUGUUUUUUUUUGUGUUUUUUUUUUUUUUUAAUUCCCCAAGCAUAUGAGUUUAAAUUUUCAAAAAGUUUCAGAUGCAGUCGUCUACAGAUGCGUGCUUGAUGUGUUCAUGCACUCGUAUGUCCAUAAAGCCUCACACAGUAAAAGAAACAGUAAAAGAAGACUUCUUGCACCAACAUUUAAAUCCUCUGCUGAGUGACUGUCAAAUAUAAUUUGCCAUUUCCCGCGUAGGGGGGUUUGAUUGCAUUCGAUUUUGACACGACAAUAUAUAGAGUGUAUGUUUUAACUUAGAGUUGCCAUUAACGCAGCCUUUCUGUUACACUGACAAAAUACAUAGCAGAAUAAAAUGUGUCUUUAUGUAAAACUACAGCAAGAUAAUUAUUUAUGUCUUCUUUAAUAUGUCUGUGAUUUGAUUAAAAUAAUUUUUUAGCAAAUGUUCUUGACAAAUCUUUUCUCAUCAUACAUUUUAAAACAAAAUUAGUUGCAAAACUGUACCAAAUAUUUCCAGUUCAUUCACAUGACAUGUUCUUAAAACAAGUCUGAAAUUCUCUGAGUUUUAUUAACUUUGAUGAAGCGCUCGCACGUCUUUCAUCAUUUCCCACAAUCAUUAUUGGUGUUAUCUAUGAUAAAUAGUUGAUCUGAAUAAAUUUGCCUUCCAGCAGCUUUGAAUUAAGAAUUGCACAGCACGUUUUGCUUGAUGAAAAUGAUAUAAUCGAAGAGAUCCUUGAAUUGCUAAUGUGGACCAUGAAACCCGUCAAUGAAACAUAUUGACUUUACGAAGUGUGACAAUUUUACAAUGUUAACUUGUUUUUUUUCCUCUUUCAUUGAAAUAGUUGCUUAUAUUUUUGCUUACACUUUUCAAACAAAUUUAAACAUUUUGCAUAUUUGUGAAAGGAAUGUUUCCAGGCUUAAAGGAUCACUAGAGGGUCAGGACCACGAAUAUGUGUUCCUGACCCCUUAGUGCUAAACCCACCAUUUAGAUGGUUUGCCCCCCCCUUAGCCCCUCCAUAAAAGUUUAAAACUCACCUUAUUUCCAGUGCCGUGUGGGUCUGCGAGUGCAGGCUCCGCCCCCUUUGUGACAUCAUCAAAAUGGACGAUUUUUAGCCAAUCCAAUGCUUACACUAUUGGCUAAAAUCGUCAUGGGGCGGGGCCAAAGCCAUUUUGGCCAAUCAGGACCUCCUCAUAGAGAUGCAUUGAAUCAAUGCAUCUCUAUGGGGAAAAUUCAGCGUCCCCAUGCAGAGCGUGGGGACGCUGAAUGGCAGGGCUGCUUACUGUGCAAAUCUGAGCCAGGAAGCCCCUCCAUUGGCCACCUAAGGAGUGGCCACUUGGAGGUGUCCCUAGGGGCAAUGUAAACACCCUGACAUGAAAAUGCCUGAAGGGAGCUAUUAUACUCACCAGAACAACCACAUUAAGCUGUAGUAUUUCUGGUAACUAUAGUGUCCCUUUGAUGACAUAAAACACAAAACACACAUCUUUGCAAUGUCUUAAAAUGUCCUAAUAAUAUUUAAUACAAUGCUUCCCUAAUUCUAAUUGUAUUCCUAAUGCUAUUGUGUUAAAUUAAAAUAGGUCAAAAUGUUAUCUAAACCCUUUUCCUAUGCAACAAAGCCAUGUUUACAGGCUUCUUAUAUGGCAAGGAAAGAAAAUAGAAACUAUAGUGCAAUAAUAUUAAAAUAGAAGGGGGAAUAUUGUGCCCCCUCCAUUGCUCACCUCUAUAUGGGGUGGUGGGAAGAGACCCAUGUGUUUGGAGGUGGAUUUGGCUUGGAGUUAGGUUCUUGUAUUUUGUUUUGCAUAAGCAUUAUGUUGAUGAUCUGUUGCUCAUUUGGAAAGGGAAUGAAAAUUUCAAUUUGUUUACAUUGAUGAACGAGAAUGAUCUAAAUUUGAGGUUCGCAAUGAUCUACAGCUCAGACAAAACAGCCUAUCUCAAUUUGUUUCAGGUAUAGGGCCACAAUGUAGCCUAUUACUGGUAAAUAUUUCUCUAUGCAACAUCUACUCACCCAAAACAUCAUAUCAGGUCUAAACCUGUUGGUCAGUUCCUCAGGUUGCAAAAGAAUUGUUCUGAUCUAAUUAAAUUUCUAUUGCAACUGCUGUGCAAAUACCUUUUAUUGUAACCAAACAAGAAAAAAGAAAGCCGUCUACAGGCAAUGGCUGUCUACAAAAUAGACUAGACCACUUAGCCUGUAGAUGGUCACACCUUCUAAGACACUCCAGUUGUGUCUUGGGGCAUAACCCCUGAUUAGGAAAACUAUAAGAUACUGAAAAUAACUAGUACCUGAGUAUCCACUGGAAUAAUGAAUAGUAAUGAUUAUAUACAAAGUGAGAUAUAGAGAUAUAUAUAAAAUGAGAAAAUACAAUAAUAGAAAAAUGGGUCAGGUGAAAGUAGAAAAUAACUGCCUAAUGGCAAAAAGCUCCCUUCCUAAUAUCUCUAAAAGUAGAUACUGCAGUACACAGGUUUAGACUUUAAUAUAUAAUGCUUCAUAGGUCAAUAUCUGUGACUGCAGGCUGGUAUCAAUACAUCCAAAGAAUAUAUAAGAGACAUUAAGGACUUGCUUUUACCUAGUAAAUCUCAAGCUGUGGCAUUAUAUAAGAUAUAAUACUAGAUUGCUAGCAUAUUGGAACAUUAGAGGCUGAGUAAGCAGAAAAGUAUAAAUAGAUACUAUAUGUGGGAUCUAUUGAAAAUAAUUCAAUCAGUAAAUUGUAUCAAAAAAGUAUCUAUAAUGUUAACUGCCAUGUACUCAAUUGCUAGCAUAUUGGAACAUAAGUAACUGAAUAAGCAGAAGAGUAUAAAUAGAUACUAUAUAUUGGAUAUAAAAUAAUCCAAAAAAUAAAAUGUAUUAAGAGUAGCAUCUAUCAUAAUAACUGCCACAUAUAAACUAAGUCCAAAAUUAUUGAAUAGACAAAAUAUAUCCACAAAUGGAUCUGUUAUAUAAUAUGCCACAUAUUAGGAGGUAUAAAGCAUAAGAGAGAGAAACUGAAUAGUGAAAAAACAGUGUGCUAAAUGUGCAGAGCCAUGCUUAGAAUGCUGGCUGCCUGCACAUGGUGACAGAGUGCCCCCCCCCCUCCAAAAUAACCCGACCCGCGUUUCGGUGCUCUUGUGAUGCACCUUCGUCAGGGAAUUUUUAUUAUUGUAUUUUCUCAUUAUAUAUAUCUCUAUAUCUCACUUUGUAUAUAAUCAUUACUUACUAUUCAUUAUUCCAGUGGAUACUCAGGUACUAGCUAUUUUGAGUAUCUUAUAGUUUACCUUUUAUUGUAGUUUUUUUUACCCUGCCUGGCUUGUGAUCCUGUCUACCACUGCAGUGGACGAUGGGAGUAGCUGAUAAGGCACUCUGUUUUCUCUACACUGAUAGAGGAUAAUUUCAGAUUCAAUGUAUGGGUGAGUGGGUGGUCAAUUGCCCAUUGACUUUAUCCUUCCGGUUUUUAUAAACCUUCUAUUUUAACAUUACCGUUGAUUACAAUUUUUCAGAAUACAAAAUAGCAAAAGGACAAAAAUUACAAUCAGACAUUGUAAUAUUCUCUCACUUCCUAGUUUUUCCAAUCCAGAUAUAUAAUCUAAUUUUGGGAAUUCAGAAAGGAUAUGGCUGAUAUUGUGUAGACCAGAGGUGCCCAAAAGGUAGAUCCCCAUAUGUUUUAGUACUACAACUCCCACGAUGCUUUGCAUGCCUUUAGAAUGACAAAGCUUUAUGGGAGCUGUAGUUUUAAAAUAGCUGGGGAUCUACCUUCUGGGCACCCCCGGUGUAGACAUUGCUUCUGCUUUGGCUGCCCUAAUUACCUUACUGAAUAUUUUUCAUUACUGAAAUUCAGCCGAGACAAACAGGGGCAUGAACUAAUUUUUGCUGACCCGAAGAAAAAAUAAAAUGUAUGCCAAAGUGGUUCGAAAGAACCCACAUUUUCCAUACUGCACAAUUCUAAUUAUAAAUAAAAUCUCUCCUAUUAUUUAUUAUGUCACUAAAGGACACCAAGAGUUUGCAUACCGGUUAUAUAUGCUCAUUGUUUCCAAUGUAUGCAGUCGUAAGGAAUUGUAUUAUUUAUAUUCAUUUAUUAUUUGUCACUUUACAGGAAAAGAGACAUUAUUUAAAAAAAAUGCAUAAUGUGCACUUGUUAGAGCAUAAAAAAGUAACUAACAUAAAAAAUAAGUAGUAAAGUAGUUUAAUUCAUGCUCAUGUACAUAUUAAUUUCUCAUCAAAUCCCUAUGUAUUUUAUGUAUCACCUCCACAGCAUCACAGAAUAUCUUGAUGUUUUUAUUAAUAUAAUAAUAAUAAUAGUUUUAAAUAUUUCAAGGGAAAGGAUUAAAUGGUUUUGCCAGCAAAUGAUUUAAAAAAAUAUUCAAUCAUGCUUCUGUGCCAGUGCAUUUACAACAUGAGCAGCCAAACUAUGUCCAAUUACUUUUUAUAUCAUACCAGAAACUUGCCAAAAUUUCAUUAUAUUUAAACGGGGCACUAUAGUGUCAGGAACACAAAUAUGUAUGCCUGACAACGUACUUCUUCUAUCACUAUUUAGGUCCUCAGCCUGCCUUUUAGGAAAGUAGAAGGGUUAAAACUCACCUUUUUCAGUUGCCGCGCAAGGCUUCUCGCAAUUGACCCGCCCACAAUCCACCUCCUUGGCCGACAUCUUCAGAAUUGACAAUCUCAGCCAAUCACAAUGCAUUCCCUUAGGAAAGCAUUGUAUUGGCUGAGAUCGUAAUUUCUGAUGAUCUCAGCCAAGGAGGGGGGCCGUGCUUAAUGCUGCCCUAGCUAUUCAGUAUCUCCUCAUAAAAAUGCAAUGAAUCAAUGCAUUUCUAUGGGGAAAGUUCAGCAUCUCCAUGCAGAUCUGGAAACACUAUUUAAUGAUUAGUCCCCAUAACAGGAGGCUCUCUGCUAUAUUAAAGGUUUAACAAGUGUAUAUUCUGCUAUAAAACACUCAAACUGACCUCAGUGUUUUCUCUUCACUGUUUAGCGGAAUGACAUUACUGGCAAGGAUUUUUCAUGUAUUUCUGCAAACAUCCCUUUGUUUUUUGUUUGUUUUCCUCAAAACUGCUACAGUGUUUCUGAUACUUCUGAUAAUAUUAUAUUGUUACAGACGUCUGCAGUCUGUCUGUUAACCUUGAAAUAUUAUUCACUGGGCACAUUAUUUUUUUAAUGUCAUUAUGUUGUGCAGCUGCUCCUCAGAGAUAACUCUUAUGCAAUAUAGAAAUAAAUAAAAAUAAUGUUGAAUUAGACUAAUAUGAAUCCCAGUCUGAGGUCACACAUUAAAUGUUUUUUCUCUUGAGUACAUUUGGUUUAUUUCUAGAAUGACAGUAUAUUUGUUUAAAGGACCACUAUAGUGCCAGGAAAACAUACUCGUUUUCCUAGCGCUAUAGUGCCCUGAUGGUGCCCCCACCCCAGGGCCCCCCCCCCCGCCGGGCUCUAGGGGAUGGAAGGGGUUAAACUUACCUCUUUCUCCAGCGGCGGGCGGGGGACUCUCCUCCUCCUCCCCUCCUCGGCUGCAUGCGCAUGCUUUCCUAUGGACGCUGGCGUCUUCUCACUGUGAAAAUCACAGUGAGAAGUGUGGCUGCGCCUCUAGCGGCUGUCAAUGAGACAGCCACUAGUGGCUGGAUUAACCCUAUUAUAAAACACCUAUUAUAAACAUAGCAGUUUCUCAUUAAGCUGAAGUGGUCUGGGUGCCUAUAGUGGUCCUUUAAUGGUUAUGUUUGUCCAUUUCUGUCUAUUUUUGGCAGGUAAAUUACGAGUAUUAAUCUAUUUUAGGCUAACAAAGGUUGCAAGCACAUUUCACAUACUAUGUGAAUAUAAAAAGAAAUUUGAUGUGCACUUUGUAAAUGACAAGAAGGGCUGAUGACAUUAAAAGGUCUGUCUUAUAAUGAUGUUUGACUAAGGCUAGCUUACACAUUAGCCAUUGAUGCUAUAUUUAUAGGGACCACUGCCCACAUACAGAAAAAAAAUGUGAACCCUUUGGAAUGAUAUGGAUUUCUGCACAAAUUGGUCAUAAAAUGUGAUCUGAUCAUCAUCUAAGUCACAACAAUAGACAAUCACAAUAGCUUGGUAUGCUCCUAAAAUUAGGUCCAAUAAGAUCCAGGAGUCAGUUCACUUAAAAAGGCUUUUCUAUGUUAAAAGAUACACAGCUAGUAUAUAUGGGGUGUAUAUCUUUAAAUCUGCUAAAAGCAGAAUCAAAUUGUUACACACCAAAUUGCUCUACUUAGAAUUUCAAGAUGUACACUGUGAUGAAAAAUGUAUAUAGGAGAACAGUGUAAGGAACUGUUUCCUAUAUGGUAAGAGACUUAUACAGUUAGAAGUGUAUAUGUUUUUAAAUCCGUAACUAAUAGAACAUGACAGGACCUACGUCAAUAUCACAUACUGUCAGGUCCUGACAUAGGUAUUGACAUAUUGACGUAGGUCCUGUCAUGUUCUAUUAGUUACGGAUUUAAAAACAUAUACACUUCUAACUGUAUAAGUCUCUUACCAUAUAGGAAACCGUUCCUUAUACUGUUCUCCUAUAUACAUUUUUCAUCACAGUGUACAUCUUGAAAUUCUAAGUAGAGCAAUUUGGUGUGUAACAAUUUGAUUCUGCUUUUAGCAGAUUUAAAGAUAUACACCCCAUAUAUAUUAGCUGUGUAUCUUUCCUAAUUAUUUCAAUAUAGAAAAGCCUUUUAAGUGAAUUGACUCCUGGAUCCCACUGCACCUAACUUUAGGAGCAUACCAAGCUAUUUUUAUUUUAAGGCGGAGCAUUUGGUGAAACUCCUGCCCAUAUCCAGUUUGAGACAUUUUGCUACAAGUCGGACUCCCUCAACUCUGGGUGUUGCAAUAGGCAUACCAGACCAUCCAAUAGACAAUCACAGUCUGCUUAAACUAAUAACACACAAAGAAUGAAUGUUGCCAUGUUUUUACUGAACACACCAUGUAAACAUUCACAGUGCAGGUGGAAAAAGUAUGUGAACCCCUAGACUAAUGACAUGUCCAAGAGCUAAUUGGAGUGAGAUGUCAGCCAACUGGAGUCCAAUCAAUGAGAUGAGAUUGGAGGUGUUGGUUACAGCUGCCCUGCCCUACAAAAAACACACACCAGUUCUGGGUUUGCUUUUCACAAGAAGCAUUGCCUGAUGUGAAUGAUGCCUCGCACAAAAGAGCUCUCAGAAGACCUACGAUUAAGAAUUGUUGACUUGCAUAAAGCUGGAAAGGGUUAUAAAAGUAUCUCCAAAAGCCUUGCUGUUCAUCAGUCCACGGUAAGACAAAUUGUCUAUAAAUGGAGAAAGUUCAGCACUGCUGCUACUCUCCCUCGGAGUGGCCGUCCUGUAAAGAUGACUGCAAGAGCACAGCGCAGACUGCUCGAUGAGGUGAAGAAGAAUCCUAGAAUGUCAGCUAAAGACUUACAAAAGUCACUGGCAAAUGCUAACAUCCCUGUUAGCGAAUCUACAAUACGUAAAACACUAAACAAAAAUGGAUUUCAUGGGAGGAUACAACAGAGGAAGCCACUGCUAUCCAAACAAAACAUUGCUGCACGUUUCCAGUUUGCACAAGAGCACCUGGAUGUUCCACAGCAGUACUGGCAAAAUAUUCUGUGGACAGAUGAAACCAAAGUUGAGUUGUUUGGAAGAAACACACAACAGUAUGUGUGGCGAAAAAAAGGCACAGCACACCAACAUCAAAACCUCAUCCCAACUGUGAAGUAUGGUGGUGGGGGCAUCAUGGUUUGGGGCUGAGGGCCUGGACGGAUGCUAUCAUCAAAGGAAAAAUGAAUUCCCAAGUUUAUCAAGACAUUUUGCAGGAGAACUUAAGGCCAUCUGUCUACCAGCUGAAGCUCAACAGAAGAUGGAUGUUGCAACAGGACAAUGACCCAAAGUAUAGAAGUAAAUCAACAACAGAAUGGCUUAAACAGAAGAAAAUACGCCUUCUGAAGUGGCCCAGUCAGAGUCCUGACCUCAACCCAAUUGAGAUGCUGUGGCAUGACCUCAAGAAAGCGAUUCACACCAGACAUCCCAAGAAUAUUGCUGAACUGAAACGGUUCUGUAAAGAGGAAUGGUCAAGAAUGACUCAUGACCGUUGUGCACUUCUGAUCUGCAACUACAGGAAACGUUUGGUUGAAGUUAUUGCUGCCAGAGGAGGUUCAACCAGUUAUUAAAUCCAAGGGUUCACAUACUUUUUCCACCUGCACUGUGAAUGUUUAUAUGGUGUGUUCAAUAAAAAUAUGGCAACAUUUCAUUCUUUGUGUGUUAUUAGUUUAAGCAGACUGUGAUUGUCUAUUGUUGUGACUUAGAUGAUGAUCAGAUCACAUUUUAUGACCAAUUUGUGCAGAAAUCCAUAUCAUUCCAAAGGGUUCACAUACUUUUUCUUGCAACUGUACAUACAUAAAUCUCUUUUUAGUAUAUAUCUAAAAACAGCUUGCAAAAGGCUAAAUCCUUUGCAAGCCCUGCCCUUCUAAUCCUGCCAAGACUUUCUGUGGCUGUCCAAUCACAGACUUUCCAGUGCAGCCCAAUUAGUACACUUUUCAAGGCAAAUGCUCUGGGCAAUUGCCUGCUUUUUGAGUUUAGCUCCACUGAGCUAACCAAACCAGGAAGUACUAAGAUGUGUUGUCUGAUUGACAGCCAGGGGAUGUAACAAGGUUAUUUUAAUCUGCCAAAGACCUGUCUCUAUUCUCUCUUUGUACUCGCACCUCUGAUGUUCAUCGCCAACACUUCUGUAGGGUUGCACAAUUUCUAUGGAACUCCCUUUCUUACUCUGUUAGACUCUCACCCAGUCUUUGUUCCUUCAAAAAUAAUUGAUAACUCACUUCUUCAGGUAAGCAUAUCAAUUAAACUGUUAAUUGCUCCAUCCCCGUACUUUGGUAAACCACCUUGCAUCCUCGCCUGCAACUGGCAAUGAAAAAAAAAAAAACUUGUCCUUCACUAAAACUAUUCAAGCAACCUACUUUUCCCAUAUUACCCUUAUCUCUUGUGCCACUUUAUCCCACUCCCUCUAGAGUCUAGGUUUGUUUGAGCAGGCCCUAACCCCCUUUGUUCCUGUAUGUCCAGCUUGUCUUGUUACAUAUUCUUGUCUGCUAGUCCACUCCUUGUGCAGCACUGUGAAAUGUGUUGGUGCUUUAUAAAUAAUAAUAAUACUAAUGUAUAAACGUGUCAAUUUCUAUAGAAAUUGCAAUUUUUGUAAAAUGGAAAAAAGAGAACACACUCUCCACACAUAUAGUAUUUCAGCAAGCUAAAGAGCUUUAUGUGUGUGGAAGGGUCUUUUAAUUACAACAUUGGCAUACAGUCCUGUACCAAGUCAUAGUGGGGCAUUUCAAUAAUAAAGAACAAAAAAAGUGUUAACAAAUGUUACCUCUUUAGAACUCCUAGUAAAUUAACAAUGAAAUAGUGAGCUGCUGGCAAAUCUCAAAACUGUGCAAAUUUAGUCACAACGUAGAACUAUUUUAGAAUAUUGCUCGAAUUCAUGUUGCGAAUGUUCUGUAAUAUAUCUUUUAACAGGCUAAACUGGAAAUUAGCCCUCCUGGACAUAAGUUAAAAAUUAUACAUGUAUACAAUUUUAAAAUUUCUCAGUAGGUGUAUGGUUCGAUGGUCGAUGACAGUCAUUCAUUGCACAGAGUACAGUGUAAUAGAUAGUUUUUGUAAAUAUAUUUUGGUAAGUUAAAUUAAAAUCUUGCUUUCAAAAAUAUUAAAUUGGCAAAUCAACAGCGUUAUAGUCUCAGAUCUUGACUACCGUAUUUUAAUUGACUAACAUUUGAUGAAAAACAUUCUAAUCAUAAUAAAAGACGACUUUUAUAGCUGGCCUUUCAUAACAUGACUCCUCGGUCUCUGACUCCUAUUCAUUUUCCUAUUUAAAAGGUUACUGUCAGUUACAAUUGAAUUAUUUAAAAUUUUCUACCUGACCUCUUCAUUUGAUGACGAAUGCCCAAGAAAUUAUAUGGAAAUGAUGAUCCAAAAGGUCACCAGAAAAAAAACAAAGAAACUAGCUCUAUACGCAGGAAAUUCUUAAUGAAUCUUUUUUAUUUUAACAUUAAUUUAAAUGUAAAGUACAUAGUUGACUUAAGAAAACAAUGAUGUCUUUUUCAAAAUUGAGGUAAGCAAUAAUGUAAUAAACUCAGUUAAUUUUAAAGUAUUAGAUGAAUACUCUUUUACUCUAUUGCAAUGAUGUCUAAUCUUGGCAAAGCUGGCAUUUGUGAAAAUACCUUAUAAAAUAAGGGAACUGUCACUUCUCCGGCAGUUAUAUCAUUAAAUAAAACAUUUUAAAUCACCUAUAAGUUAUGUUAAAGUGGCACUGUCACUUUUGCAGGUUUUGCUUUUCAGUAGCGUUCGUGGAAAAAUUAUAUCUAUAGUUACAUAGGCUGAAAAGAGACAUGGACCAAUCAAGUUCAGCCUUUCUCACAUCCAUUUUUUUUAUGUUGAUCCAAAAGAAAGGAAAAAAAGCCCAGUUUAUAGCACUUCAAAUUUUGCAACAAACCAGGAAAAAACAUAUUUCUUGACCCCAGAAUGGCAGUCAGAUUUAUCCUUGGAUCAAGAAGCUAUUACCCCACAAUUUAAAAAGUAUAUCUUUGAAUAUUAUGUUUUUGAAAUUAUGCAUCCAGUUGCUGUUUUAAACAUCUCUGAUAAAACCACUUCUUCAGGCAGAUAAUUCCACAUUCCACCUUAUUGUUCUUACUGUAAAAAAGCAUUUUAUUUGCCUUAGACUAAAUCUCCUUUCUUCCAGUCUAAACGCGUGACCUCAUAUUCAAUAUAUAGUGCAGUUUGUGAAUAGAUUUCCAGACAAUGGUUUGUAUUGGCCCCGGAUAUGUUUGUAUAAUGCUAACAUACCUCCUCAGAGGAGCCAUUUUUCUAAACUAAAGAGGUUUAAAUUUGUUAACCUUUCUUUAUAACUAAAAUGUUCCAUUUUGUAGCCCACCUCUGCACUUUUUCUAGUGCCCUAAUAUCCUUCUUUAGAACAGGUGCCUAUAAUUACACAUCAUAUUCAAUAUGUGGUCUUACUAGUGAUUUAUAAAGAGGCAAAAUUAUAUUCUGAGAAUGAAUGCCCAUUUUUAUACAUGACAAUACCUUACUGGCCUUAGCCACUGUUGAUUGGCAUUGCACAUUGUUGCCUAUUUUGUUGUCCAUAACAAUUCCCAAAACCUUCUCGAGUGUCGUUAUCUCUAAUUCACUACCACAUACAAAUUAAGAGACUACAUUAAAUCUCACACAAAUAAACAAAAAAUAUUGUCACCAUGAUUGUAUCACAAAUUAAAAAAAACUACAUAUACAAGCUUUUUUUUUUUUUUAAGGCAUGCAUUUUCUGUUAAUUGAAGUCAGGUUGUUUAAGGUAACCAAUUCACUCUAAAUAAGGCAAAGUCAUUUUCAGCUAAUGUACAUUUCCAGAUGUAGAACAUAAAGUCUUAUCUCUUCAGGUGCCCUCAACUUGUUUCCUGGGCAUCCAUUGCUUUAAAAAACAAUUUGUAACUGUGAUAAUGCAUGAUAGCUGACAGCAUUUUAAAUCCUCUAUUCUACUUACUCCAAGGGGUUGAAAAAUAUUCUUGGGGUUCAAAUGAGCCUUGGACAUUUUUCAAAGUCACCAUUUAAAGUGAAGCUUUCAUUUAAUGAGCUAUCUGCUGUAAGACAUUCUGUUUAUAACAAAGGGUCACUCCUUUUGCUUUUUUUUACCUAAAAUUGUCUUUUUUGGCAAGGAAUGUGUUUUGCUAGAAGUGCAGUCCAUUAAAAGAAAACUUCACAAUUUACCUCUUUUGAUCUCCUCUCUUGAUUCACUUACCAUGUAUUAAAUGUAUCUCCUAUUUUGCCACAUAGCCCUGAAAAAUCAGAUGUAUUUAUUCCUUUGUCGAUUUGUGGUUUCUCAUGAAUAUACGCAUGUGUGUUCAAGCAGGCUAUACACAGAUAUAUCUUGUAAAUCUUCUAUGUCACCAUAGACAUUGCAAAGCAUUGAAGAUCUGUAGGACUAACACAUUAACAAAAUAUCCCCCAAUCAGAGAAGAUUUAAGAACCCAGGGGACCCUAGGCAGGUUAUCAGUUUUGGACCGUCCUUCAUUCUUCAUAUAUUGAUGGUUAAUGGGGACAAGCAAAUUUAUGAUUACGGUGCCCCUGUCUACCACUGGGCCCCUGGUGUCUGCCUGGGGUAGACUUAUGCUAUAUACUGUUCUGCUCCCAAUAGAGACAGUCCAAAGCAGUAUUAACCAUCACUUUAAGAACCACAAAGGAAUUUAUUCAUUUUUUUAUCAAUAUUUUACCAUUGAGAUUUCUCUAGUUUUUAAGUAUGUACUGGACCCACAAACACCACGUUGUUACAAUAGGGAACACUAUAAUAUUACAAAAAAUAAUACAAUAUAUACAAUAUAUAUAUAUAUAUAUAUAUAUAUAUAUAUAUAUAUAUAUAUAUGUAUAUAUAUAUUUAUAUAUAUAUAUAUAUACAAACACACAACAUAUAUAUUAAACACACAACAGGUAAAUAUAAGUGUGACAAAACCCACCCUAGACUUCAUUUAUACUUUCCCUGCAUUCGGUAUAAUAAACUACCUAACACGACCACCCCCCUGGCUCAUUAAAUACAAAGAAACCGCGGAAUUAAGUGCUCUCUCUGUCUGGCUGCCAUUCGUAUAACGGCCAUCUUGUCGCACGAACGCAGGCAGCGGGACUUGGUCAUCGAGUGCCUGGAACUCUAAGACAGACACUUGACCGCCUGAACAUCGGUGAAAUCUUACAAAUGCCUGCUUCUUUCUGCAACAACUCAGGAGAGCGCUGUUCGGAAGGUUUGUUCGUAUGGACCAAAUGAACAAAUGCUACCAAUGAUCCAGAGGAACCGUAUACCUUUUUGUGCGUUUUGGAACUCCCGAAAUUGACCGACCGCUACCUCUAAAACUAUGGGACUACUUUGGGCAGGAGACUCAUGAGCGGUCGGUCAAAACUUUACCCCGGUAGCGAUUCGGCUGUGUUCGUGAGAUCUGAGCGCUAUUUGGACAACUUGGGCGCUGAGAUCCAGGCUAUCUGGGGAUGUAAUAUUUGUGGGGGUUCCUAUGUGUUUUUAUGUAUUUUCAUAUUUUUGGUAAUUAUUGCUUAGUCAUGGGGACACUGAAAUUUGGGGACAUUUUGUGGGUGUGUUUAUGGGAGUGUCCUGGGCAUGUUUUCUGUGUCUCUGUACUGUAUAAAAGUGGGCCAUUAAGACCUGAUUAAACAGAUUCGUUUUACCCCUUCAUCAAGUCUAGGCUGAUGUUUGGGGACUUAGGAGCUAUAAACACUAUUUUGCUUGGGACUUCAUAACGCAUAUACUCAGCUGGAGUAUAGAGGAUCCAUUACAAUAAGGAAUAACAUCUUGCUUAUAUAUGCAAGUGGGGAUAAAUGGAUAAAAAGAAAUGAAAUGAUCUCACUUUUUUCCCAUUCUAUGAAAAGAGGUAGGAAGGUAAUACUUAAAGGGACACUAUAGGCCACCCAGACCACUUUAGCUUAUUGAAGGGGUCUGGGUGCAUAUACCCAGACCCCUUAAUCCUGCACAAGUAAUUAUUUCAGUUUUUGAGAAACUGCAGUAAUUACAAUCCAGGGUUAACUCCACCUCUACUGUCUGUCUAGCAUGCGCAUUAGAUCUCCCCCCUCCACCCCCAGUUAACGUCUCCCGGUGAGAGGGGGAGUGGAGGCAGAGCCAGAGGCAGUGCUGCGGUGCUGGACUCAAAUAAGGAACAGAAGGGGUUCUUAAUCCCUUCUGCACCACGGGGAGUCAGGGGGGCACUAUAGGGAGCUAUGGUGCUAGGAAAACAACUUUGGAAUAAAAGGGAAUCAUGACAUGUCACACAUGUCAUGUGUCCUUAGGGGUUAAGGUGGGUCAGAAGCCUAAUACAUAUACACUAUCAUUUCAGAGCACUUUGCUAUGUGUUUUUUUCCACCAUUUAUUAACACUUCAAAGAUGAAUUGUUGGGAAUUCAAAGUGAAUUGUAAACUAUUUUCAAAUGUAUAGCAAAAGUAGCUGAACUGAUAGUAUGUGUGACUCACAGAAUUUUUAAAUUUGAAAUUCACUUUGAUGUGGCGGGGGAGAUUCGGACUGUCUGAAUGACUUGUAAUGUUUUGCCACAGUGUCUGCAUCUGUCAUCUCACAGACAGAUCUGUACAAACAAGCAUGCCUUGUCUUUACAGGUCUGUCUGUUGGACAUUUCUAAUGCUUCUCAAACCCAUUGACUUGAAAUGCCUACAACUUUGUUCCAUAGUUCAGAGAAUGUGCUUUUUGGUUUAUUCCUUGGGUCUGUCCUUGCAUUGGAAGGGGGUGGGGCAGUGGCUAUUCUUACUUUGAUUGGUUUUAUUUUUAUUGAUUUAUUAUCUAAGUCAAGAAAGAUACUGCUUCACUAGCUUAUUUUAAGGUCUUGUAGUAUUGCUUGAGGCUUUCACUGGGCCCCACUGUGGGGUCCUCAUCAUUGCUCUUACAGUAUAUCCUACACAUCCUUGGAACUUUUAUCUUUUUUGGAUACAUGCCUACACAUAUUACCGCUCAAUUUUAGUAUUUUGAGAAUUAUCCUCGUAACUUUAAUUUUCCACAGGAGAUGCUUGUCUUUAUCAAUGUUUCUGACAUUUCUCACCUAGUGAAUAACCCUCUGUACACAUAUGCAGGAUAUGUUGGGUUUUUUUAAGGUCAGAUUUUUUUUUUUUAAGGUUCUCCUGAUACCCUACAUGUAUAGCAACACAUUGCAUCUAAUUAAAAUAUUUUAGAAAAUUGGAAAAAAAAGGGUAAAACACAUUUUCAUACAUUUGCAUAUAAUAAUUUCUAUGCAUCUAGACAAAAAAAAAUAUUCACUAAUUAGUCCUGAUUGAUAAAAUGUUUCACAUAUCUAACAUUUUAAAACAUUUCUUUGGAGUUAUAGGACAAAUAUUGAAAGAAGUAAAUUAUAGUUUUAAAUCUAAAACUUUGCAAAAUUUGACCGAGACUUUAAUUUUAAUAGAAGACACAGAAUUAAAAACGUCUACACAAAAGUAUAUAUUUAUACAUACUUUUAUAGGGCUCUCAGCUACCAUGACAAGCUACAACCUUAUACAGAGGUAGCUCUUUUUCAUGGUUUCCAUCUUGUGCCUUCCUUAACACACAUCUUCAACUGCUCUUUCUCUUCUGGUGUUGUCCCUGCUGCCCUUAAACAUGCUACUAUAGUACCCAUCUAAAAAAAAAUCUUGACCCGUCCUCCCCUUCUAACUAUCGUCCAAUAUCCCUGCUCCCUUUUUCCUCAAAGCUUCUGGAAAGACUUGUCUUUACCCGUCUGACUUGCUGCCUUAAUUCCAAUUCUCUCCUUGACCCUCUUCAGUUUGGCUUCCUCUCUGAAUGCUGCAGCUAGACUGAUUUUCCUCUCCUGUCGCUCCUCUCACAACUCUCCCCUGUGUAUGUCCUUACAUUGGCUUCCUGUAUCCUAUAGGAGUCAAUUCAAGGUACUAAUCUACACCUAUAAAGCACUGCUCACACCCGAACAGCCAACUCACGCUUGCAGGACUUCUCUCGGGUGGCUCCUUUCCUAUGGAAUAGCCUGCCUUUGACCAUCAAGCUCUAGUCUCUAGUCCUCUAGUCUUCAAUCAUUUAAUCGUGCCUUAAAACCCAUCUCUUUAGAAAAGCUUAUGGCCUCCCAGAGUAACCUCUACCUCACGUACCUGUCUCUUGCUCUCUCCUAAAUGGCAGCACUCUGCUCUCUCCUCCAGCUCUGCUUUACUCCACCUUGUUUGAUUGCUCCCUCCUGUCCUGUUGGGUUUUAUGCCACACCUCCUAUAGACUGUAAGCUCGUUUGAGCAGGGCUCUCUUCAACCUAUUGUUCGUAUAAGUUUUUGUAAUUGUCUCCUUUAUUGUUAAAUCUCCCCCUUUGAUAAUAUUGUAAAGUGCUACGGAAUAUGCUGGCGCUAUAUAAAUACCAGUAAUAAUAAUAUAAAAUAGACCCAAGGUAUUCAAAAAGAGCAAUUUUACAUUUUCAUUUAACCUUUUCAUCACCAACUUCCGCCAAAUAAUUUUUUCAAACACAUAUUAUAUUUGUGGGGAAUAUCAUAGACCAUGUGUGCUCCACAACGAUACAGAUCAAGAAUUUGUAAUUUGUGUAGGGUCUGGCAAAUGGCUGCUGAUCUAUUAGCAAAUAAGAAAAUUGACUGCUGUACAAUGUACAACAGUUCUCACUAAUUGUAUUUAGAAUGGUGAUGUUAAGGGUACGAAACCUGUCAUGAUCAGGGGUGCCCAAAAGGUGGAUGCCUAGAUGUUGUGGAACUACAACUCCCAUGAUGCUUUGCAUGUCUUUGCAUGCCUUUAGAAGGACAAGACAUCAUGGACGUUGUAGUUUUAAAACAUCUGAGGAUCUACCUUUUUGGCACCCAUGACAUAGAUCAUUACUUUAAGGGACACUAUAGUCUUCCUGACAGCCACUAGAGGUGCAUCCAGCGUGCAGAAUGUCCAUAGGAAAGCAUUGAGAAAUGCUUUCCUAUGGACUGUUUGAAUGCCCGCGGCACGCCACUCGUCGGCGGGGGAGGAGCGGUCACAAGUGCCGAGGGAGCCCAGCUCUGGAAUAAGAUACGCUGCUGGAGGGGUUUUAACCCCUUUAGCGCCAUGGGAGAGGGACCCUGAGGGUGGGGGCACCCUUAGGGCACUAUAGUGUCAGGAAAAUCGCUUUGUUUUCCUGACACUAUAGUGAUCCUUUAACUAUACUAUCUCAAGACAUAUAGUGCAUUUCACUCUAAUUAAAGGAAUAAUUUUUAACAAAAAAGUAUUUGCUUACAUUUAAUUGAGUUCCAUUUUUAACGUUCACGCUAUAGAUUGCUGGCUGUGUUGCGUCAAGGCUUAGUAAGUUUAUCUAUAUUUAUACACACAUUCAUGUUCAUUAAAAAAUUGGUAGCAUAGCUACUUUAAUAUAAUUAUUCUCAACCAUUUAUCUUUGCUUUAAUCCUAUGGAGCAUCUCCAAUUAUAGCACAAUUAUUUGGCAUUUACCUCCAAAAUUAAAUUUAACAGAUACUUAUUGGAGAUUGAUGAGUUUCAUUUGAAACUAUAGGCUAGAUUCUAGAAACAUAUAAACAUGGCAUUUAUAUAUGAUAUAGUGUGUGAUUACAUGUACAAAGCUGCUGUGACUCAAAACCAAUCAUUUGAACUCUUGUAACAGUUCCUUAUUAACGUUUAAAAGCCCUUCAUUUUCUAUGUCACAUUCGGCCAGUUAACAAAUAGAUGGGAUUAAAGAAAUCUUUACACCCUGGGAUUUUGUACACAUCAACUCAAAUACUUUGCAGUUUUACUAGGAAUUUGUUUCAUGUAGCCUCCCUCAUUCAUAUAAAGUACUCCCACGCAAGUAUUUAAAAAAAAAUCGAAAUCCUUAUUUUUUAAAUUUUAUUUGACAUUACGUUUAUUUAUUCAUUCAUUUAGUUUGCAUGAAUAUAUUUCAUUAUGUGUUUGUAUCUAAGCUAUUUUUAUCGUUAGUUUGCCAAUUUUUCCUUAUCAAUUGAUUAUAUAUUUAUCAAUUUAAAGUCAGGAACAGUAAUUUAAAAGUGUUCACAAUAGCCGAAUUGGAAAAACUCUCCAAGUCAUCUGUUUUCAUUUCGGUUAAAUGGAACCUAUAGUCCCAAAAAGAACAAUAAUGUUUUCGAGACUGCAGGUUUCUUUCUAUCACUGUGACCCCAUUUGCAGAUAAACAUUAAAGUUAAAUAAAGAUUAUUCACCUCGUUUCCAGCCCUAAGACUCCCCCGCUGUAGGCGCCAAAACUGCUUCUGAAGACAUCAGCAUGCCUGCUGACAUACAGAGUAUUGGCGGAUGAGAUGUGCACGUGUGGGUAUGCACAAUGCUUCUCCAGUUAUAAGAAUCAUUUGAUUGCUGGACCAACUUUGACCAUGUCUUGUGCCUGAUCUGAAAGACAGUCACUAGAGGUGUAUUUAACCCUUCAAAUGUAAAUGUUUCUGCAGAAUGGAAAUGUUUUACAUUGAAGGGUUAAAAUGACAACACCACUGCACCCAGACCACUUUAAUGAGGUGGAGUGAUCUGGAUGACUUUAUAAUUUAUAUAAUUUGUCCUAAAUGUGAUAUUCAAUCUGAAUUCUUUGCAUUUGAUAUUUUGAACAACAAUGAAUAACUUUAGUAAGUGCUCAACUAAAGGAACACGAUGGGCACUCAGACCACUUAUUCUCAUUCUCUGAAACAUAUCAGACUGGUCUCACCCAUACGAGCAGUCCAGAUCCGAAAUGCCAGCAAGUUCCUUCUGUACGAGAGAUACAGCAACCCCAGACGAUCGUUUCAGUCUUGUUACGCAUCAUCAGUAAGGCAUAGCUGAUAUCUCUCUAGGCACCGUGAGCAAGGGGUCCACGUCUGGAUUACCCUUUAAACUUAUGGAGAGCAAAUUCAUAUUUUGAAUAACAAUGAAUAACUUUAGUAAGUGCUCAACUAAAGGAACACGAUGGGCACUCAGAUCACGUAUUCUCAUUGAAGUUGCCUGCAUGCAGUGUUCCUGUCCCCCUUAGCCUUGCAAUGUAGAGAAACUGCAAGACUAAGACUGCUAAGACUGCUUCUAGCGACUGCCUUCCAGACAACCACUAGAAAGGUUUCCUGCAGCCUCACAGGAGUUUGACUGUGUGAAUCAAUGCUGGACAUCCUCACGUUGUGCAUGAGAACAUCCAGAGCAAAAAACAGGGCGCAAGAGAAUACUGAGAACAAGCAGCAGCUGAAAUAGCCUGCCCUUCGGUGGGUCCCCGCUCAGUUUUCAAGCUUUUUUUAGCUUAUCUUGUGCCAUUACAGAGAGAACAUCUCUGAAACAUAUCAGACUGGUCCCACCCAUACGAGCAGUCCAGAUCCACAAGAACAUCCAGCAUCUACAAAUCCCUCGUAGGCCUUUCCUAUGGGGUAGGCCUAAUGCGCACACGGGGCUCGUCGUGCAUGCACCUUAGGUUCGCCCUCGGUGUUGACAUUGGAGAAGGUGAAGAUGGGUCCAGUGCAGAUGGACCUUGGCACUGGAAUAAGGGGAGUAAGAAAAGGUUUUUUAACCCUUUAACUGCUGGGGGGCAUGUGGGGGCACGAUAGUGUUAUGAAUACAGCUUUCUAUUUUUAAUUCUAUAGUAUUCCUUUAAUUGUUUGCAUCUUAUGCCAUUAUUAUUAUUAUUAUUAUUAUUAGCAUUUAUAUAGUGCCAGCAUACUCUGCUACAAUUACAGAAGGAAUAUUUCUCCUGGUUGUAAAACAGUGAUCUUACCACUGCUCUAACCAUCCUAUAUAUAUAGGUUAUAUCAGCGGUUCCAAACUGGGAGCCGCUAGUUAUUUUCCCGGUGCUAUGAUGAUAGCACCGGGAACUGUGCUCUCCUCUGCUGGCUCUGCAGGAUCGGCAAUGCUCUGAAUCUCACAAGAGUGAACUCUAGUAGCUCCUGAAAUAUUAAGGGCACCUUGAACCUAAAAAGUUUGGUAACCACUGGGUUAUAUAAUUAUAUAAUUUAAUGAAGCAUUUUAAAAAUAAUUUGUUUUAUAAUUCUUUAUUUUGGUUGUGUAGAUAUUAAGGUACAAGUUGAUCAAGAGACGAUAACAUAAGCAUGGUUAACAAUAAACUGCACUUUUUGUUAAGGUAAAAGAAAGACUAACAUGUGGAACAGUGUGGCAUGUGGAGCAAUCAAAAUAAAACAAUGUAAAACAAAAAAAACAUGCCACGGCUAGUAAGGACCCUACACCCACUUAGAAAAAACAAACAAAAAAACCCCAACCUUUUCAGACAGAGGGACAAAAGCAACACUUGUAAUGCUUGCAAACCUGCCCAAGGAGAGGCACCACUAUUCCCCACAUAGGGUUUAUCCAGACCCCAUCACCAGUAUUAAGACAGAGUCCCAAAAUGCAGAUUUAGGCCUGUUAGUAUGCUUGCAAGAACCCUGAGGGAAAUUGCCUUCUCCAGGGAUUGCUCUUAUAUGAACCAUACAGGCUUGCAGAUUGAGGGAGUCGUUCCAUGCGACUUGUCAGCAUGGCGGUCAAGCCCCGCCCCCUUAAUGAAGCACUUUUUAUGUACUGCCCAACUGCAUGGUGAAAUGAUUUGUAUUCAGAGAAAUGUCUUGGAUCUGGGAAUUCUAGUUUUUUAUUUGUUUAUUGGACAGUACUGAAAUGUCAGACUUGCCAUUCAAGAUUAAUUCUCAUAGAUGAUAUGAAAUAAUAAUUAAUACCGCCUAGCAGAAGUUUAUACUCUGUAGACUCACAUCCAAGGGCUGCCCUGUUCUUAUGGAAUUCUUUAUCACGUGCCAUCAGACUCUCCCUAGUCUUCAGUCCAUUAAGAAGUAACUAAAAACCCAUUUCUUUAAGAAAUCCUAACGUUGCUCUGGGUGGUACUUCUCUCAUUACAAUUUCCCACCACAGUUUCUUCACCUUCAUAGCUCAGCUCACUCUCUCUCCUUUUACUGUUCAGUUCUUCACAUUUACCAGCUUAUUUUGACACAGACAUCUUAACCAUCAGUCUCCCUUCCACUUUGGCAUGCUGUUAUUUCUCAUUUUCUACUUAACUCUGUCCUCAUAGAUUGUAAUCAUGUUUAAGCAGGGCCUUCUUCACCUUUUCCUUCUGUUAACAUGUUGUAUAUCAUCUGAUUCUUGUUAAAUAUCCCUAUUCUACACUUAUAAAGAAUUGUGCAAUAUGUUGGCGAUAUAUAAAUGUUAAUAAUAAUAUUAAUAAGCAAAACUGUUUGUUUGUAAGUUAAAUAGCUACUUAGCUGAAAAGAGACUUGCGUCCAUCAAGUUCAGCCUUCCUCACAUAUGUUCUUGUUGUUGAUCCAAAAGAAGGCAAAAAACCUAGUCUGAAGCGCUUCCAAUUUUGCAACAAACUAGGAAAAAAUUCCUUCUUGACCCCAAAAUAGCAAUUAGAUGUCUCCUUGGAUCAAGCAGCUAUUACCCCACUAAUUAGAAAUUAUAAGUAUUUAUCCAAUUGCAGUUUAAACAUCUGUAUAGACUUUGACAAAACCAUGUCUUCAGGCAGAGAAUUCCAUAUCCUUAUUGCUCUUACUGUAAAAAAAACCUUUUCUUUGCCUUAGAUGAAAUCUCAUUUCUUCCAGCCUAAAUGUGUGACAUUGUGUCCUAUGUAUAGCCCUGUUUAUGAAUAGAUUCUCAGAUAAAGGUUUGUACUGGCCCCGAAUAUAUUUGUAUAAUGUUAUCAUAUCCCCUCUCAGGCGCCGUUUUCCAAACUAAACAGAUUUAACAUUUUUAACCUUUCUUCGUAACUAAAAUGCUCCAUUCCAUUUAUCAAUUUUGUAGCUCGUCUCUGCACUUUUUCUAGUGCCAUGAUAUCUUUCUUUAGAACAGGUGCCCAAAAUUGCACAGCAUAUUCAAGGUGUGGUCUUACCAACGAUUUAUAAAGAGGCAAAAUUAUAUUUUCAUCCCGAGAAUUUAUGCCCCUAUUUAUACAUGACAAAACCGUACUGGCCUUAGCAACCGCAGAUUGACAUUGCAUAUUGCUGUUUAAUUUGUUGUCUAUAACAAUUCCCAAAUCCUUCUCGUGUGUGGUUAUCCCUAAUUCACUACCAUUUAGGGUGUAAAUUGCUUGUGCAUUCUUAACCCCGAAGUGCAUAACUUUGCAUUUCUCUACGUUAAAUUUCAUCUGCCAUUUUAGUGCCCAGUCCCCCAAUCUAUCCAAAUCCCUCUGCAGCAAAGCAAUAUCCUGCUCACAUUUUAUUACUUUACAAAGUUUUGUGUCAUCUGCAAACACUGAUACAUGGCUUUCAAUGCCUAUUUCAAGAUCAUUUAUAAAUAUGUUAAAUAAAAGAGGUCCCAAAACAGAACCCUGAGAGACACCACUUACCACUUUUGUCCAGCCUGAAAAUUUACCAUUAAUGACAACUCAUUGUACUCUAUUCUUAAGCCAAUGUUCUACCCAACAAUAAGAAUAUUCAUCUAGACCAAUUUCUUUUAGUUUGAAGGCUAACCUAUUGUGAGGAACCGUAUCAAAUGCCUUGGCAAAAUCUGCAGCAAUCAUUUGCAUAUCUCUUGCCAUAGGAUCCUCAUUAAUUUAUACUGAAGAAAAAUAGUUAUUUAAAAUUUCUGCUUUUUCCUGGUCUUCAUUAGCUAACAAACCAAUUUCUGUUUCCAGUGUACCUACACUUUUAUUUUUUGUUUUUUUAAAAUUGAUGUACUUGAAAAAAAAUUUGGGGUUGGUUUUGCUUUCUUUGGCUAUCAAUUUCUCAUUUUCUAGUUUAGCAACUUUAAUUGCCUUUUUGCAAGCAUUAUUUGCUUCAUUAUAUCUUACAUAGGAUGCCUCUGAUUUGUCAGAUUUAAAUGCUUUAAAUGCCCUUUUCUUAUUUUUAAUCUCUUGUUUUACUUCUCUACUAAGCCACAUUGGUUUUAAUGCGUUUAUUUUAUAUUUAUUACCCAAUGGUACACACUGAGAAAUAUAAUAUUUGUUUGAAUAGUUUCCAUUUAUCCUCGGUGUUUUUAUCACUAAGGAGUUUAUGCCAGUCGAUAUGUUGUAGAGCUUCCCUAAUCUUAUUGAAAUUGGCUUUUUUUAAAUUAUACAUUUUAGUAUAACCCACGUGCUUUUGCUUUUUUGAGUUUAUUUAAAAAAUUACCAUAUUGUGAUCACUAUUUCCCAAAUGCUCCCCUACUUGAAUGUUGGUUAAAAGAUCAACAUUGUUUGUUAUAAUGAGAUCCAGACAAGCAUCCUUUCUAGUUGGUGCUUGUACCAGUUGUGACAUAAAGGUGUAAUUUAACACAUUUAAAAACCUGAUUCCCCUUGCUGAAGUACUAGUCCCUCUAUCCCAAUUUAUGUGCGAGUAAUUAAAAUCUCCAAUAAUAAACAUGUUACCCCGAUUUGCAGCUUUCCCAAUUUGCUCUAACAGCUGUUCUUCCUCAUUAAUAUUUACAUUAGGUGGUUUAUAACAUAUCUCAACCAAUAACUGAUUUCCCUUUGUUUGCCCCAAGCAGAUAUCUACCCAUAAAGCUUCCACAUUUUCCUUGUCACACUCCACAUGCCUAAGAUUUGACUUUAACUCAUGGUUGACAUACAAACAUACCCCACCACCCUUCUUGCUUUUCCUAUCCUUCCUAAAUAACGUGUACCCAUUUAAAUUAACUGCCCAGUCAUGUGUCUCAUCCCACCAUGUUUCAGUUAUGCCUAUUAUAUCAUAUUGUUUAGUGUAUGCUAUUGCCUCUAGUUCCCCCAUUUUGUUAUAUAGGCUCCUUGCAUUAGUAAGUAUACAUUUAAUAUUAUCAUGAGUGAUUUGUACUUUUUGUGAAUUAUCAAUAUUACAUACCUCCUCUGUUCUGAGCUUUCCCCUCCUCCAUCUCCACCCCCUUUGUUCUGAGCUAAAGCCCAUCUCCUUUCUAUCCUAGCACCAUUUUCUAGAUUGCUUUGACGCUGCCCCCCACUACUAGUUUAAAAUCUCCUCCAACCUUCUAGCCAUCCUAUCCCCCAGCACAGCAGCCCUUCUUCCGUUUAGGUGCAAUCCAUCACGACUAUACAGGUUGUACCCAAGUGCAAAAUCGGCCCAGUGCUCUAAAAACCCAAAACCCUCUUUCUGAACCAAGACGUCAGCCACGCAUUGACCUCUCUAAUCUCCCGCUGCCUUUCUGCUGUAGCGCACGGCACAGGUAAUAUUUCUGAAAAUAUUACCUUGUAGGUCCUUUUCUUUAGCUUACUUCCUAGUUCCCUGAACUCAUUCUUUAGGACCUUCCAUUUUCCUCUGACUUUAUCAUUGGUACCAAUAUGGACCAUGACAGCUGGGUCAUCCCCAGCCCCUCCCAAUAAUCCCUCCACUCUGUUGGCAACAUGCCGGACCCAAGCAUGUUGAGUCGAUCAGAGUGGCAGAUUAUCCUAUCUACUCUCUUAAUAAUAGAGUCCCCUACCACCACAACCUGUCUAGCCUUCCUUACCCUCUCAACCCCACCCGUACUAGAGGGGCUGUUCCCACGGCUGUUAGAAGGAACAGCUUCCUGCAGUACAGCUACUCCUGAGCUGAUGCUCCCAACAUCUUCACUCAAACAGGCAAAUCUGUUAGGCUGCACAAGACCAGGACUAGCUAAACCUUUUCUCUUCCCUCCCACUCUGCUUCCUCAUCCCACUGUUACCCAUCUAUGUGCCUGUUCUCCAACUGUCUCAUCUCCUCCCACUCCACUACCUGCACCCACUAAACUCUGCUCAGUGAGCAGCAGACUCCUCUCAAGAUUGUCAAUCUCCCUCAGUGUUGCAAUUUGCCUCUCCAGAUCUCCAAUCUGAGCUUCCAGAAAAGCCACUCGCUCACACCCACCACAGAGGUAUGGUCCCUGGACAGAGUCAUCCAGGCAUGCAUACAUGCAGCACGAUGUACACUGAGUAAAAUUUGCAAUCUUGCUAGCACUCAUCCCCAGUUACAAAAAACAAGUCAGCAAAAACAAUAUUUACCCUCUUGGUUUCAACUCCCUUCUAGUUUCAACUCCUGUUGUUUUAACUCCUACUUAAAAGAGACUACUUGAAAUAGCCUACUUUCAAGCAAACUCCAGUGAGCAAGCUCUGUGAUUCAGUAGUGGGUUUAUAUUGUCAAUACAAAUCCCACACAGGUGGAAAUUAAGGGGCACUCCCCCUAAUUAGCUCAGCAGCAGCACCCACAAGGAGGGGAAUAUAAACAACAAGAGAGGGGAAAAAAAUUAAAAAAGGAGGGAAAACGUUUUAAAUAACACCAGCAAGGAGAAAAUAUAGAAGAAAAAAAAAUAGGGACAAAGUUUAAAUAAAUCCAGCAAAGAAAAAAAUAUAUAUAAUAAAAGGGGAAAAAAGUAAAAAAAAAUUAAAAUAAAUCAAAACAGCAAGGACAAAAAUAAAUUAAAAAGGGUCAAAGUAAAAAAAAAGUGUUUAUAUAUGCUGUGCUUUUUAGACAUGUGCACCAGUGAAAUUUUCGUUUCGAAAUAGAAAUUAAACCAUUCGCAAACCAUAAAACAUAAAAAUUUUGUCCUUUAGGUAAGGAAUCAUUGACUACAGCCUGUUGAAUUAUUUGAAAAAUAAUGCACACCCGAGGUGGUAUUGCGGGCACGAUGCAAAGCAGAGUGGCCAUUACACCUCGGGUGUGCAUUAUUUUUUUCGAAUAAUUCAAUGGCCUGGAGUCAAUUAUUCAGCUUAUACUACAGUUACCACACCUCGAAAGAUUGUUCAGAUGAUGUAUUUCAAGACGUUUCAAGUUUUUGUCAUUAAAACGCUCUUGUAUGUAGGACUCAUUUCUUACUGUAAUGCAGUCAAGACCUGUCUAGAACUACUUUAGCCGUGCGUCUCCCUGAAAAUAAUGCACACCUUAGAACGUUCGUCAACGAAUCAGAUUAAAGCAUUCAACGGCCCUGUAGAAUAAGAUGAAAAUAACCUAAAGUCCUCCCCAGGUCCACACCCAUGAGCCACGGAUGUGGACGCUAAUUAAUUAAAGGGGGGACCUAAGUUCCCCCACUGGCUCCCACCCAUUAACGGCCAGUUACCCCCUGGUACCCACCCAUAUGCGACUGGUGGGGACCACAAAUAAUAAAGUGACUAGGGUUCCCCAAACCCCUAUUACUUCCCCCCCCCAAUAAAAACUCCUAAUAAUAGUGAAGGGGGGCAAUAGACUACCCUGUAAAAUAAAAUUUCAUACUUACCAUUAGAUGUCUUGUUUUCUUUUCUUUCUUCAGUCCCAAAAAAGGCCAAAUAAAUAUCCUUAAUACCCGUCGCAACUGUUAAAAAAAAAAAAAAAACCAGAGCGCCCAAAAAAUAAAUAUGCAGAAAAAAAAAAAUCCUGAUGCUAAGAAAAGAAUUCUUCUUCACUCAGCGAGGAUCGGUGCAGAAUGUUCUCCGCGGGGGGUGGAAAGGCUUAUAAAUUCCCACGUCCUGCAAUUUGACUUAAGCCAACCAAUCAAAGUGCUCUGACAGGUAAAUGAAGAGACUGACAGGUCUCUACAUUUACCUGUCACAGCACUCUCAUUGGUUGGCUUAGAAUCCAACCAAUUAGAACGCUCUGAGUCAUUUUACACAGAGUGGGAAAGUUCUUUGGAAUUUAUUUUAUUUAGACUCCCCACCUGCUGCUCAUGGGUGGGGACCAGGGGGGACAUUAGGUCUCCCUUUAAUUAAUUAGGAUCCCCACCCACUGCUCAUGGUGGGGACCUGGGGGGGGACAUUAGGUCCCCUCUAUUAUUUAUUUAUUUAGGGUCCCCACCCGCCGCUCAUGGGUGGGGACCAGGGGGGACAUUAGGUCCCCCUUUUUAAUUAAUUAGGGUCCCCACCCGCAGCUCAUGUGUGGGGACCUGGGAGUGACAUUAGUUCCCCCCCAUUAUUUAUUUAAUUAAGGUCCCCACCUGCCGCUUAUGGGUGGGGACCUGGGGGGACACUAGGUCCCUGCAUUUAUAUUAAUAGCCCACACCCGCUGGUCACAGGUGUGGGUGCGGGGGGGCACUAUGUCCCCCCCAUUUUAUUUAUUUGGGUUCCCCACCUGUACUAGGUCCCUCCUUAUUGCACUAGUGACCAGGCAUUAGUAGCUGCCUAGUCACUAGUAGUUUUAAAUUUGUUUAGACGACAUGCCCCUACUCGCGGCAUGCCGCAAAUAGGGGCAUGCAGGAAGAAUUAACCUCCCUUUUAUCAACAUGGGGGUCAUUUAACCUCCACAAAAUGAAACGAAAAGAUAAUGCAUUCAGCAUUUGCCCUUUCGUUUAUAUUUAGUAUGUAGUGCUUUUGUUUACUUUUUAGUAAACGAAUACGAAAAAAAAGAGUUUUUGGGCAAAAUCGUAUUUAUACGAAAACGAAUGCAUGUCUAGUGCUUUUGUCAAUGGACUACCAACCCCUAUAUUAGUGAAGAGUUCUGCUUAAUGUAGCUUACCCUCAGAUAGAGCGUCGCCCAUUAGCUAGUCAUCUUUUGUACUUCAAUGUACAGACAUUACAAUUUAUAUAUUUAUAAUUAUUUAUAUAAUAAAACAUGUUUCAUAUAGAAUGUUGAUAUGUUUGCACUAUAUAUUCUCUAUGACACAGAGAGAAUUGCCUCCACACUUUACCAUCAAUCCCUCUGACCUUUUUUUCCUCUCUGUUUCAGUUUUUCCGCAUGCAAGGUCAGCUUGUCUCUUAUAUUUGUCUCCAUUUCUGCAGAGGCACAUUUGGUGGGCAUGGCAACUGGAAUAUUACCUCUUUUAAUCCAAUUAAGUUCAGGCCCUCAUAAUAGAGAGUUUAUUGUAAUGUCCUCAUGGUCAACACGAGACCCAUUUCUAUGUUGUUUUGCAACGUUUGGAUGUGGACUCUGGCUGUUAAAAGACAAGGAAAAUUAUAUCUUUAGAUUUUGUGUCAGACAUAAAUUUCUCAUGGUGGACAAUUUUUAUGAAAUCACGGAGAGUGCCCAAAAGGCUAAGUGCAGUAAUAAAGGUGAUCGACCAAAGGAGAAAUUGUGUUAACUCGCUAGUUUUGCAAAACAUCUCAUAAAAACAAAAAUUGGUUAUUAUUGCAAAUAUAACUCAUGUGUCACACAUAUUAAUCAUGUUACGUCUGAUGUAGAAUAUUGUAUACAGAAACCCUUUGCUCCAUGAUUUUGUUAUUAAAGCAAGUGUUCAAGAUUGAGUGACUUUAAAAAAAUAAAUAAAAUAAAAGGUAUUCAAUUUUCAAGAUACAGAAAAGUGAAACAAGGACCACAACACAGAACAAGAUGUUUGGCAGUAAUAAAAAAUAAGAAAAAUAAAAUGUUAGUAAGCUCGUAAUAGAAUCAUAUAUAAAAAAAAAAACUAAUCUUGAAGGGAAAGAACAGUAAGAAAAAUGAUAAGAAAUAAAAGAAGGGAAUGAUAGGAAUAAAGACAGAGAGGGUUAAUUAUGUGAGAGAACUCCAAAAAUAAAUCUGUAUCAUAAUGUAGUAUAUCAUAUACAUGGAAAUAAGGUAUUAAUGUGCUUGGAGAAACACUGCAUUGUCUAUCUAUCCCUGCUAAUAUACAGGUAUGUCCCAUUUAGUCUCAGAAGACGUGUGUCUAUCCUUUGUUCAUACCCCUGACUCUCACCUUCAAGAAUUCUCUAGACCUGCACCAUUCCUAUAGAUUUCCCUUCUCGAUUAGAUUUUCACCAAGUAUCCAUUACUUUAAAAAAUCACAGAAAAUGCAAUUCUUCCAAAUAGCAUAUUUACAAAACUCUUAAUAAUAAUUAACUCGGUUUUCAAAGCCCCUAGUCACCACCACACACAAAAAUAAAGCAAUCCUAAUGACUCCCCUUACUCUAAUAAUAGUGAGGCAAUAAAACUAUAACCUACAAAAAAUAAAAUCAUAUUUACUGUCUAAAGUCUUCUUUCUUUUUAAGAUCAUCGUUUCUUUAACCCCCAAAAAGUCCAAAUUAAAAUCCAUAAUAAUACAACAGAAUCAUUGAAAAUAAAUUUUUUUUUUGAAAAAUCCAAUAAAAAAAGUUAAAAACCCAAUGCAGCAAAAAAUAAAUCAAGCCUCUUCCUGCAAGGGAUUGGAGCAGAAUGAGUUUUUAGGUGCGAAAAGCCAUUAAAAAUAUUUCCCCUCACUUUGAAUUCUCAUUAGAGCGCUCUGAUUGAUUGGAUUUUCCCAUGGUACUUAAGAAACGCGAGACUUUGCUUUCAGAGCAUUCUGAUGGGCUGGCUUACAAUUCAACCAAUCAGAGCGCUCUAAUGAGAAUACAAAUUGUGGGAAGCCUUUAUAAAGCCUUUUUCCACCUUGAAGCUCAUUCUGCACAGAGCCCUUUUGGGAUGAAGAUGAUGAUAAGUGUUUUUUCUCGCACAUAUCAUAUAUAAAAGUGUAAGGUAUACACUGGUAUUUUUUUAAAUAUCUUUUGAUGCUUCUAGUUUGUAAUAACUUUGUUUACUUAUUGGCAAUUAAUUUAUAUAUAGAAUUGCCGUACUGUUAAAAACCACAAUAAAUCAAAUAAUAGUUUUCAUGAACCAAUGGGAAAGUAAUAAAGAGAGGCACAACUCACAUUUUUCUCCAUGGGAUCCAUUACAGAUGUGCAAAGACCAAGAAACAAGAGGGUGCGUAGCUAGAUCAUAGCACCAAUCCUCCCAACUAUUCAAGAAAGACAAUACUCAUUUACUGUACUAACAAAUAAAUACAUUCCAAUUUAGGAAUACUGAUACAGGAGGAAAUACAAUAACUGAAUAUAAUGUAAGUAUUGUAUUCUAAAUGUAAGUAUUGUAUUCUUUUUUUAGAUACUUUAUUUAAAAUCAAGUACAAUUAGGCUUUUUCAAAACAAAUACAGAACAUACGGAAAUAGUGUACCCAGCAGUGGACCCAAUAUAUAGUGAAAGGUCAAAUAACAAAAGAGCCUGUGUACAGGUUAUGUACCUUUUAUAAACACGAGGCACAGUAUAACCAGAAGAAAAACAAAUACAAAUAAAUAAAUAUGGGACCAAGAUGGCUUUAAAAAUGAUAAUGAGAUUAACGGGACAUUCCACUGCACAAACAUAAAACAAAACACAGUUUAGUAGAUAUACCCCAAAUAGAAACAUGCAUGCAUUUAAUUAUGCGUUUCUUUUUUCAUUAGGAGUAUUUAAAAACAGCUUUAAAAAGAUGCAGGUCUCCACUUCUAACCCCGCCCAGAUUUUCUGUGGCUGUCCAUUCACAGACGUCCCAAUGCAGCUCUCAAAGAGAAGCCUUAAAAGGCAAUUAACUGCAUCUUGAGUUUAGUUCCAAUGAGCUAGGCAACCAGGAAGUAACUGAACCGGUUGUCUGAUUCACAGCCAGGGAACUUAACCAGGUUAAUUUAUAAAAGUGCCAAUUUCCAUUGAAAUUUUAAUUUUGUAAAAAAUCAAAAAGAGUGGACACACUUUUCACACACAGCUUGCUGAAUUGCUUUAGGGGUCUGGAAUGUCGCUUUUACUAAGUUUUAGCAACAUAGUUAUGGUGCAGAGACUGUACCCUAAUAAAUAUAUGUAGAGAAUUAGGAAUGAUUGUAGUAAGUUAUCAAUGGCAGAACAGAUGGGACUAUAGGCUUCAGACAACAUAUUGACAGGUAUCUAAGUGCAUUCAGUGUUGCCAAGACAAAGACUUCAAGUCAACCAUGUGCCAAUAAAACAUUUUUUCUCUCCCAGAUUAAUAUACCAGGAAGACAAUCCUACUACAUGGUAGGCAUGUAACUUUAUGGGUCACACUGUGCCCAACAGAGGUCAUUUCAAUCCUGUGGAGUUUUACGGGGAUAUAUCACUAUAGGUUUGAAUAUUUCCACGUGCAAUUCCACACAUUUGGAGUCCUUCUGGUCACAUUUCCUGAUAUCAUCCCAUAUCCCAAGCCAGUAGCGUAUGAAGCUACUUAAGUCCCACCCAGGUGAUAGAUGGGAGGGGGUGCACAGAGCACCAACAUCUCGUCAGUCACUCUUUGUAGAGGGUUUUAUUAUCAUCCACUUGGGUCAAUAACAAAGGGAGCUCAGCUGCAACAAUUAUACAGGCACUAGGAGCGGAGUUAUAUGACGCAAGUACCUGCUGCCUGGUAGCCAUUCUGAGGGAGAAGCAGGAAUGAUUCCCUACUUCCUCACCACUAGACACCACAGUACUUCAAUGACUUCAAUCCCGACUUCCAUCCCCCCAGGUGACUUGCCUAUUGUGCCAGUGACUGUGUGUGUGACCAUGUGCCAGUGACUGUGUGUGUUACCAUGUGCCAGUGACUGUGUGUGUGACCAUGUGCCAGUGACUGUGUGUGACCAUGUGCCAGUAACUGUGUGUGUUACCAUGUGCCAGUGACUGUGUGUGUGACCAUGUGCCAGUGACUGUGUGUGUUACCAUGUGCCAGUGACUGUAUGUGUGACUUUGUGCCUGUGGGUGUGUGUUUGACAGUGUGUGUUUUUGUGUGUGUGAUUGAAUGCCUGUGACUGUAAGUGACCUAGGUACACCUCUGUCUUAACCUCAUGAACCUCCACAAGAUCAUUCUCCCAUUGAGUAUAAGUAUUGUUUCUUUGUUUCUUUUUUUUUUAAGUGAAAGAGAAAAUAUUUUUACAAUUAUUAUGCAACAUAUUUCAUAGGUUCUGAUUACGGUAAUAGUCUAAAAUAAAAAAAGAUUUAAUCACACCAAAGCUUACAAGCAGUGUUUCGAUCCAGCAUUGGAUCUUUGUCAAACUUGACUGUUUAUAAGUUCUGGUGUGCCUAAACUUUUUUUUUAUUUUUGGACUAUUUAAUGCACUGGGGUAGUACUCACCCUUAGUUUGGUUUUCCACCCAGUUAUCAGCUCAGUUGGAGGAGGGCAGUUUCUGUUUAUUUAUUAAUGGUUCUUAUCAAUACUCACACAGUGCUGAGCAAAAGACUAUAGAAGACACUGAUCCAAAGUUAGAAGUCAUGGUAUGAUAUGUGAGGUCCCAUUCAUAAGCAUACACCCACCUACGCCUAGUUCAUAUAUUAUUAGUUACAACUAGACAUGUGCAAUUAGUUUUGGGCCGAAUAUGAAUUCGGAUGAAAUUCGGUCAAUUAGGACAUUCGUGAACUUCAGAAUGUCCGAAUAGCUGAAGUGCCGAAUUGCCGAAGUGCCGAAUUACCGAGGUCCCAAAGUUCUGAAAUUACCAAAUUUCCGAAGUGUUGAAGUGCCGAAUUGCCGAAGCACAGUAUUGCCUAAGUACAAAUAUACUUACCCAGUGGAAGAAGAAGAAUUUUACACUGUAUACAAUUUUAAAUAAAAAGUAUACAAACAUAGCCAGGAUUCAGCUGUAAGCAUUUGCAACACUUACAACAAUCAAGUAACAUACAUUCAUAUAAAAUGUAAAUUACUUAGCCUGUCAAUGUAAUGACAGGAAUGAAUGAGUAGAUAACUCCAUAAUUCCCACGGUAUUAGGGAGCUAUCUAUUAAAAGGCUGAAAGACCUAAAUUGGUCUUUCAACCAAAUUUACUAAUACUAAGUAAAGAUUACUCGCUAUACCGCGAGUAGGGGCAGCCUAUGGCUGCUCACUGUAAAAAAACAAACAAAAAAAAUAAGUCCCACCUCCCCCUCCUAACUUGAAGGGGGGACCUAUUGUCCUACCUGCCCCCACCCCUGAACGGCGGGUGGGGGCCCUAAAGUAAAAUAAGGGGGGGACCUAAUGUCCUCCCCCCUGGCCCCCACCCAUGAGCGGCGGGUGGGGGCCCUAAAAUACUAAUUAGGGGGGACCUAAUGUCCUCCCCCCUGGCCCCCACCCCUGAGCGGUGGGUGGUGGUCCUAAAAUACUAAUUAGGGGGGGACCUAAUGUCCUCCCCCCAGGCCCCCACCUCUGAGCGGUGGGUGGGGGCCCUAAAAAAAAAAAAAUAAAUAACCCCCCUCCCCCAGGUGACUAGGCGUCCCCAAACCCCUAGUCACCCACCUCCCCCAAAAAAUUAACCCCUACCUAUCCCCCUCACCCUAAAAAUAAUGAGGGGGGCUAUUUAACUAAGCACCUGAAAAAAAAAAAACUUACCAUGAGGAGGAGAUUAGGUCCCCCCUAAUUAGUUUUUAGGGCCCCCACCCACCGCUCAAGGGUGGGGGCCUGGGAGGAGGACGUUAGAUGCCCCCAAUUAGUUUUUAGGGCCCCCACCCACCACUCAGGGGUGGGGGCCAGGGGGGAGGACAUUAGGUCCCCCCCUCAUUCUAAUUUAGGGCCCCCACCCACCGCUCAGGGGUUGGGGCUGGGGGGGGGCAAUAGGUCCCCCCCAUUAUUUUUCUUUAGGGUCCCCACAUGCCGCUGAGGGAGAGUAGGGGCUCGGGAGGGGGGAACCAUUUUUUUCUGAGUGAUCUUAAAAAAUUAAGCUCUAAAUUUACUUAAGGGAAUGCACCAGUUACCAUAACCACUACACCGCACUGACAGGAGUGAUCUGUCCCACCAAUGUAAGGAGUUAAACUGUUUACUUCGCUCUCUGCCUCUACUACUUCUUAGAGUGUGGUGGAAGCUCUGUUCCCUGAGCUAAGCCCUGCAGUGCAGCUAUUAGGUGACACUCUGAGAAAAUUAUUUAGCCAUUCAUUGUAGGAGUUACCGAAAAAGGAAUCUCCUGAAAUAUAGAUUUUGGCUCUCAGGGAACUCCUGGCAACAUAACUACUGCAGCACUCUGUAGUGGGUAUGGUUCUUGGAGUAUUAUUUGAAUAGUUGGUGAAGGUCCAUUGCCAUAAAACUCCAUGUUGAUUUGUAGAAACAACAUCACUAUUACCUCUAACAGUCUUGAAAAAAAUAUUUAACAAUAAAAUACUCAUAAGCUCUGCAGUUGUGCUAUAGGAUAUGAUUGGACAUGUUUUAAAACUUAAAAAGUGCAAAGUAAAAACUUUUUAUUGCUGAGUUUAUAAGGCUCAUUUAUAAAAGACUGAAACUGGAAUAGAUGAUGUGCACCAAUAAAUUCAACAGCCUUUUUUUUCAGCACGAAGUUACAGUAACCGUGUCUUUAUGCAACAAAACCUUCAUAAUUUGGAUUCUUUAGAGGAACAGAAUAUGCGAUGUAUAAUUCAUGAACCAUUCCGGCAUUUAUUCUUGAAAAGAUCACAAUGCAUGCUGUACUGCUAGGAGUUGAUUCAAUGCUUAAAAAUAAAACUAUUCUGUUAUCUGUGAUAGGAAAUAUAUAAUAGAGGCACUCAGGGAAUAUGUAACCUUAUUUCAUUUAUUUGUAGUGUGAUACAUGACAGGUCUCGUAUUAGAAAACAAAAAGCACAGUGUUAAAAAUGACACGUUAAGGUUUUUUGUGUGGAGCCAUAACUUUUCAAAUUAAUAUAUUCAUUUAUUCCAAGUUCUCACGAAGAGGACAUUUUUCAUAUCUGCUGAGAUUUUCCUAAGAGUGCAAUCUUUUUCAUUAAAAAAAAAUAAAAAAAUUCAUGUGUAUUUAAAUUCUACAGAAAUAAUUGCUGUUCAUGUCUCAAAUACUUAGAUAUCUUACCUGAAUUUCAAAUAGCUGUUAUAAAAAAAACCCCAACAAUUUAUUUCGUUUUGACAAAAUAACAAUAAAAACUCAAGUUCCUCGCUGUUUUUAUGGGCUGUAUUGACAGGGUAGCAAAAAAUAAGAGUUUACGUGAGCACUAAGAAUGGACAACAGUUCAAGUAACUUGCCCAUUAGUGGUUCCCCACUCAGGUCUCAUAGAGGUUUUGGUUUACAUGUGCCAUAGUCAGUGGCAUAUCAGGCUGCUCCCAUCCAAAAGGGUAGAGAGAUUCAGCAACCUCAGUCUUCAUUGGGCCUUGACAGUGAGGUAUAGCUAAUAUCUCCCAUAGGCUCAGAUCACCAAAAGGGCAGGCCAACUGAGUUGUGUCCACCCUCAGUAUUCUCUUGCACUAUGUUUAGAUUCCUUUAGACAUAGCCUAGGCACUAGGGUCUACCAAAGCUAAUAGAGUAAUGAACAAAAGCAGAGGUCCGGGCACACAAACGUAAUCCAAUAUCAGCAUUUUAUAGAGGCAAUGUUUUGACUCUAUUAUAGAUCCUUUUCAAUCCUAACAUUCUCAACAAACUACAUUUUAUAAGAAAAUGAAUACUCACCAAAACGCCAUUGCAACAGUUACGGCCCCUGAGGACUGCGGAAAUGACAUAAACACAUUAUAUUACGUUACUCUCAAUUGGAAACAUGUAUUGCAAUCCACCAUAUGGCGUAACUUUGUUUUAAACAGGACUUUAUCAAUAAGAUUAUUUGAUGAGACAAUAUGACAAUAAAAGCUUGAAAACAGUAUUAAUUUAUACAUGUUUAACUAUUUUAAAAGCUAUAUGGUUUUACAGCUUAUAGUUUAAAGAAACAGUUUAUUUGAUACUUUAGAUUUUUUCUAAACUAAAUAGGUUUAAAUUUGUUAACCUUUCUUGGAACAUAUAAGCUAUGAAGAAAGGUUAACAAAUUUAAACCUAUUUAGUUUAGAAAAAUGUCGCCUGAGAGGGGAUAUGAUAACAUUAUACAAAUAUAUUCGGGGCCAAUACAAACCAUUGUGUGGAAAUCUAUUCACAAACCUGACUUUACAUAGGACACGAGGCCAUGCGUUUAGACUGGAAGAAAGAAGAUUUCGUCUAAGGAAAAAGGAAAGGUUUUUUUACUGUAAGAACAAUCAGGAUGUGGAAUUCUCUGCCUGAAGAAGUGGUUUUAUCAGAGUCCACACAGAUGUUCAAACAGCUACUAGAAGUAUACUUGCAAAAACAGAAUAUUCAGGGAUGUAAUCUUUCAAUAUAGGGUAAUAACUGCUUGAUCCAAGGAUAAAUCUGACUGCCAUUCUGGGGUCAAGAAGGAAUUUUUUUUCCUAGCUUGUUGCAAAAUUGUGCUUCAAACUGUGUUUUUUGCCUUCUUUUGGAUCAACAGCAAAAAACAAAUGUGAGGAAGGCUGAACUUGAUGGACGCAAGUCUCUUUUCAGCUAUGUAACUAUAUAACUAUGUAACUAUUCUAAAUGUCACCAUCAUGUUCUACUUUGAACCACUGAAACACUGGAAUGGAAAGUGUGACCAUAUUUAUGCUUGCAGCUUAAAGGACCACUCUAGGCACCCAGACCACUUCAGCUUAAAAACUGCUAUGUUUAUGAAUGGGUUAAGCCUUCCCCUAUUUCCUCUAGUGGCUGUCUCAUUGACAGCCACUAGAGGCGCUUGCGUGAUUCUCACUUUGAUUUUCACAGUGAGAGCAUGCCAGCGUCCAUAGGAAAGCAUUAUGAAUGCUUUCCUAUGUGACCGGCUGAAUGCGCGCGCAGCUCUUGCCGUGCGUGCGCAUUCAGCCGACGGGGCGGAUCGGAGGAGGAGAGCUCCCCGCACAGCGCUGGAAAAAGGUAAGUUUUUACCCCUUUCCCCCUUCCAGAGCUGGGCGGGAGGGGGUCCCUGAGGGUGGGGGCACCCUCAGGGCACUAUAGUGCCAGGAAAAUGAGUAUGUUUUCCUGGCACUAUAGUGGUCCUUUAAUGUACUUUUCCCCUUAUUUUCAUUAAACGAUCUGCUUCUCCUACUACAACAUUAAAACCAUACUAACUCUGCAUUAUUUAUUUUAAAAAAAGCAUGGCCAAGAUGACAUACCCACCUUCAUGGAGAUAGCAUCACAAUAUACUCUACGCAUGCAUGAGAGAACAAAACUGGUGUCUGUCAAAUAGAUAACUUCUUCUCGCCUCAUGAUAGGUGCCUUUUAAACAUUUCACAAGAAUAUGCUAUACCCAUCACUCAUCACACACAACAGCUGGUGCUGAUGAGAGAUUCAAAUGUGACAGUGUCAGUUUAAAUAUCAAUAUCACAUCCUUCUUAUUUCCUCACUUUAAAUCCUUUAUUCUACAAUAUCAAAAACGUUCCUUUCUUCCUUUCUCUUCAUGUUUGCCGACAGUCUAUAAGUGACCUAUAUUUCAUUUCCCAACUUCGAUUUGUUUUUCAAGCACUCUCACCAUCAUCAUCAAUCAUCUGCUCCAAACAUCUCGUCAAACUUCCCACACCUUUCCUUUCAUUCUCUACCCUCUCUUUAUAUCUAACAGCUGAAUCUAUUCACAUGUUUGUGCUGGAGGUAACACUAUAAACACAGCUUCAGUUGAUGGAUGUUUUGGCAGAUGUAUCAACAAUUUAUUGAGACUUAAUUAGUAUUCCAAAAUGGAUCCAUGCCAUCUAUCUCUUUUGGCACAAGAAGGCACUAACACAUCUGAAUAAUAUUUCGUCUUCCCACAUGCUUUGAUAAUGUUUCCUCACUGCUUAUUUUAAGUGGUCAAGUUCCGUUAAUCACACAAAGUAACUAUGAUUAUUGUGCUGGUAUUCAUUGUUGUUAAUUUAAAUAAAUCAAAGGGGAAACAAAACUUACAAAGGACAUCCAGUAAACUGAAAAUUGAAAAUGACUCUAACAUUUGUAUCCCAGAUGAAGCAAUGCUUCAUGAAGUUGGUGAUAAGAAAACCCAUUGGAAAUUUGGCACAGAAGAGCAAUUAAUUUCAGCUAGAAAGUUCUGUACGCCAAGACAGGCUUAACUUAACUUCAACAUAUAAUUUUAGGAGCACAAAUGUUAUUUAUAUAAGAAAAUCUGCUGCACAGAAUGGAAAGAGCUUACUUCUGCAAACAAAUUAUUUGAAUCAGACUUUCACUAUAAGAUUUAUUUCAUUUUUAGAAUUAUUAUUUUGUAUGAGAUUAGAAGCCUAUUACCUACUUCACAAACAAUGUGUUCACAGGAAUAAGAAAGUCACUCAACAAAGCAAUGAGCUAUGCUGGAAUAAUAACAUUUAAGAGUUUGCUCAGUGCAGUAGCAUAUCUGUGAUGUAAAAUGCUCUUGGAUCUAGAAGUCAGAUGUGGUUCAGAUCUAAGUUCAUCUAAGAUGUGGCUGAGAUCUAAGAUAGCCUUUGGAAAAGAUUACAUUUGCAAUAACAUAGAUAAGAAAUGUAUUAACAUAAUUAUUCAUGUAAAGUUACUUAAAGUGUUAUUCACUAAAGUGAACAUUAUUAGAAAUUCAAAGUGAAUUCAAAAGAGAAAUUAAGAUUUUAGGUAGCCAAAUCUAUUCGAUAUAAGUACCUGCUUACUCCUGAUAUUUAGGAGUUGAAUCACUUUAAGCAGCCUUACUCACACCUCCCCUGCAUGUGACCAACACAAUCUCCCCGAACACUUCCUGUAAAGAGAGAUCUAAUGUUUAAACUUUCAUUAUUGCACAGUCUGUUUAAUUAGAAUUUUGUAUCACCUGCUCUGUUAAUGGUCUGUUAGAGCUUACAGGAACUUCUUGUGUGUGAUAAAAGUUUGAUUAACAUAGUAGUAGAUAAAACCAUUCAAAGUAAACAAACUGUGUUGUAAUACCUAAACCUAAAUUUUUUUUUAUGAAGUCUGGGUGCAGAAAGUGAUUUAGCUCCAAAAUAGCAGGGAAUUGAGCAGUACAUGGGCGUGAUCUAUACACCCAAACUGCUUCAUUAAGCUAAAGUUUUUUUUUGUGCCUGUGGUAUCCUUUUAAAUAAGCAGAUUAAUGUUAACGUAUUUCUAUUUUUUGGAAUAUACAGUAUCUCACAAAAGUGAGUACACCCCUCACAUUUUUGUAAAUAUUUUAUUAUAUAUUUCAUGUGACAACACUGAAGAAGUGACACUCUGCUACAAUGUAAAGUAGUACACCCCUAAGUAGAAAUGUCCAAAUUGGGCCCAAUGUGUCAAUUUUUUGUGUGGCCACCAUUAUUUUCGAGUACUGCCUUAACACUCAUGGGUAGGGAGUUCACCAAAGCUUCACAGGUUGCCACUGGAGUCCUCUUCCACUCCUCCAUGACAACAUCACGGAGCUGGUGGAUGUUAAAGACCUUGCACUCCCCCACCUUCCAUUUCAAGAUGCCCCAUAGAUGCUCAAUAGGGUUUAGGUCUGGAGACAUGCUUGGCCAGUCCAUCACCUUUAACUUCAGCUUCUUUAGCAAGGCAGUGGUCGUCUUGGAGGUGUGUUUGGGGUUGUUAUCAUGUUGGAAUACUGCCCUGUGGCCCAGUCUCUGAAGGGAGGGGAUCAUGCUCUGCUUCAGUAUGUCACAGUACAUGUUGGCAUUCAUGGUUCCCUCAAUGAACUGUAGUCCCCCAGUGCCGGCAGCAUUCAUGCAAGACCAGACCAUGACACUCCCACUACCAUACUUGACUGUAGGCAAGACACACUUGUCUUUGUACUCCUCACCUGGUUUCCGCCACACACGCUUGACACCACUUGAACCAAAUAAGUUUAUCCUGGUCUCAUUGGACCACAGGACAUGGCUCCAGUAAUCUAUGUCCUUAGUCUGCUUGUCUUCAGCAAACUGUUUGCGGGCUUUCUUGUGCAUUAUCUUUAGAAGAGGCUUCCUUCUAGGACAACAGCCAUGCAGACCAAUUUGAUGCAGUGUGUGACGUAUGGUCUGAGCACUGACAGACUGACCCCCCACCCCUUCAACCUCUGCAACUAUGCUGGCAGCACUUAUACGUCUAUUUCCCAAAGACAACCUCUGGAUAUGACGCUGAGCACGUGCACUCAACUUCUUUGGUCGAUCAUGGCGAGGCCUGUUCUGAGUGGAACCUGUCCUGUGAAACUGCUGUAUGUUCUUGCCCACCCUGCUUGGCAAUCUUCUUAUAGCCUAGGCCAUCUUCAUGUAGAGCAACAAUUCUUUUUUUCAGAUCCUCAGAGAGUUCUUUGCCAUGAUGUGCCAUGUUGAACUUCCAGUGACCAGUAUGAGAGAGUGUGAGAGCGAUAACAUCAAAUUUAACACACCUGCUCCCUAUUCACACCUGAGACCUUGUAACACUAACAAGUCACAUGACACUGGGGAGGGGAAAUGGCUAAUUUGGCCUUAUUUGGACAUUUCCACUUAGGGGUGUACUCACUUUUGUUGCCAACGAUUUAGACAUUAAUGGCUGUGUGUUGAGUUAUUUUGAGGGGACAGCAAAUUUACACUGUUAUACAGGAUGUACACUUACCACUUUACGUUGUAGCAGAGUGCCAUUUCUUUAGUGUUGUCACAUAAAAAGAUAAAAUAAAAUAUUUACAAAAAUGUGAGGUGUGUACUCACUUUUGUGAGAUACUGUACAUAUGUAUUCAUAAUGUUAGAGUGUAAUAUUAGCUAUUUAGAUUAUUGCCCCCACAGAAGUAUAAAUAGGUUUACUUAACGUAAUUCCCAGAGCACCAGUCUCACUGUGGUCGCAACAGCUCUUCUGCUGAAAUCAGCUUUGCUAAUGAUCUCACCCAAUCCAUUACUUCCCCAUUGGGCUAGUGCCCGUGCCGCUGCACCAAUCAGUAUCUCCUCAUAGAAAUGUAUUGACUCAAUGCAUCUCCAUGGGGAGCGCUCAGCAUCUCCAUCUCCAUCUUGCUGGACCUCAUCCAAGAAGUCGUUCUAAUAGCAGUCUGAGUGACAGCCACCAGAAUGCACAUAAUGCCUUUUCUCAUAAAAAAAAAGGCAUUUAUGCUGCUGAGCAUGCAGGGGCAAUCUAUUUGCCUCAGAACCACUACGUUAAGCAGUAGUUGUUCUGGUGCCUAGAUCUUUCCUUUAAAUAUGAAAUUCACUUAGAAUUCCUGACAAUUUUUACUUUACUAGAUACCGCUUUAAAUAUAUGCUGGAAAUUAAGAAAAAAAAAAACUUAAAUGAGAAUUAUAAUAAGGAGUAUUAGAUGAAGAAUAAAAAAGCUUAUGCAAACAAGGUAGUCUCCUUCCACAGAGGAACUACUCCAGUCCUGUACAUAGCUGGAGCAGACAAGAAAAUGUGGACUCCAGACGGACAAAAUCUGUAUUCUGAGGUGGGCAUCGAACAAAAUUAAACCAGUGGCAGUAAAGACUUAACGUAUCCAAAAUAUGAAAGUUACAAAAGUAUUGGGUAUAAUAAAAAAAGUUAAAAAUUAGAAUAAAAGCCUGCCUAUAGCACUCAAGUUUUAUUUUUAUUUUAUGACAAUGAGGUCAUAAAAAUAUUAACAGCCUUUAAAACAUUUGAUUAAAUUUGCAAAUGCUCUGCUGGCACAUUGAUUGUGUAUGUACUCUCCAAAUGCUUCAAGCUAACUAGUUUAUUUGAAAUACACAGAACUCAGGUGACCCAAAAUAUAUUAAUUAACUUCUAAGCUCCUAAUGCUGUCCGAGCAGAAGGGAAUAAUUUGUACUUGCCAUAAAAAAGUAAUAGCUUUUAUUUUAUUUUUUUUUUACUGUUUUUGAACAUUAAAAGUUAUAUAUACUACUGUAUUUCUCUAUAUAUCAUGUCUGACAAGUCAUGAUUCCCUUUUAUUCCAGAAGUUUGGUCCUUAGGGGGUUAAAGGGACACGAUUCAGACCCCUAAAGCACCUUAUCUUGCAGAAGUAAUUUAUGUAUGAAGAGUGUGUCCUCUCUAUUUCAUUUUACAGAAAGUACAGAUUUCAAUAGAAAUUGACACUAUUAUAAAUUAUCCUUAUCCUUACAGUCUUCUGUCUGUAUAUAGUAUCUCUAAAUGUAGACAUGUUUGUGUAUAAAGUAUAUUUGUGUGUGUGUAUGUUUGUUUAUUUGUAUCUAAUGUUGAUGUUUGAAUGCAGGGGACCUGUUUGUGUGUAGUGUUGGCAUUUAAAUCAGAGGUGUGUGUGAUGUUGGUGUUUAAAUGCAAGUUUUUUUUAUGUACUGUUAGUCUAUAAGUGCAGCAUUGUUCUUGUCUGUAAUGUUGACACGUGAAUGCAGGGGUGUGUUUGUGUGUAAUUUUGGUGAUUGAAUACAAGUAUGUAUUCACAUAUACAUAUGCACUGACACACACAGACACACAUGGACUCAAUGCCAUACACAGAAACACACAUACACUGACACACAGAUGCCCACAGACAUAUAUACAUAGGAAUAUACUUUGAGACAUAUGCACACACACAAUUUGACACAGAUGCACAGUAAUACUGACACAUACUGACAUACAUGCAAGAUUCUCAUACACAGGUCAACAUGUACUGAUGCAUACACCAACACCCACAAACACUGACACACGUUCAGAUGCAUAAACUAAAACACAUACACUGACACACAUGCAGAUACAUACACUGACACACAGAUGCAUACACUGAAACAUACAGAUACACUGACAUACACACAGAUAUAUAUACUGACAUACACGCAGAUACAUACACUGACACACAUGCAGAUACACACACUGACAUUCAGAGACAUACCCAGGGCCGGCGCGUCCAUAAGGCGGCACAGGCGGCCGCCUUAGGGCGCACGGGCUCUGGGGGCGCAAUAUUUCAGUGACCGGCAGGACGGAAGCUCUCCCUCCUGCCAGGCCACCAUCUCGACCCCCCGGCGCGGCAGUGCUGUGAUCAGGCGCGGCGAGGGAGCUCUAAUCUCCACCCUCUGCUCCCUCGCGCGCUGCCUGCUGAUGCCGCGGGAGCCGGAAUAUGACGUCAUCAACCCGGCUCCCGCGGCAUCAGUAGGCAGCCCGCAAGGGAGCAGAGGGUGGAGAUUAGAGCUCCCUCGCCGCGCCUGAUCACAGCACUGCCGCACGCCUCCCAGCAGCCCCAGGGACCGAUCCAUAAUCCACACCAGCUCUCCAGGUAGGGAGGCUGGGUGGAAAAUAUGUAUUUAUAAAAUAAUUAGUGAAUGCAUGUGAUGUGUGUCUGUGAGUGACUGUGUGUGUGUGUGUGUCUGUGAGUGACUGUGUGUGUGUGUGUGUCUGUGAGUGACAGUGUGUGUGUCUGUGAGUGACAGUGUGUGUCUGUAUGUGUGUGUGUGUCUGUGAGUGACAGUGUGUGUGUGUCUGUGAGUGACUGUGUGUGUGUGUCUGUGAGUGACAGUGUGUGUCUGUGUGUGUGUGUCUGUGAGUGACAGUGUGAGUGACAGUGUGUGUCUGUGAGUGACUGUGUGUGUGUGUCUGUGAGUGACAGUGUGUGUGUCUGUGAGUGACAGUGUGUGUGUGUCUGUGAGUGACAGGGUGUGUGUCUGUGAGUGACUGGGUGUGUGUCUGUGAGUGACUGUGUGUGUCUGUGAGUGACAGUGUGUGUGUCUGUGAGUGUGUGUCUGUGUCUGUGAGUGACAGUGUGUGUGUGUCUGUGAGUGACAGAGUGUGUGUGUCUGUGAGCGACAGUGUGUGUGAGUGACAGUGUGUGUGUGACAAUGUGUGUGUCUGUGAGUGACAGUGUGUGUGAGUGACAGAGUGUGUGCGUCUGUGAGUGACAGUGUGUGUGAGUGACAAAGUGUGUACGUCUGUGAGUGACAGUGUGUGUGAGUGACAAAGUGUGUACGUCUGUGAGUGUAAGUGACAAAGUGUGUGUAAGUGACAAAGUGUGUGUAAGUGACAAAGUGUGUGUGUCUGUGAGUGACAGUGUGUGUGUCUGUGAGUGAUUGUAUGAGUGUGUGUGCGAGUGUAUGAGUGUGUGUCUGUCAAAUCAGUGAGAGUAUGUUUGUCAUUGAGUCUGUGUGUGACUAUCAGUGUGUCUGUCAAUGAGUGUCAAUCAGUGUGGGUCUGUCAGUGUCAAUGAAUGAGUGUGUGUCAGAUCAAUGAGUCUGUGUCUGUCAGUGGCGUCUGUGUGUUUGUCAUUGAGUGUGUGACUGUCAGUGUGUACAGAGUGUAGUGGAGCAGAGCGCGGUACAGGAGCUUCUGUUUCCUGUACCUGGCCAGACUGACAGGAGGUGCUCACAGAGAGAGCACUCCCUGUCAGUCCGGCCGGGUACAGAAAACUGAAGCUCCUUUAGGGGAUCUGCUCCACUCGGCAAUACAACAAUAGAGGUAGGAGGCACACCAGGAAGGGGAGUGUGACCACUAAAGGGGUGUGGGGUGCACCAAGGGACAGGGAGGGAAUGGGAGAGAAACACCAAGAGACAGGGAAAAGAGGGGGGAGGGGAGAAGAACACUAAGGGGAAGGGAAGGGACUACUAAUGGUCAGGGAGGGGAGAGGGGCUGGUUAAGAGGCACAUAGGUGAAGAUGUUUUUUUUCGGGGGGGGUGCGGGGGGGCGGAAAAAGGCAUCUUCGCCUAUGUACCUAAAAAUCCAAGCACCGGCCCUGGACAUACCCUGACAUAGACACAAAAACACACUUACAUACACACAGAUGCAUACACUGACACAUGCAUAGACAUGCACUGACACAUGUGGAAUUUUUCCAGAUUAGUUAUUUCCAAUUCAGAUUUAAUUUGUGAAAAUGCCAAAUUAUUUAAUCCACAUUAUUUCCCUGGUCACUUCUUCCUCCUUUCAGCUUCAAUGAAUAAACCUUGUGCAUGAUCUCUAAUCACACAAUGCUGAGACAUACUCUGACACACAUUUAGAGACAAAACUGAAACAAACAAAUACAUACACUGAUACACACACACACACACACAAACACACACACAUACAUACACUAACAGACACAUAGAUACAUACACUUACAUACACACACACACAGAUACAUACAGUAACAGACACACAGAUACAUAAACUGACACACACAGAUACAUAUACUGACAGACACCAGACACAUACACUAGGAGUUCACUAGUUCAUUUAUAAAAAAAAAUGCUGAUUUCUCAUAGAAAAAUAUGAAAUGUAUUAUAAACUUGGUUUAAACUAGGAUACUUCUCACCCAUAAAGCACUUAGCAAGCUGAGGUGCUUUUGGGUUGUUGAGGCGUCCUUUAACUCCUAAAUUGCAGUGACCUAAGCAGUGGUACUGCAGGGGCAUGAUCUAUGCACCAAAAUGGCUUCAUUAAGCUAAAGUUCUUUUGGUGCUUAGAGUGUCCCUUUAACCCCUAAAGGACCAAACUUCAGGAAUAAAAGGGAAUCAUGACAUGUCACACAUGUCUUGUGUCCUUAAGGGGUUAAAGCAACAAUUGGUAUUUUUAAAUAGUUAUGAGUGUUUGCUCACAUUGACUUUAAAGAUCAGAUUGCAUCACUCUGUAUACCAUUCUAGUGUAUUUUAAAUCACGGAAACCGUUAAGCUCAUUUAUCACCCAAAAAUAAAAUGAAACUUCAAAUGUAUAAAGGAAGAUUAUGCAAAAAAAAAAAAAAAGUAAUUGGAUUUUUUUCUUAUUACUUAUUCAAGAAAAUCCCAGAGAGAAUGUAGUUAUUUUAAAUCAAUCCCAACAUUUUACAGUUACAUAAAUGGUUUUUUUUCCUGAAGCUUUGUCUUGCAAGACUUAAUCCAAAUAUUUAUACCAGCAGUAUUAGUAGAAAUAACACAAUAGACAUAGUUUUAUUUAUAUCAUAUAUUUUCUCAAUAUCGUAACAUAAAGUUGCAUACUCAUAUAUUCUUAUAAUAUUGGGUGUUUUAAAAAAAAAAAAAUUUUUUUUUUGUUCUAGAAUUGUUGACAUAACGUAGCGGUACAAACGAUGUACAGUACAGUGUGGAAUUUAGAUUAUUUUUAAACAUCCACAAAGGAUUAUUUGAUAGAUUAUUGUCUUUCUUAGUAAUGAAAACAAAUGUUUCAUAUGAAUUUCAUUAUAAGAUUGAAGAUUAUGUGAUUAAAUAUUCUCUUCUUCUGACUUAUCCUUAUUCUUGACCUCUUUUUUUUAAAAAAAAUGGAAAAACCAGCAGGACAGUGGACCUUUUCCUUCAAUAAAAACAACUCUUUAUGGGGUAAAUAUAUCAAGCCAUAGGGCAAAAUAAUUUGAUUUCACAAAUAUAAUUAUUUCAAAACAUAUAUAACUAUUUUUCAUUAAUUAUUUUGCUUGUGUAGAAAAUAUAUCUUCUUUUGAGUAUCACUUUAAGAAGAUUAAAGGGACACUAAGCACCAAAACCACUACAAUUCAUUGUAGUAGUUAUACAGCUAGGAAGUUAUCGGUGAAGUCAAACUGUUUCCAGCUUCCCACCUAUACUCUUAUCCUGUGCUUCUGGCAAAAUAAUAAUUAAUAUCUCCUCUACAUUAUCUAUAGAAAUAUUUGAAUGGGGUGAACAUACUAUGCAAUAAUAGAUUGCGAGCAGUGGGAUAUAGGAAAAUAGCUGUCCACUAACUGGGACUUCACCCUCAUGGAUAGCCUUCUAGCACUGUAAACUCUAGAAUAAGCUGUAGUGGUUCUGGUGCAUCAAGUGUCCCUUUAAAAGCGAUGGCUGGACGUAACAUCUUACAAAAUAAAAGAAAACAAAAAAGUGGAAAACAGCAUGUGGAAAUUUUAGCAAGAAAUUGUGUUCCUGUAAUUAUUCUAUAAAUAGAGCGUCAUUUGCAUAACAUCUUGAUUAAAUUCUGAGAGCAGAGCAGAAAGGUUACUUAUUUUAUUAUCGGACCAGAAGCAAUACGUUAGUGAGUCUGCAGAAUCAGUCGUUUUGUUAACUGCCGUCAUGGAUUCAUGUCACAGUAUCUAUUCCACAAUACAAUUUAUUAAAAUAAUCUUAAAUAAUCUUAACCUAUUAUUUUGGGAAUUAUUAUUGCAUUGCCAAAAGCUUAAAUAACGAAAAAGGCAAAAGACGAUGCAUUGCCAGUCAAAUGAUACAAUCUAAAUGAUGGUAACAGUAUAUCAGAUGAAACAUUAGUUUGGACCAGGAGCACAGAGUAAUCAGUUAAGAAAGCCAAGUGAAAAUGGUUCAAUAAAGCACUCUACACAGCUCUAUCAUAGAGGUAAACCAUGCAAGGUUAUUAAAUGGAAAAGGUUGCUGGCUAUAUAUAGCCCUUCUCCAGGGCUAGCCUCUGAUCAGCUAUAAGAGAUUCUUAAAAACUAGGAAAAAGAAUCUGUAACAUCGUAAGACAAAAAAAUAUACCACAGCGUUACUUACUAAAGUCUGAAAGUCUCUGUAACAUUCGGACUGCAUAAUCUGGACAUUGUUUAUGGAAUUCAACAAAGCUCGAAUUAUGUAAAUCAGACCGUGAAUGAGUCUGAAUUUGGUCUGAAUUUCAGGCUUAACGAAUGCAGCCAGAUGGCUGAUAUUCGGCCCAAAUGAAUUAAAUCCGGACCAAGUGAAUUUGCAAGUGUGCAUCUUGUUGGAUGCAUUCUGUUUAACUUUGGCCUACAUGCGAUCUUUGAUAAAUCUCUGAUUACAUAGUUACAUAGGCUGAAAAGAGACAUGCGCCCAUCAAGUUCAACCUUUCUCACAUAUGUUUUUGCUGUUGAUCCAAAAGAUGGCAAAAAACCCAGCCUGAAGCACUUCCAGUUUUGCAACAAACUAGGAAAAAAUUCCUUCUUCACCACAAAAUGGCAGUCAGAUUUAUCCUUGGAUCAAGCAGCGAUUACCCCACUAAUUAGAAAUCAUCUACUUGCCGCUGCGAGGCUUAUUUUCCUGUCCGGUCGCACCUCCCACGCCUACACGCUCUGUCAGUCCCUGCAUUGGCUUCCAGUUAGAUAUAGGGCCCAAUUCAAAAUUCUGGUGCUUGCUUACAAAUCCCUACAUAAUGCUGCUCCAACAUACCUAUCCUCCCUCAUACACAAGUAUGUCCCGUCGAGACCCCUGCGCUCAGCCCAAGACCUACGCCUAUCCUCUGCCCGGAUCCCCACCUCUGAUGCUCGCCUUCAAGACUUCUCCAGGGCUGCACCUAUUCUGUGGAACUCCCUUCCCUCCUCAAUCAGACUUUCACCCAGCCUCCACUCCUUCAAAAAAUCUUUGAAAACUCACUUCUUCGUUAAAGCGUAUCAAUUAAACUGUCAGCAGGUUUCUCAUCCCCCACCCCAUGACUCCGUUCCUGCACCUGUCAAAAAUGACGUACCAAGUACUCAAUAAACUCUUAUAAAACAAACUAUUUAAUUCCCAUACUUUAACCCUUUGUGCCACUAUACCCCACUCCCUCUAGCAUGUAAGCUCAUCGAGCAGGGUCCUCAACCCCCUCUGUUCCUGUACGUCAGUGGUCUGAUCUCAAUGAUGUGUCUGUUAGUCCACCCAUUGUACAGCGCUACGGAAUUUGUUGGCGCUAUAUAAAUAAUAAAAUAAUAAUAAUAAUAAUAAUAAUAAUAAUAACCCCUUAAGGACCGAGGACGGUUCAGGACCGGCAUCGAAAUUUUCCCAUUGCCGACCGCUGACGGUCCUGAACCGUCCUAACGGUCCUAGUUACUUACCUGAUCGCCGUCGUUCCCCCGGCGGCGAUCGGCGUUGCUCCCGGUGUGGGGAGACUGCCUGCAGCCCAGACAGUCUCCCCACACUGGAUUAGGACCCCUGUGGCCAUGUGAUCGCUUAACACAGCGAUCACAUGGUCACAAUAGGUGUCCUAGUGUCUGCCUGCAGGGGGACUGCCUGUACUGACAGGCAGUCUCCCUGCUAGUGUAAAAUCAUUAAAAAAAAAUAAAGUUAUAUAUGUCUAUAUAUCAUAUAUAUAAUGUCAUACUAAGUGUAUUUUUAUAUUAAUAUGUACUUAUAUUAAUAUAAAAAUACACUUAUAAUUAAAUUACACACGUAUAUAUAUAUAUAAUAUAUAUAAUAACUAUAUAUAUUGUAUAUAUAUUAUUAUAAAAUAUAAAUAAUAAGUAAUUUAAAUUAAAUAAAAAAUUUCUAAAAUAAUAAUAAAAAUUGAAAAAAAUAUAUAUAUCUAUAUGAAAUUUUAUUAUAACUGUAUUUUAAAAUUAAUAUAUAUAUAUAUUUAUAUCAAAAUACACUUAGAAUGAAUUUGUAUAUAUAUAUCUAUGUAUAUAUAAAUAAAUAAAAAUAAUGCGAAAUAUACAUAUGUCCAUAUACAAAAUUACAUAAAUAAUUAUAUAAAUAUACACGUAGACUUCAAAUAUAUAAAUAUGCAUAUAUAUUUAAAUUCUACGUGUGUAUUUAUGUAAUAUUUUUACAUAAUUAAGUAAUUUUAUUGAUUGCAAUUUGAGGGACCUGCCUGCCAACACAGGCCAAAAGUCCAGAGAAUUUAAUUUGCUAGCACUGUAUUUUACCCUGUAACGUUCUUCGACACCCUAAAACCUGUACAUGGGGGGUACUGUUUUACUCGGGAGACUUCGCUGAACACAGAUAUUAGUGAUUCAAAACAGUAAAACAUAUCACAGCGAUGAUAUUGUCAGUGAAAGUGACUUUUUUUGCAUUUUUCACACACAAACAGCACUUUUACUGAUGAUAUAAUGGUUGUGAUACGUUUUCCAGUUUUUAAACACUAAUAUUUGUGUUCAGCGAUGUCUCCCGAGUAAAACAGUACCCCCCAUGUACAGGUUUUAUAGCAUUUUUGAAAGUUACAGGAUCAAAUAUAUGGGUCAAAUAUUUUUACAUUGAAAAUGGCCAGGUUGGUUACGUUGCCUUUGAGAGCGUGUGGUAGCCCAGGAAUGAGAAUUACCCCCAUAACGGCAUACCAUUUGCAAAAGAAGACAACCCAAGGUAAUGGGGUAUGUCCAGUCUUUUUUAUUAACCCCUUAGUCACAAACACUGGCCAAAAUUAGCGUUCAAUUUAGUUUUUUUACUUUUUUCACACACAAAAAAUAUGAAUGCUUACUUUGGCCAGUGUUUUCGACUAAGUGGCUACUAAAAAAGACUGGACAUACCCCAUAUUGAAUACCCUGGGUUGUCUACUUUAAAAAAAAUAUGUACAUGUGGGGUGUUAUUCAGAGAUUUAUGACAGAUAAUAGUGUUACAAUGUCACUAUUGAUAAAUUUAAAAAAUGUAUGUUUUGAAACCGCAAUAUUCUACUUGUACCUAUAGCCCUAUAACAUGCAAAAAAAAGCAAAAAAGCACGUAAACACUGGGUAUUUUUAAACUCAGGACAAAAUUUUGAAUCUAUUUAGCAGUUUUUUUCAUUCGCUUUUGUAGAUGAGUAAAAGAUUUUUCAAGUAAAAGUCAAAAAACAUGAAUUUUUUAAAUUUUUCAUCAUAUAUAUUUUUUAAUUAAAAUACAUGAGAUUAUAUAAAUAAUGGUAUGUAAAGAAAGCCCCUUUUUCUCCUGAAAAACAAUAUAUAAUUUGUAUGUGAACAGUAAAUGAGAGAGCGGAAAAUUACAGCCAAACACAAACACCACAAAAGUGUAAAAAUACGCCUGGUCGCAAAUGUACAACAUCGCAAAAACAGUCCAGUCCUUAAGGGGUUAAUUUACCUGUAUGUUAUGUUUUUGCAAGUAUUUAUCCAAUUGCUGUUUAAACAUUUGUAUGGACUCUGAUAAAACCACCUCUUCAGGCAGAGAAUUCCAAAUCCUUAUAGUCCUUAAUGUAAAAAUUUUUUUAGGAAAAACUGAUUUUCUAAAUGCUUCUGAACUAAUAUUACAGAAUGGCUCGGAGGCGCUGAAUCCUGACUGCAUCUGGCUUUACCAAUGUUGUCAAAAUGUGAUUAUUUUCAUCAGAUUUUGUCCACUGUUUAGUGAGUAGGAGGAUUGACUAUCACCCAACAGCAUAGUAACAUAAGAUGUUAUGAGGGUGGGAGACAGCCUUGAAGGGAAUUACUACAGCCCACUGUGGUUGUUAUGGUAUCAGGAGGGCUCUGCUGCCCUCCCAAUAUAAGUAGUCAAACCGUCUAAGAGCUGAGUGAAAACUUACCUGGGAUCUGGCAGAUGCCCAAUGCCGCUUACCUGCAAGGAGCCUCCCUUAGCUUUAAUGUUCCAGGCUACAAUGCUUGUUGUGGUUGACGUGCUAUUUUGAUAAUAAAUGGCCCUUGGGAGCAUACAAUACACCAUUCAGUUAUCUAUAGGAAAAAAUGAUUCACUAUAACUGGGAAAACCAUAAAAAGAUUGGGAUUGAGAUCUUUUUAAGCAACACAUUUUUUCAACAAUUUCUCACAAAAAAAUAACCAAUUAUUCAAUAAAAGGUAUGGAAAUAAAAAAAUAAGUUAUAUAUUUUAGUUUUACCACUUAUAUUUUUGCCUUGUAUCAAAAUUUAAGUAAUUGUUUUAAAAUGUAUGCGGCAAAGAGAAGCAUUUACUAUAUAUUAUGUUUUUCUGAACAGUAGAAAAUAUGAUCUUAAAAGCUUGGCCAUCGUGACUGGAUGAGGGGGGUUCUUUAUCUUGUCAUCCUACCACUAGAAUAAAUGGAGGGAGAUGGGGGGUGUCCCCAUCUCCCUCACUCUCUACACUAGUAGCUGCCCCAAUCUCCCCCUUGCUAGACAUUUCAGAGCCAGAAGGGUUAACAGUCAUUCAUUUUUUUGUUUGUUUUUUAUAAUGAGAUGGACUAAUUUCAGAUGAACCAAAAUAACUGAACACAUUAUAAAGCCAAACCAAAUUCUUCGUUCAAGCACAAGCAGUAAUAAUGUCACGGCUAGGAGCAUUUCUGCAGAUUUUUUGUAAGUCAAGGUAAGAAGUUUAAAUCUAAUUCUUGAUGAAGUCAUAAAUCUAUAAAUUCUCUGCAAAAAGCAGUAGCAAAAGAUAUGAGACAGACACCCUCAGGGUCCCACUCCCGCUGGGCUUAAGGGGGUUAAGGGGUUAAUCACUUACCUUUCUCCAGCGCCGGGCUCCCUCAGCGCUGGGGACUCUCCUCCCUCUUCCAACGUCAUCUGCCGAUUGCGCAUUCAAUCAGUCCAUAGGAAAUGGACGUCAGUGUCUUCUCACUGUUAAAAUCACAGUGAGAAGUGCGGAAGCGCCUCUAGUGACUGUCUGUGAGACAGCCACUAGAGGCUGGAUUAACCCUAAUGUAAACAUAGCAGUUUCUCUGAAACUGCUAUGUUUACAGCUGCAUGGUUAACCCUAGAUGGACCUGGCACCCAGACCACUUCAUUGAGCUGAAGUGGUCUGGGUGCCUAUAGUGGUCCUUUAAGUAGUAAGACUGCAGAGGCAUUAUCACAAAGUUAAAAUUGUUUUGGUGCUUAAAGUGCAGGGUUGUUAGGGAUACAUAUCACAUAUAUUUAUUGAUGAGCAGCACAUGAAAAGGGUAACCCUGCAGUAUGUAUAAUGCAUAUUUUGCAGGAUUUGUCAAUGUCUAAUUGCCUAAUCCUAUACACCUUCUUCUGAUUUCUACAUACUACAGGGCUACGCUUUUCUUGUGCUGCCCGUCAAUAUGUAUAUUUGAUAUGUGUCCCUGAAAACAUGGCGAAUCUGGUUACCCUGUUAAAGUGUCCCUUUCAGAGAAGGGUUCUCAAGGACAGAAAGAUAAUCCCAGACUGAGAAGAUGAUGCAUUAGUUAAAGCCAGUUGGCUAGAUGAACUUAAAGCACAAAUUAACUCACAUCAGGUGUUCACCCAACAGUUAACUAUCAUUCUUUUCGUGGAAUGUCAACAGAAAAGGGUAGAAUCUCUAGAAAGGGCAAAAUGUAUCUUGUGGAGCUGGUUCAAAUGUUAGAAAAUGUGAAACCUUCUCUUCAAAAGAACUGCUGGAGUCAGACAUGAAAAAAAAAAAAAUAAUAAUAAAAAAAAAAAAAAUAUAUAUAUAUAUAUAUAUAUAUGACAUCCCUUUAUAAUUUAUCAUUUUCAUAUACAAAGGGUUAAUGCGUUCCAUGUACGCUUUGAUAAGUGGUACGUCUUGUGAUGUAAAACAUACAAAUCAAAGAAAUAUUUCUUUUCAUCACUCAUUUCCAUUUUCAGUAAAAUAAAAAAUCUUUUAUUUAUAACUUUUAUUCGCCAGCACAUUAAACAUUUCCAAAUAAUGAGAGGGUGAAAUAUAUUAAGAUUAUACAGUAUGAGAAUGUCUCACCCAGGCGUCCGUGUGUCUAAUUAAAAUAAUAGGCUGUAUCCGCAAUUGCAGUGCCACCACCUUUGUCAUCGUAUUCAGAGUAGUGUCCUAAUUACUAAGUUAAUUCUCUAAGGCUGAAUUUCCAGAGCUUUUUACAUUUUCAUACAAAAACACCAAAGAAUCUUUAGAACAAUCUAUCAAAUCUUGUCUGAACUAAUGCAUACAUUUAUUUUUAUACAUUCCUUUUGAUUUUACUAAAAAAAAGGUAGUUUGUCCUAAGCUGACCUGCAAUGUAUUUUAAGAUGAAAGUACUAUAUAUUUUUUUUCAAUUUUAAUUAAUGUAUGAGAUAUUAUUAAGCUGGUGAGUAUUGGUGUAAAAGCAAUUCCUACAUUUACAGAAAUGUUUUCAAGGAACACGUGUUUGACGUCUUAGAUGUACAUGGUGCUCACUGUGCUCAGUUCCCAGCCUCCACUAGUUCAUUCAUAGAGCUUCCAGCUCUCUAUCUGAGCUAAAUCGAGCAGUGCAGGGGUUAGCUCAUUGGCUGAGAGUUAUCAGCUGAUGCUUUUAGCGGAUGAGUUAGUACUGCACUUGAGUGUUUUGAUCAUGACAGCUAAUGGAAGCUCAUGCUUAGGAGCUCCCAGAUCAAGGACUGAAGAAGUGGAGGUAGGGAGAAGCACUGAGCAGAUACCAAGUAAGAAGUCAAACAGUUUGUUUACUUAUAAUAGGGAGAUGCCAGUGCAGUUCUGGCACCAUAAUCACUACAGCGCACUGCAGUGAUGAUGGUGUUUGAAGUGUUUGUUUAAGAUAAAGGACCCUUUACCUAUUGGUUCAUCUUCCCAUUCCCUCCCUAUCUCUGUGUUUUCUACCUCCAACCAAGUCUCUCUUAAAAAGAAACUAAAACAGUUUGACUACUUACAAUGAGGGAUGACAAGACACACACUCCUGCUUGGAGUGUUCCUUUCAACCCAUUUCUUUAUCUUGUGUCUUCAUCUUCUUCAUCCACCAAUAGUCUUUUCAUCUUUAUCCCAUCCCACUCUCCCCUUACAUCCACCUCUGUUGUCUCUUCAACUUCCCAGUCCAGUCUCUCUUCACUCUCCCCAAGUGCAGGCUAUAUUCAUUUCCUCAACACCGUCUUUCUCAUCCAUCCCAGUCUACUUAGCCCCUGCCCUUUUUUGUUGUAUCUUCAUCACCUCCACUUCACAUUGUCUUUCUAUCUCUCUAUUCCCCUCUAUUUUUGUCUCUUCAUCUGCCAACCCUCACUGUUCCAGUCUCCCUCUCCAUCUCUCUCUGUCCCUCUUUACCCCUCCUUCUCUGAAACCCUAACCCUGCUAGUAACACUUAACCCGAUACCAUACAAUGGCAUCUUCACCCCUCUUCCCUCUUUCUCAUUACCUCCUUCCCCAAAACUCACCUUGAGCAGUUGGGUCCAUCGUCAAGUAGUUGACAUCAUGGCUUGGAAGAGUCAAUGGGUUUGCACUUUGCAGUACUCAGUAUUUAGUCUUGUGUGAAAGUACAUGAAUAUGCCAAUACUAUCACACAGGGUGCAUUACCAUACUUGUGCAUGGUAAUAGGAAAGAAUCUACCGCUACUGAUAUAAUCCAGUAGUCUCCAAAGUGAUACCAUGUGAACAUAUGGAGGUUUUUCCCCAUCUUCUAGUCUAGUUCACCAUUAGAUGGUUACUUAUUUUAUGCAAGUGAAUACCAGUAGAAGACUAUUGAUGUAUUUAACCUUGUGUGUACAUUUGUUCUUUUUCAAAGUUCUCAUAUUCUCUGUUUUUGUUGCAAUGCAUUGAUUUGGCUCUCCCUAAGCAAAAAAGGUAAUCCAGACAUGGACCCCAUGCUCACUGUGCCCAGAGGGGGUAUUAGCUACACCCCACUGACAAGGUCCAAUGAUCAUGCAGAGAGAACCUACCAGGGGUCAAGUCCUGGGGAAUAAAGUGUGGAACUCACCACCCCCUCCCCCCCAGGUGGAACUCACCACCUCUUGGGCCCCCCCAUGACAUGGGGAAAACGGGGGGCAUUUCGGGGUGGCAUUUUUGGCCUCCCCCUGAGUGCCUACAGGACCACAAAUGGGAACGGUGUUCCUGCUCUAAAAAAAGUGCAGGAACACCGUUCCCACACAUUCCUGCAGGACUCGAGCCCUGGAACCUACCGACAUUUCGGUUCAGGACUGCCCUUGUGGGUGGGAUGAAUCUGAUAUGCAGGUUCUCAUUUCGUGACUUGAGCAGGGAAUAACCGUAGGGUAAGCUACUUAGUUUCUCUAGGCUUUUGCCCUUUCUCAGAGCUCUCAUAUUCUCCGUUUUUGUUGCAAUGCAUUUGCUUGAGCUCUCCCUAUACUUUUGAAUAGUCUAAUAAUUUAAUUUUGUUUCUAAUUUUUUCUUAUUGACAUUUUUUAAAGUGUUGUAUCAUAAUAAAUGCAAAUAAAGAAUAGAUUUAUAUUACUUUUAUUGCUGUAUUUUAAAUGCCCCUUAUUAUUUAUUUUUUUAUUAUUAUGUCUUUUGCACUUGCGAUGAUAUUCUCUUCUUUAUUUAACUUAGGUGGCUGCAACUGAUAUUUCUUAAAAGAAAAUUAGUUUAACGCUUCAAUUGACAUUUAUUAUGAGAAUUAUAGUGGCAAACAUAUUAGUUACAAUUUAUAGCUCUUAUUGAGCAACAAAAAUUAGUUGAAUAGAUGUUUUUAAUAAUUCCAAAUAAUUUUUUUAAAGAGUAUACAUGCAUAAAACUUGAAACAACUGGCUAGAUCUAUUUCUUUAUUUUAAAAGGACACUCUAAGCACAAAAAACACUACCCUGUUGUUGCAAUCUGACAAUUAGAAACACUGCUGUUUCCCGAAAAAAUUGCAAUAUACAUAUGUCAUACAACCUACCUUCAGUGGAGUUUACAGAGACAGCUACUCAUUAGACCUUCAAAAACUCAGGGUCAUUAUAUUACUUUUAUUGCUGUAUUUUAAAUGCCCCUUAUUAUUUUUUUUUUUAUUAUUAUGUCUUUUGCACUUGCGAUGAUAUUCUCUUCUUUAUUUAACUUAGGUGGCUGCAACUGAUAUUUCUUAAAAGAAAAUUAGUUUAACGCUUCAAUUGACAUUUAUUAUGAGAAUUAUAGUGGCAAACAUAUUAGUUACAAUUUAUAGCUCUUAUUGAGCAACAAAAAUUAGUUGAAUAGAUGUUUUUAAUAAUUCCAAAUAAUUUUUUUAAAGAGUAUACAUGCAUAAAACUUGAAACAACUGGCUAGAUCUAUUUCUUUAUUUUAAAAGGACACUCUAAGCACAAAAAACACUACCCUGUUGUUGCAAUCUGACAAUUAGAAACACUGCUGUUUCCCGAAAAAAUUGCAAUAUACAUAUGUCAUACAACCUACCUUCAGUGGAGUUUACAGAGACAGCUACUCAUUAAGACCUUCAAAAACUCAGGGUCUUUAUAUCUGGCGUCACACAGCCAUCUUGAUGAAGCUAAAAACUGAUAAUUCUUCUUAAAAGAUAAACAUUUGGAUGAUGCUUCUCAAUGAGAAGCAGCGUUUUGGUAGAGUGUCUUGAUUGAGAAGCAUUGGAUUGAGCCCAAGAUUAUAAGUAAUGAUGAUCUGAUGGAAGAUGGAGCAGCCACCUCGACAAGAAUGGAACAACGCUGGAAAGGAGGUAAGUUUUAUUACAUUUUUUUUAUAUUUCCAAAGGAGGCCCUGAAUCUGAAAGUUAAAAGGAAAACACAUGUAUUUAUUUAUGAUGUUAGAGAGUUCCUUUACUCUUUAAUUCUUCGGAAGAAUUUAUAAAGAAUGUGUCCUUGGUUUAUUUAAAAUGCUUCUCAUUCUUUUCACAGAAAGCAGAUCUAUAAAAACAGCCUGUCAUGUCGCUACUUAUGGGAGAAUUAUGAUCCAAACAAAUUCCACUGAACAUUCCUGCACUUCUGUGUGUCACAUAUGCCUGCCUUGAAAAAAUCUGUACAUGUGUAUCGGUGCUCAUAAAUCUAGAUGCACAUACUAUUUGUAACAAGAUGUAGCUCUCAUGGUUACAUAAUCUUAGUAAGAAUAUUUUCCACUUGGCCUUUUCUUCGGUUGAUCCUGCGAUAUAUUGAUGUAUAUUGAUUCUGGCAUGUUUGUGACUGUUUUUUCUGCAUCUUUAUCGAAUUGCUGGGAGCAAUUAAUAAAUAAAUAUUGCUCAUUAUAGAAAAUUGAAAAAAAUAAUAAUUGCUCAAACCAAACAAAUGUAAAACAUUACUCAUAGCGAUGAAAGAGGAGAGGGAAUGUAACGGUAACAGCAAUAUGAACGCAAAUAUUUGGACACUGACACAAUUUUCAUAAUUUUGGCACUGUACGCCGCCACAAUGGAUUUGACAUGAAACAACCAAUAUGCAAUUAACAGGCAAUGACUGCUUGAAGUCACUAGGCACUAGGGCCCAUUUACAGGAAUUUUUUGAGUCAUUAAACACACAAGAUGAAAGCAUUAAAUUCACUAUGUGCUGUGAUACUACUACAGUCCCUUUUCUAGAUGUUCAGGUACAGAGAGUACAAAAUUGCCUUCAUAGCGACUUGUACAUAAAACCCACUGACCGUAAUAAUUUAUUGACUUACUCAAGUUUUCAUCCAAUCCAUCUAAAGAAUGGAUUACCAUUUAGUCAACUGUUAAGGGUAAAAAGGAUUGUAUCACAGGAAGAUAAAGUGAUGACGGGUUUAGAUUUUAUGGCCAAUAAAUUCAUAGAGAGGGGCUAUCCCACACAUGUAGUCGACAAUCAACGACAGAAGGUUAAUAAUCUUUCUCGACAAAAAACCCUUUCAGGUGCAGGGGCCAGAGACAAAGUAGAAAGGAUUACGUUGGUAACACCAUAUACCCCACUUAAUAGGGAGAUAAGACAUGUUAUAUUAAAACAUUGGCAACUUUUUCAGGGAGAUAUUCAACUACCCCCGAUAUUCCAACAGUCUCCACUUUUUGCAUAUCAGAGGGCCUCGAACCUGAGGGACAUGAUAGUAAGGUCAGAUAUUGGCAGUUCUAAGAAACAAACUAGAUUUUUUUCAGAACCUAAGAAGGGCACCUUUCCAUGUUUAAAUUGCUCACACUGUAAUAGUGUGAUCAAGGGGGAAUAUUUUGUUCAUCCCAGAUCAGGUAAGAAAUUUUACGUUAAAGAAUUUUUUACAUGCAACUCUGACUUUGUCGUGUAUGCUCUUAAGUGUCCCUGUGGACUCCUGUACGUGGCGGAGACCAUCAGGCCAGUGAAAGAGCGGAUAGGGGAGCAUAAAAGGAGCAUUAGGGCAGCAUUACAACACAAUAAAGUGGAGGUUCCGGUACCCAGACAUUUUAAAACAUAUGGUCAUAAUGUAAACCAAUUAAGGUUUCAAGUCUUGGACAGAAUCCCACCUCUACGUAGAGGAGGGGAUAGACAGAAGCUCUUAUUACAGAGAGAAACAAAAUGGAUAAGUACCUUGGAGACUUUGUCACCAUUAGGGCUUAAUGAAGACUAUGACCUUAAACAUUUCUUAUGAGAAAAGUUUUUUCUUUCUUUUUUCUUGCAUUUAUUGCCUGCUCUAUGAUUUUCUGCUCCUUACAGAGGCUCCCCUUGACCAGUUUUGGUCCGGUGUCCUUUCCUGCCAACAUUUUGACCUCUUUGGGUCCGCUACCUGCUAUCAGCACAGGGUUCCCCACACACGGGACCCAGGGGCACGGUGGGGCAUUACGAGACAGGUGAGUUGCAUACUCUGUCUUCUGUUUAUUUUUUAUUCAUUUUAUUUUCCAAAUUUUUUUUUCAAAUUUAGCUAUAUUAAAAUUUUUUUUAAUGAGGAUCCUUUUCUUUAUCCAAUAUUUUUUCUUUAUUAUUUUUUUCUCAUUUUUCGUUUUUUAUCCUUUGUUCUUUGUUCUUUUUCCUUUUUUCUUUUUCUUUUUCUUUUUCUUUAAAUAUUUUUUGGAAUUUUUUUGAACACUGUUUUUCUUUGUUGUAUGAGACAUAGAUAAUCCAUUUUUUAUUAUUUUUUCCUCUUUUUCUUAUUAUAGCUGAUUAUUCUACUGGUUUAUAGCUA
rnacentral:lncRNA from 1 species